GCAGUUCCUGCUAGGCCGUGGCGUGCUUGUCUCUCCGGUGUUAGAUCCAGGCACCACCACCGUGGACGCCUAUUUCCCGGCCGGCCGGUGGUUUAGUCUUCACGACCGCUCCCCCGCCAUCACCUUGCAGACCGGCAAGAGAGUGACGCUCUCAGCGCCAGCGGACUCGGCAAACGUGCACCUGGCCGGCGGCAACAUACUACCGUUGCAGCAGCCCGGCCUGACCACGUCCACCGCACGCCAAAGUGCGUUCCACCUCCUUGUGGCGCUCGCGGAGAAUGGCACUGCCAGCGGGGAGCUGUUCUUGGAUGACGGCGAGUCGCCGGAGAUGGGAGGGGUGGGAGGCAACUGGACGCUGGUGAGGUUUAGCUGCAACACAGAGGAUAGCAAGGGCAUCAUCACGACCACAAUGAGUUCGCAUGUGGUGCAGAACUCAUACGCGCCGAACCGGACUCUGGUCAUCGGCAAGGUGGCCUUCAUGGGGCUCCCGUCGCCACCAAAGGGGUUCACCAUCUAUGUGAAUGGCGCUGAGCUGAAGGCAGCCAGCACCAAGUCCCGCACGAAUGGAGUAUUCAGCGUCAGUGGGCUAUCGCUGGUCAUCGGGAAUCAGUUCGAGAUCAAGGUCGUCAUGUCCCAUUAACAUCGAGACAUUUGUGCAUAGUUCUUUAUCUGAAUAAAAAAUGAAAAUUGGUAGUAUCACCUACCAGUUCUCAUGCAUUGUUCUUAACUUGCACAAAUAUUGAACUUUGUUAUGUGACUCUUAUGCCUCCUGUAUCUCCUAGGAUGGCUAGUGCCUUUUUUUUUUGAGGGGUGAAAAACAGUUUAUUCAUCACCAAAUUCCACAAGAUGUGGGAUACAAGUUGGAACCUGGGGUUGGCCUAACCACACAUGGCACCCCGGCCCUAACGAAAGCGAAAACUUAGCAAGUUUAUGUGCGUCUCUAUUAGCCGCACGACCUUCAAACAUAAAAUUACAAAUGAAAGAAGAAGCUCUAAAUCGAAUCUCUUGUAUGAUUGCCGCGUUUUGCCCAUAUGUGACUUUGAGAUGUCACUAACCACUUGCUUCGCGUCAGAGGAGAUCAUCAGGUUGUUCAAAUUGAGAUCUUCGGCAAGGGCUAGUGCUUCACGACAUGCGAUCGUUUCCAGAAUCGCUGGGUCGUCCACUCCUGCAAUGACCAGCGAUGAGCUACCCAGAUAGUUGCCUUGUUGAUCCCAACAAACCGCCGCAGCUGAUCCUUCCCUCCCAGGUCUGACUCCAGCAUCGACGUGAAUUUUGACACAUCCCGGAGGAGGGGCUCGUGGCCUGACCCAAGAGGGUCCGCCCCUUGCCGCUUGUUCUUGCUUGUUGUCCAGCGCCUCAAGCUCAGCUAUAAACCUCCUGACAAAAUCUGUGGUGGCUUGGGGUGUUUGAAAAAUCCCUUCUGAAUUGCCUUACGCCGAGCCGUCCAUAUCGCCCAUAACGUGACCGCUAGCCAAACAAAUUGCUCAUGUGAAAGUGAUUCCAUUAGUGUAAAAAGCCAUAACUUAGCUUUUGGUUCGGUGGUAGCAACCAGCACUUGUGCAAGAUCAUCAUCAAUCAAAGCCCACACACACCUGGAUGAUGUACAAUUCAGCAGUGAAUGCCUCCAUGAGUCUAGUGCUCCACACAUCCCACAUGCCGAACUAUCUGACAUAUGUCUAUGAGCUCGAACAUCUUCCGUUGGGAGGGAUUGUUUAGAUAACCGCCACAGGAACAUCUUCACUUUCCCCGGAACCUUAGUGCGCCAUAAUGUUUUCCACGUUCCUUCCUCUGCCACUAUCGAUGACGAGCCCGCUGUGUUUUCCAACCAAGCCUCCCGCCUCCUUCUGGUUUCCACUAGCAUGCGAUAUGCAGACUUGACAGAGAAAGUACCGUUCCUCUCGAAGUUCCAACUCCAGAAGUCAGCCGUGUUGCGUGUGCAGAGAGGAAUACCCAAUAUGAUCUUGGCAUCCAUAGGCAUGAAAACCUGGUUGACGCGUUCAACAUUCCACGUGGCGCUGGUGCAGGAUGGCUAGUGCCUACACGGUCACACAUGAUGCCUUUAACUCCUGUGGCAACUACGAACCGACACCUCCAUGGGCGGAGCUGGGCUCCAGGCAGCCCAGGCCAUUGCCUGGGGCGUGAAGAAUUUUCUCGGCCCAUAUCUACAAAAAAAUUGGCCUGGGGCACAGCCGCUUCUAAGCCCAGGCCAACGGCCGAGCUGCCCAGCGAGUGGCUUUCCCUGCGCUGCUCCACAAUCCUAUUUGNNNNNNNNNNNNNNNNNNNNNNNNNNNNNNNNNNNNNNNNNNNNNNNNNNNNNNNNNNNNNNNNNNNNNNNNNNNNNNNNNNNNNNNNNNNNNNNNNNNNNNNNNNNNNNNNNNNNNNNNNNNNNNNNNNNNNNNNNNNNNNNNNNNNNNNNNNNNNNNNNNNNNNNNNNNNNNNNNNNNNNNNNNNNNNNNNNNNNNNNNNNNNNNNNNNNNNNNNNNNNNNNNNNNNNNNNNNNNNNNNNNNNNNNNNNNNNNNNNNNNNNNNNNNNNNNNNNNNNNNNNNNNNNNNNNNNNNNNNNNNNNNNNNNNNNNNNNNNNNNNNNNNNNNNNNNNNNNNNNNNNNNNNNNNNNNNNNNNNNNNNNNNNNNNNNNNNNNNNNNNNNNNNUCUACCGAGCCAUCCAGCCACCCACCCCUUCAAAUCAAUCACCUCCACCUCCGCUAUGGGCUGCUGCCCUGUCCGGUGAACUGCCGGCGAGGUGGCCCUUGCCAGGAGCACAAAGAGCAGACAACAGCAAGAGCCAAGAGCAAAGGUAUACAGUAUACUCGUUCUUCCAUGUUCCAUACCCAAUUUAUGUUUGUACAUGCUAUUGUUUCAUGAUGAUUUUUGUCAAUUGCUAGAUGACACCUUUGUUGCUUGAUCCCACUGUUUGUUAGAUACUCAUAGAUGGGAAGACAAAUUAUGACAUUUAGUAAUUUUGUUUCUAUAUAAUGUUACGGCAAGGAAAGAUGAGAAAAAGAAACAGGACAUCAAAUUCAUUUUUUGAAGUUCGAACCACUGGAACCGUAGAAACAAGGUCCUUCAAUUCAAACAACCGAUAAUACCCCUCGUAUUAUAGCUCAACUCAAGCCCGGUGAUAUUGAAGCAGACCCUGGUAAGAGAAUACCAAUUCAGGAUUUGGAUGCAGACAUUAGAGAUCUUGCUAGAAGGUAGUACAUUAGUACGGGUCCAUGCCAACCAACUAAUCAUACAUAUGAACAGUUAAAUGGUAGAAGCUUUCAUGAUUAUUGGUUCAAUGAUCAUUGCAGCUGGUUGGAAUAUAGCAUUGAAAAAAGUAGCCUUUUUGCUUUUAUUGUUUUCUGUUAAGCAACCAAGGGCUAAAAACUAUCAUAUUGAAGCAUUCAUGAAAAAUGGUUUUAAUCUUGGAAGGAUGGGCCUAAAGUUUUCAAUCAACAUGUUGGCAAGCAUGAUAGUGCUCAUAAUAAAUCUAGACAACAUUAUGAGGAUUUCAAAAAUCAAAGACAAAAUUUGCCACAUGUGUUUGAUAGGGGUUCUAAUAAGCAGUGGCGGAGCUAGCAUUUGAGAACAGGGUGGCCCGGCCUAAAGAAAAAAAAAUGAUAACAAAUACUAUGACAUGUGAAUGAUCUAACUAAUUACCAAUAUCACACAAGUAGAUUAAUAUGGUCUGACAAACACACUAAAAUUCUCAAUUUAAGUCUAAGUUUAACAUAAAUAAGCCUACACAGUACAUAUUACAUGGACGUUUGUAAGUACAUACCUUAAGUUCAAAACGACUAUGUUUCUUCCCUUUCUUCGUAUAGCUUCUCUCUGGAAAAGAGAAACAAUGUCUUUGAUCCUCUUCAUUCUUCGAACAAUUCUGCAAUAAGAAUUUUUCUAUCAAUAAAGCCAUUUGGGGCAGAAAUGAUGCACAAAAUUAUGUUGUUGGUCGGUUCAUCUACAGGAUAGAUAGCACAACAAAAAUACUAAAUCAAAAAUUGGGGGAAAUUGGGUAUUUGAGACCUUAAAUCAGGCUCACUUGCUAAGGUGCUACCACCGGACUGGGCCACUGGGCAGCCACUGCCGGCUUUGCAGGGGCAUCAGGCGACCGGGGCAGGGAUGCAUCCGCGCAGGGCAGGGGCACACUCAGAUCGCAGGGGGGAGGAGAGGCGACAUGCGGAACCUCCUCAGCAGGUGGGCACCGGCGAUCGCCACUGGCGAGGUGGGAGGGGCUUUGCCCCUGCGAGGGCAUCGGGACUAGGGACGAGGCGGCUCCGCGGCUGGUUCUACUACUCGAUAUAAUCCAUUGCUCAAUGUAGAUGACGAAGUGGCUGUGGGCUGUGGCUACAUUCGUCAACACGUAAGUAUUUUGGGCCAUAAUUUUUUAUCUGGCGCAGCCAACGAUCCAUAGGUAUAUGGGCUGACCAAAAAUCCCAGGGUGGGCUGCGGCCCACCCUGGCCACCCUGUAGCUCCACCCCUGCUAAUAAGAAAAAGAAGAAGAAUACAAAGCUCGUCUCUUGAUUAUAAUAGGAGAUACAAUUGGAUUUAUGCAAGGCUUGUUCAGAAGAGACCACCAAAGUCAUUCUUGAGGAGAUUAGAGAUAGUAAAUUUGCAUUACUUGUUGAUGAGUCAAGAGAUGCAUCUAUGAAGGAGCAAAUGGCUAUGUGUUGAGGUGAGUACCUUUGCUCGUAUUUUCUUAAAUGUUUUUGUGGGUGUAUUUUCUUAUAAGUUUUUAUAUAUUAAUCAUGCUCCUAUGUCUUAUGUAGGUAUCUCGGCAAACAUGGGGAGGUGAUUGAGAGAUUCAUGGUAGUUGAGCAUGUUCCUGACACGAGAGCAACUUCGCUAAAGAUAUCUUUAGAUGGUAUGUUUGCUACUCUUGGCUUGUCUAUGUCUAAUUUGAGAGGGCGGGGUUAUGAUGGGGCAUCAAAAAUGAGAGGGGAAUUCCGUGUAUUGCAAAGAUUGAUCUUGGAUGAAAAUCCUUAUGCUCAUUAUAUACAUUGUUUUGCCCAUUAGUUACAAUUAGUGGUUGUUGUUGUUGCCAAGUGUUGUUCAUCAGUAAGGGAUUUUUUGAAUACACAAGCAUGGUUGUUAACAUUGUUAAUGCUUCUUGUAAAAGACAUGAUCAGUUAGCCCAAGAGCAACAUGAUGAAAUAGUGCGCCAAAAGAGGUUGGGGAACUUCUUGAGGGAAGAGGGAAAAACCAAUUAACUAACCUUGCUAAACCCGGUGAUACACAAUGGGGGUCACAUCAUAAAACCUUGUGCUGUCUUGUUGAGAUGUGGAAACCAGUUCUGAAGGUAUUAGAAAAUUGACACAAUUAUGCCGAUAAUGUUGCCCAAAGAACCACAGCUGCUGGGUUGAUAAAGCACAUGGAGUCCUUUGAAUUUGUUCUCAUAUUGCAUCUUAUGAUAAGAUUAUUGGGCAAGACUAACAAUCUGUCACAAUGCUUGCAAUUGAAAAAUCAGAAUAUUGUACGUGUUGUGGGAUUGAUUAAAACCACAUUGGAGGAUAUUCAAGAGAUAAGGCGGAAUGGUUGGGAUGAGCUCUUUAAAGAGGUAACAGACUUUUUUGUCAAAUACAACAUUGUAGUGCCAAAUAUGGAAGAUACAAGAACUGCUAAAUGGUGUUCAAGGACUUGGGGUGGGCAAUUGGUAACUUACAACCUCCAUUUCAAAAAUGAUAUAUUCAAUGUGUUGCAUGAUCAACUUAUUGUGGAGUUAAACAACCGCUUUGCUAAGCUUGCAUUUGUUAUUAACUAGUUUUACAUGCUAUAUUACGCACUGAUUUGCAUUUCAAAAUUUAUCAUUGAAGGUUUAGCUUAUUCUGCUAUUGAAGAUGUAGUCAUGGGAGUCUCAGAUCAACCAAUCCUUUGAUUUGGUAUCAAUCUUUUGUAUCAUUUAUAUAUGCUACAUACUGUAUUUUGAUUUGCCUUGCUUUAUUAGUUGGCCCAUCAUGGAACAAAUGCUGUCAUGGAAUAUCAUGUUUGGUUUCUUGUUAGUUAUGCAACAUAUAUUGACAUUUGUAUGCCAUGAAAUGAGAGUUUUUUGUGAGUAGUUUUUAGCCCUUAGUUUCUCGCCUAGGGCGUCGGCCAGUCCUGGCUCCGCGACUGGACAUCCCCUACAUGGCUACAAUUGGUGUGGGUAGCCAACGUGGAUACUACUAACCAGCGGUGACUCCUUCCUUCACGUCCAUAGUUGGCUCGGGUUGCAGCGUACCAGACAUUUGCAACAGUCAUCCUGAAAACUUUUCUAUUCUAUUUUAUUUUGACCUCCACUAUUUCAUGUGCCGCGCUCGUAAGCCUUGUCGUAUAUACUUCCGCAAGGCGAGUUUUGUUCCUUCAAGCCAACCCUGAUUAAUUCCUUUCCUUGUUAAGGCAAGGCAAAUUUCAUUCCCCAACAAUGCAUCUUCUUCUUUAUUGGGUCUUUCUCUUGUUGUAUGUUCAGACUAUUUGUGGAUGUAUUUAAAUCGGUAAGGUUUGAUCUAAAGAAGCAAGGUGGGACUAAUCGGUAAAAUUAGAUAUAAAGAAGCGAUAUGGGCUAUUUAACUACCAAAAGAACCCAAUAUCCACUCAGACCAAUAAUGUAGCAUAGCUGGUUGUGUCCGUUGGAAGGUAGGGUGCUGGUCCAGAGUCCGAACGUCCACCAACGCCAUUUUUUUCGUAGAUUCGUUUAUUCAAAACGUAUCUCUUAAACUGUGCAUUCAAAUCUCGAACUAUAUUCACCGUUCGAUUCCUCGCGUCAAGAUCUUCAAAAUUAGAUCCCAUGUUGAUAGAUUUUGAUGAACUUUUUUUUCACGGAAAAACUGUACAAAAAAACCAAACUGGGAGCACGAGUUUUUUCCCUUUCCGAAAGAGGCACGCCCGUGCCUCUCACGAAAUCACAACCGCGCCUCUCGCGGAAGCAAAACCGUGACUCUUGCGGAAAAAAACACGUUUUUCCCGUUUCCGAGGAGGCACGACCGUGACUCUCGUGAAGCACACCCGUGCCUCUCGCGGAAGCAAAACCGUGAUUCUCGUGAAAGGAAAAAAAUAGAGAACACAUUCUUUUCUGUUUCCAAGAGGCACGGUCGUGACUCUCGUGAAAGCACAACUGUAUCUCUCGUGGAAGCAAAACCAAGACUCUCGCGAAAGAAAAAGAAAAACGUGUUUUUUUCCGUUUCUGAGAGGCACGGCCGCGACUCUCACUAAAGCACAACCGUGUUUCUCGCGGACGCAAAACCGUGACUCUCAUGAAAGGAAAAAAACAGAAAACAUGUUUUUUCUCCUUUUCCGAGAGGCACGGCCGUGACUCUCGCGAAAGCAAAACCAUGCCUCUCGCGAAAAAAAACACAUUUUUUCACGCAAUUUUUUUUAUGGAUUUUUAAUCAAAAAGCUAAGGACGACCGGUGGAAAACCAAAAUGUUGAAAAAAACCAGUUUAAAAAACUGAAAACGCGUGCGGACAAAUAAAAACACAAAAUCCGAAGGGAGCGUCCAAAGUGUGACACGUAGCGAAUGACUAAGAGCGCAUCAAGUGGCGCUGAUCGUUGCAAGGCUCCUAAUGGAGCGCUCGUUAACUAGUUGCUCUGUAGAAAGUAACACGUCAAAACAACCAAUAUAAAAUGGGGAGGGCGAUUCGGUGCCUACGUCCAGAUGAACCUGAUAUCCUGAUCGUUCAAUGGUGCCUAGGGAUGUUGAAAAAUAGGUCUGUCGCGUCAGACUUGGGGCGCUGGAAAAUUGGAUACGGGCAGUAUACCGCAGGGAACAGUGCAGUGCGGUGGUCCUUUCUAUGCAGCGGGCGGCCUAUUUCGAAUCGCACAUGGGUUGUUCCAUCACUUAGCAGUCCCGAGCCGUGGUACAGGUCGUCGCCGAUGUUACGAGCCCGGCCCAGCGUGAUGUCAAUCAAAAGCCGAGCCGUCGGACGGUAGUUCAAGACAUAGAAAUUUAUCUCGUGAUGUCGAUAGUGCUAGAUGAUGAAUUUGUCGGUCAUUUCUUCACUUCCUACGCCAGCAAUCUCAUUUGUGAUGAGAGCAAGCCUAGAGUACAUUUCAGCGAUGCCUUCACCAUCCUUCAUCUUGAACUUGUCAAGUUGACUUUGAAGCACAUCCAAUUUGGAUUCCUUGACUGAGUCGGUACCUUCGUGCAUAUCAAUCAAAGUGUCCCAAAUUUCGUUUGCAUUCUCAAGGCGACUGAUUUUGUUGAAUUCUUCGGGGCACAAUCCGUUGAAGAGGAUAUCACAAGCUUGAGCGUUGUAUUGCAGCAUCUUCAACUCUUCCACGCUAGCUUCACGGUUUGGUUCUCUCCCAUCAAAGAAUUCACCUUGCAAGCCAAUACACACAAUAACCCAAAUGGCGGGGUUAUGUCCGAGGAUAUGCAUUUUCAUCUUAUGCUUCCAACUAGCAAAAUUAGUACCAUCAAAGUAAGGACCUCUACGGUGGUAGUUUCCCUCGCUAGACGCCAUACUCUUCUAGGUUGUGAAACCAAGGCUAUGACCACCAAAAGCUAUGGAGAUCAAAGCAAAUGGAGACCAAAGCUCUGAUACCACUUGUAGGAUCUUGAAGUAUGUCUAGAGGGGGGGUGAUUAGACUACUUGACCAAAUAAAAACUUAACCUUUUCCCAAUUUUAGUCUUUGGCAGAUUUUAGCAAAGUUAGCACAAGUCAAGCAAUCUUAACACAAUUCAAGCAAGCAUGCAAAGAGUAUAUGAGCAGCGGAAAAUAAAUCAUGCAACUUGCAAGAAUGUAAAGGGAAGGGUUUGGAGAUUUCAAACGCAAUUUGGAGACACGGUGAUUUUUGAGCCGUGGUUCCGAUAGGUUGUGCUAUCGUACAUCCACGUUGAUGGAGACUUCAACCCACGAAGGGUAACGGCUGCGCGAGUCCACGAAGGGCUCCACCCAAGAAGGGUCCACGAAGAAGCAACCUUGUCUAUCCCACCAUGGCUGUCGCCCACGAAGGACUUGCCUCACUAGCGGUAGAUCUUCACGAAGUAGGCGAUCUCCUUGCCCUUACAAACUCCUUGGUUCAACUCCACAAUCUUGUCGGAGGCUCCCAAGUGACACCUAGCCAAUCUAGGAGACACCACUCUCCAAGAACUAACAAAUGGUGUGUUGAUGAUGAACUCCUUGCUCUUGUGCUUCAAAUGAUAGUCUCCCCAACACUCAACUCUCUCUCACAGGAUUUGGAUUUGGUGGAAAGAAGAUUUGAGUGGAAAGCAACUUGGGGAAGGCUAGAGAUCAAGAUUCAUAUGGUAGGAAUGGAAUAUCUUGGUCUCAACACAUGAGUAGGUGGUUCUCUUCAGAAAUGGUAAGUUGGAAGUGUAGGUUUGUUCUGAUGGCUCUCUCCAUGAAUGAAGAGGUGGUGGAGGGGUAUAUAUAGCCUCCACACAAAAUCUAACCGUUACACACAAUUUACCAAUCUUGGUAGGACCGAAUCAACAAACUCGGUCAGACCAAUUCAGUAAACCUAGUGACCGUUAGGGUUUUCGGUGGGACCGACAUGCAACUCGGUAGGACCGAUAUGGUUAGGGUUAGGGAAUAACGUAAUCUCGGUGAGACCGAUUACACAAACUCGGUGAGACCGGUUUUGGUAAUAAGCUAACCAGAGAGUUGGUCAGGUAAACUCGGUGGGACCGGUUCGCUCUUUUCGGUGAGACCGAAAUGUUAUGAAAGGGAAACAGAGAGUUUACAUUGCAAUCUCGGUGGGACCGAUCGUUCAUCUCGGUUAGACCGAAACGUUACGAAGGGAAACAGAGAGAUUACAAUCCCAUCUCGGUGAGACCGAGAUCCCUAUCGGUGAGACCGAUUUGCCUAGGGUUUGUGGCAGUGGUUUUGACAUCUGAACUCGGUGGCGCCGGAUAGAAAGAAUCGGUGGGGCCGAGUUGGACUUUUAGGUUUAGGUCAUAUGUGGAUGUGGGAAAGUAGUUGAGGGUUUUGGAGCAUAUCACUAAGCACUAUGAAGCAAGAACCUCAUUAAGCAACACCUCAUCCCUUGUUGAUAGUAUUGGCUUUUCCUAUAGACUCAAUGUGAUCUUCGAUCACUAAAAUAUAAAAUGUAGAGUCUUGAGCUUGAAGCUUGAGCCAAUCCUUUUAUCCUUAGCAUUUUGAGGGAUCCACUUUUCUCAUCCAUGCCAUGCCAUUCAUUGAGCUUUCCUGAAAUAUUUGUCUUGAAAUAGUAUUAGCUUAAUGAGCUAUAUGUUGUUAGGAAUUACCAAAACCACCUAGGGAUAGUUGCACUUUCACAACAUAAUAGCACAGGCUCGCAAGGGGGAGCCGGCGGCAUGUGUCGGCGCCCGGGUGGCCUGUGUGUGGUAUAGUGACGGUGUCACGGGGAGGAGCGCCCGUAGUCAAGCCCCGGGAUGUAGCCAUAUCAGUGAACCUCGUUAACAAAUCUCGGUGUCGUGUUCGUGUGAUUGCUUGGUCCUCGGAUGAUAAACAGUAUGCCUCAGAUUUAUUCUAACAAGUGGUAUCAGAGCUAGGUUAUUCGGAGGUCGCAGAUCAUUGAUCCAGAGGAGGAAGAACAUCGACAAGAAUCUGCAUGAUGCGGUCGUAAUACGGGACAAAGAACGUCGGCGAGUUGUGAUCUAAAGCAGAGUUGGUGGUGUUGUAAUCUUUACGAAGCGAUCGGAAGCUGCGGCGGCUUGGUUGUUCAAUCGCACCAACAGCGGCGCGUCCGUGGCAGCGGGAUCCGUAUCGAAUCGUGGCAGCAGCAGCGUACAGGGGCUGGAUCCGGCUUGCCUGCUUCCUCCCCAUGCUCCCAUCUGUGCUCCCACUUCAUCCUACGGCUAUCUUUUUUUUUUAUUUUUCUAAUCUAAUCAUCUCCCCCCUGAUUUUAAAAGGGUGGGACCGGGCCUUAUUUUGUUCCAAUCAUAUCAAGCCAGGUACGCGGGAGCAUGGAUGGGCACACACAUGGGGAGCAGGCAAGUCUCGUCCACAGGGGCUGGCCGAGCCAGGCUACACGCGGCCGUGAGGGCCCAAGCGCAGGUGAGGCCAGCGCUCCAUGGCAACCCGCGUGGAAGCAAAAAUCGGGCAUUGACUUUGGUUGUGUGCCAUACUGCUGCAGAAAUCGGGAGUACUGUACCAAGUUAUUUGUUUGAAAAAAAAUAUGGCACAAGGACUUAGUCAGAUCGUGAUGCUACCAUGGAAAAAGAAAAGGAAAGGAAAGCCUAGCUGGAAACACGUGACGCAGGCCUAAGGGCUUGUGUGGCUUCGACAAGAUUAUGGCGCGAGGUUGAUUCAAGGUGAUGUACACAUGGAGCUUGAAGUCGACGGGGCGCGAGGGUGGACUGAUCAUCUACCAUGGAGUCAUGUUGAAGGUGGAGCUGGAUUGAGGGGCUACGGUGUAAGGAUCCAGAGAAUCGAAGCCUAUUCAGCGGAUGAGAAAAGCGAGUGGCACGUAGUUCGGACUGGAGCCCAAUGGUCUGAUGGAAGCGUGAAACUCGUCAUCGGUCUGUGAUGAUCGGUGGUACUCUGCAGUGGGGGUUGAGUGGUGUGGUUUGCGACCCUUGAGACUCGACCGGGACAGCGGAGGCUCGACGCAGUAAUAACGGCGAGGCGUGCGGUACGCACGAGACUUGGAGAUGAGCCAGGGCUCUGGUGGUCAUACAUGUGAUUAGACAACUGCGAAUUUGACUCAGGAUGACUACAAGCAAUGGUGAAAUUCCUUCAAGUUUUUGAAAGGUGGUCAAGAAAGGAGCGGUGAUGUUGAGUUCAGGUAAUUCUUAUGUGUUACACCCAAUAUGUGAGUUGUUCACUUUCACGUAGGUCAGUGAUCGGUGUGUGAUGGCGUUGGACGAGUACUCUAGAUUUGGGAGCACAAGCUAGUAAAAGGAACUUAAUUUUGCUUGAGUGUUGACCGUGGUCAAGAAAAGAAGGGACUACACGUUGCAGGUGGAGUCAUAUGAAGUCUUUGGAGUAGCAGCGGUACUCAUGGGAUAAGCUCAAGUCCAAUGUACAUGGAAAUUUGACGCAUUGACAAAUUCAAGGUGGUGGAGAAUAUUCGCCAAGGUGGAGUUUGUGGGAGUUGUGUCGAAUAUUGUGUAAAAGGUAGGUUACAGUUGGACUUGUAGUUGUAUUGUGUUUAGAUAGGAUAUGGAGUUGUGUCAUAAUAGGACACUUAUAUCCUAGGUCUCUCUUAUAUAGCGAGGGUAGACACACGAUGUAACCUAUGCCAACAUAAUAGCACAGGCUCGCAAGGGGGAGCCGGCGGCGUGUGCCGGCGCCCGGGUGGCCGGUGUGCGGUAUUGUGACGGUGUCACGGGGAGGAGCGCUCGUAGUCAAGCCCCGGGGAUGUAGCCAUAUCGGUGAACCUCGUUAAUAAAUCUCGGUGUCGUGCUCGUGUGAUUGCUUGGUCCUCGAAUGAUCAACAAUAUGCCUCAGAUUUAUUCUGACAUGAUGAAGACGCUGCCUUGUGCGGUGAUGCAACCUAAUGGUGCGUAAGCUUGCACGAGGACUCCUAGUUUUCCUUCCAGUUCCACAGACACGACUUGCCUUGAUAGAUUGAGGUGACCGCAUUUACCCCUGGGCAUUUUUCCAUACUUUGAAUCGAACAACACUGCCUGCCUAGCUUCAGCCUCAACAACAUAUUCGAUACAGCUAGGAGGUAGCGAAAUGCAAAAAAAUCUUAGUCCAUGUUCGAAUGGCAAGGAAUCCGCAACAUGGAUACCAAAGAUGGUGCCCUAAACCGGCUGCUCAAGUUGCUGAUGUGAUAGCUCUAUCUUGGAGAGGUCUCAACUAGACUGAACGCAUGCAUAUUAUGUCCAUACUCACAAUCAAGGGAGAAAAACUAACUGAUCCAUGGCAUGUUAUAAUCAAGCUUCUUUCCACGCUUUACUCUUAGUUGGAUCUCAAUCUUAAUGGGUUCCUCUGACACAAUUCCGCAUGUUCCGGUCAAGAGCAAAAAAGGAUCUUGCAAGUUGCCACUAACAAAUCUGAAGUGUUGUCAUCGAAGCAAUUUUUUUCGUAAAGGACCACUCGCGCCAAUGAGUUGGCAGAAAGGGCCACCUUGAAAAUCAUUGAAAAAACUACUACUCAGGCGGCACCUGCGCUAGGUGACACAUGGCACUUGCCACCAUAGGAGAUGGUGACAAAUAUUGUUCAUGCACUGUUUAUCCAUGCGAUGAUUUUCAUGAGCUGAAACGAAAACGGGGAUGGUGAACAAUACAUGCCGCUGUCCCCUACAACGGCAUGUAAUGUUCAUGUGGUUGAAUAGUAAUUAAAACAAACUAAUAGAAAAAUUCAGAAAACCGAAUGUUUUGGCAGCAAAGAUGAUCGAGGGUUAUAAGUGCGUGUCCAACCGGGACAUGCACUUUCAGUGGCGUUGGCUCCAUGUGAUGACCUCGCGGAUCUCUUCCAUGACAAAUUCCAUCUCAAGUGAUUGCAAAUUGAUGCCAUGCAGGUAUCAAUUUUGUAAACCGAGAUUUGAGAUGUGGUAGAAAACGAAAGCUUUCAUCAUUCCCACCCUAUGCUUCGCCGAUGCAUACAACCGAACCAUUUAUUAUCAAGUUUAUACAAAUCAAGAGACACAGUGAUACCAGAAAAGUGUGACGGGCCACACCAAAAAUAUUAAGAACUAAAGAAGCCUAGCAGUAGCACGCAAUCCAAUAUGGAACGUCGAUUCACUGGUAAGCCACUCUUGGAGCCAAGCUUAAUCUGAUCAUUUUUGUCUAUGAACGUGAGACAUGAAUUAUAGUAAACUCAAAUAGACUUGACGUAACCACAGAAAAUACUUAGUAGUUUUGCGUGGACUGGUUGGGACAGAGAAGGGUACUUGCACUUAGGUCUGGAAGAGUGGUUGGCCUCCUGAAAAGAAACAUCUCUGUUAUUGCAAGGGUCUUGUGUAAAAAAUAUAAAUCUAGUUACCUCAGGUUGAAAGGAAAUAUCUUUUUAAACCCUAACCUUGCCAAGAGGCCGUGUCUGUAAACAUACAUGAUACUGCAAUGGUUUUUGUGUGUGGCAAAGUUUGAUACAUAUAUGAUGUUGGUUACAAAGAGCUAAAAAGAAAUAGAAAACAGUAUAGAUUAUUUGUUUUUCUUUUUUGGGGCAAAAUUUGAUGCAUAUAUCAGCAAGAGCUAAGAAGAAACAAAAAAGUUAUAGAUUAUUGUUUUUAUCUUUUUGGGGGCAAAAUUUGAUGCAUAUAUGAUGUUGGUUGCCACAAAUUUUGGUAAAAAAAAUCAAAAUUCGCUAGAAGGAGGGCUCGAACCUCCGAGCUUGUGGUUAACAGCCACGCGCUCUAAACAACUGAGCUACUCCACCUGUUUUAUUGUCCAAAUUAUUUAACGCUAUAUAAACUAGGGCAAGGUGUAACGGGACAAUAUUUGUUACUGGUUCCAGGUUCACACGUGACACCUGGUAAGUUAAGCAUUGCUGGGGCAAGCCUUUUCUUUUGAGGGAAAGUUUAUUCCCGGACUAGCGCGUAGGUGCGGUGCAUGCAUGUACCGGACCCGUCACUCUAAAGUCCCAACCAACAGCCACGUCGUCUACGAGGGCUGCUGAAAUGAUGCAACGUUAAUCCUAUUUUCUUUUUGAACAUUAGUACAGACACAUCGCCAGAAAUCCUGAAAUAAAUUCAGAAAUAAAUGCAAGCAUCAGGAUUUAAACCCUGAUGGCCUGGGGAUACCACAGUCUCUCUAACCAACCAACUACAGAUUGGUUCGCUAUUUUUUUUGUCUUUUUGCGGGAAACACUAAUCCUAUUCUAAGUGAUGACACGCUAUUGUGCUGAACCGCCUGCAAAUGAUGCUUGUAGAUUAUGGUCACACAACUAGAGCAUGAAGAUCAUCCUCAUCCUUACGCCAACAAACAUAACACGUUAGGAAGAAACAUCCAUAACUUUUUUGCGGGGAAAGAAACAUCCAUAUUACUGGCGCCAGCUUCAUCCUGCUAUGUUUUUUUCUUUUUUCUUUCUAAAAAAAGGUUGAAACCUCGGAAUACAUAUAAGAUGCACACCGUCAUCUUUAUUGAAUUAUUUAACAAAAGUCCUCCAAAAACAUACAUCAAACAUCUCGAAGCCACCACUUCACACCUACAAACCCGACAAUGAGGAUGUAAUCACAAUGCCCCAUCAUCUAGAACCGUCGUCAUCACCGAGCCGCCGACACGGCGUACCGAAGCACACUUCCAGUCCAGUAGACUAUAAGCGCGCAGAACAUGCACACGCUUUAGAAGCCGCACCACCAUCAAACAGUCGACUCAUCUUCACGGUAGAGAUCGCAUUAUCCUUGCCAAGCUAGCCGUCGACGCCGCUAUGGUGCCAAAUGGCGUCUCCACCCCGUUCUCAUCCAUUAGGAUGCAUCCGUAGCCGAGACUCCGCCGCGCCAUGUCGCCAAGACCCGUCGUCGAAGCGGUAUAUACGACACCGCUCCACUUUCUCGCCCUUCCAGAGGCUGCUCCAAAACGAUGCUCCCAGAAGGGAAAACGAUGCUAAGCACCGCCGUCGUUCGAUCCGGGAGUCCCGGUCUAGGGUUUCCUUAGGAGUAGCUAUACCUGGCCAUGGGAAGCCCGGCCCGGCCGGCCCGGCCCGAAAAAGCCCGACCCAGCCCGGCCCGACGCUGCCCCCAGGCCGGGCUCGGGCCUAGAUUUUGAGCCCGAAGGCCGGGCCGGGCCCGUCGUUUUUGCGCUUUCCUGAAGGUCGGGCCUGGCCGGCCCAAACCCUGACGGGCUUUUAGGUGUUCGGGCCGGGCUCGGGCCCAAAAACAGGCCCGUUGGUCGGGCCGGGCCGGGCCCGGGCCUGGGUUUUUUGCGUCGGGCUUGGCUAGGCCCGGCCCGAAGCCCGGCCCGGCCCGAGGUAUGGCCAGGUAUAGGAGUAGCCGAGCGAGAAGACGAAACCUGACAUGAUGAUACCCCCCACAUGAUCGAAGUCGGCUCAGUUUUCAUCGACAGUCACGCCUCCCCUUCCUCGUCGCCGAUAGUAGCUGAUGUGCCAGUUCUCCCCCUGACUGGCUACUGGUCAUUGUGUUGCCAUGCAGUAGCAGCCGCCGGUAGACACUACACAUCGCCACCUAGCCUCAAGCCACAACAGAUCCACUUAGUCGGCCUGUCGACCCAAAGAACGAGGGCAUCGUGACCAUAACACCUUUUUCAGGCCAUCGUCGGCUGCCCGACCACCACCGCUUUGAGGCCGCUGCCCUGGGAUGAAGCUACACCUCACACACGACCAACGUCUAGGGCCAAAACUGCACUCUGUGCGGAGAUCUCCCACGAGGACGAGGAGACGAGGGCCAAUCGAUCGCCAUCCGCCGGGCAGGGCUUUUGCUUGCCGGCCUCCUCUGACGGCGACGGCUAAUUGAAGGGGAGGAGGAGUGGGGGCGGCGUUGACUAGGGUUCGCCCGAGCCGCCCCGCUAGGAGUGGCGCGGAUGCGGUACCCCUGUGAGGUGGACGUGGGACGCUGAGCACAUGCUAUACUGUAUAAAUUUGGGAAAAAUUAUUGGCUUUGAAAAAAAGUUCAUCAACUUUGAAAAAACCCCAUUCAUUUUGAAAAAAGAAGAUCGAAAGGUUCAACAAUUUUGAAAAAAAAAACAUCAUGAAUUUAGGAAAAAAUCAUCGAAUUUUAAAAAAUGAAAUUGGAAAAGUUUGCACAUUGCAAAAGAAAAAAGAAAACAAAAAGGAACAUAAAAAAGGAAAAGUAAAAAAAGAAAAAGGAAACAAUAAAUGCAACAAAACGUUUGAAGAAACAAGAUAAAAUGAAACAAGGAAAAAAAUAAAAAAUAAAAAAGAAAAGAGGAAAAAGAAAAAAGGAAAGAGGAGACGGAGAAAGACAUAAGGAAACACAUCAGCUUACCAUGGCUAGUUGGUUAUCGCCUCAAACUUGGUCGAGUCCUGCCACACCCAAACUAGUUUGUCAUUUAAAUCAGAAAGAAAAAGAAUUGGCGGGCCCAGCUACAUAUAUGGAGUGUUCGCCCUCAGUGGGGUGAGGACACCGCAAGAUUGAACCAAUCACAAAGCACCUCUUUCAUUGCAAGAAAAACCAAUCUAGUUGACCAAACCUAAUCGAUAGAUCGAAGAGAAAUACAAAGCUAUCAAAUCAUGCAUAUAAGAAUUCAGAGAAGACCCAAAUAUUAUUCAUAGAUAAUCUGAUCAUAAAUCCAUAAUUCAUCGAAUCUCGAUAAACGCACCGCAAAAAAAGAUUACGUCGAAUAGAUCUCUAAGAACAUCGAGGAAAACAUUGUAUUGAAGGUCAAACAGAGAGAAGAAGCCAUCUAGCUACUACCUAUGGACCUGUAGGUCUGUAGUAAACUACUCACACAUCAUCGAAGGGGUAGCAAGGUUACCCCCCGUGAUAGAAUUCCCCUCCGAUGGAGUGCCGGAAAAGGCCUCAAGAUGGGAUCUCACGGGAACAGAGACCUACGACGGUGGAAAAGUAUUUUUAUGGAUGCUUCUAGGGUUUCUGGAAUAUUUGGGAAUUUAUAGGCCAAAGAGUCGGUGUAGGGGACUCCCGAGGGGGCCACAAGCCCAGGGGGAGCCCCCCUAGGGCGCACCCCUACGGCUUGUCAUCGCCUCAUGGGUCUUCUGACUUCAUCUCCAAGUCACGUAGAUGUCUUAUGGUCCAAAAAAAAUCAUCAUAAACUUUAUUCCGUUUGAACUCCGUUUGAUAUUUCUUUUCUACAAAACUUAAAAACAAGGAAAAACAGAAACUGGCACUGGGCACUAGGUUAAUAAGUUAGUCCACAAAAUAAUAUAAAAUAAUAUAUUAAUGCAUAUAAAAGAUCCAAAGUUGAUAAUAUAAUAGCAUGAAACAAUACAAAAUUAUAGAUACAUUGGAGACGUAUCAGCACCCGCCUCCCUUCAAGCGACGGUCAGGAGCGGACACCUUCACAUCGACUCGACACCUCUGUAUAUGUCCAAGUAUUGCGGAUCCACAUAUGUCCUGUUAGACUGUAUUUACAUGUGUAUAUUGUAACAUUGUAUACCACCUCAUUAUAUAUAUAUGUGAUAGGCCACACCUAGAGGGUUGUGCCGGUUUCCCCAAAGCCUAUUGUCUUACAUGGUAUCACGCUAGGUUACGUCCGCUUCCGCCUAAAAACCCUAAACCGCUGCCGCCGCCGCCGCCGCCACCGCCGCCGCCGCCGCGCCCGCCGUCGCCGUCGCCCGACUGCUAUGACGUCCGCCGCUGCGUCCGGCUCCACCGCCACCGGUUUUCUGCCGGCCUCCCUCGCGGCACUUCUCUCGAGGCCGCUGGAUGCCGCCUCCCUUCAGGCGCCGAUCGGGACACGGAGCGUCGGCUCCCUCUUCGCGCUCCCGCCGGCUGCUACUUCGCCCGGGCAGGCGCUUGUGGCCCACACCGCCGCCGCCCUGUCAACCGCGGCUGUCGCGCCCUCGGCCACUGCGCCGCUGGUGGCGGAGGACGUCGCGCUGGCAGGCUUCGCGGCGUCAACCGCGGCCAUCGCGCCCUCUGUCACCGCGCCGGCUGCCCCUCUGACUGUCUCCACGGUGGUCUCACCUCAGCCAGUCUCCUCGAUGGGAUCGCAGCCGCCGCCGCCGUUUCACUUCGGCCAUCUCAUCACCAUCAAGUUGUCAUCGGACAAUUACAUCUUCUGGCGCGCGCAGGUUCUUCCGCUUCUUGGGAGUCACUAUCUGCUUGGCUAUGUCGAUGGCUCUCUCCCUUGCCCUCCUGCGCUGGUUGACAGCGUGCACGGUCCGGUCUAUAAUCCGGCUCACCGUGUCUGGACAGGGCAGGAUCAGGCGAACCUCUCCUCCAUCCAGGGGUCGCUCUCUCCGGCCGUUGCUGGGCUUGUUGUCUUCGCCAAGACGUCCCACGAGGCAUGGACUAUUCUUGAGCGCUCGUUUGCGGCACAGUCGCAGGCUCGUGUAUCUGGGCUCCGUCGCCAACUUGGGGAGUGUCAGAAGCUUGACUCCACCGCCACUGAGUUCUACAACAAAGUCAAGAGUCUCGCCGACACGCUGGUCUCCAUUGGACAGCCCCUCACCGACUCCGAGUUCAACUCGUUUAUUGUCAAUGGUCUUGAUGAGGAGUAUGACGCCCUAGUCGAGAUCAUCAAUGAGAGGGGCAACUCCACGCCCAUGCCAACACACGAGGUCUUUUCACGCCUCCUGCUUACUGAGCAACGAGUCGAGACGCGCCGAUCCAGGGGCAACAGCGCCCUCUCGGCAAACGCCGCCACCAAGGGUGGUCGCUCCUCUGCUUCAUCCAGGGCUCCUUCGGGGCAGUCACCACCACCCGCCUCGGCCCCUCCUCCUACUGCGACGCUACUAGGGGCUGGCGGUCCACGUGUGUGCCAGCUUUGUGGUCGCGAUGGGCACUGGGCCUCGAAGUGUCACAAGCGCUUCCAGCGGGGUUUUCUUGGUCUCGACAAUGACGGGAAGGAUACACGCAACUUUGCUCGUCAGGUCGCCAUGGCUGAUCAUCCGCCGCCGCAGAAGCCACAGGGACACAUUCAGUCCUACUCCAUUGAUCCCCACUGGUACAUGGACUCUGGGGUGACAGAGCACCUGACCAGUGAGAUGGGGAAGCUUCACACUCGUGAACCCUACCAUGGCUCCGACAAGAUCCACACCGCCAAUGGAGCAUGUAUGCACAUCUCUCAUAUUGGUCAAGCAUCACUUCUCACUAGACAUGCCAAUAGGAGCCUUCAACUUCGCAAUGUUCUUCGAGUUCCAUCUGUGACACGUAAUCUUCUUUCAGUUCCUAAACUCACUCGUGAUAAUAAUGUGCUUUGUGAAUUUCAUCAUUUUGAUCUUUUUAUUAAGGAUCGGGGCACGAGGGACAUUCUUCUUAGUGGGCGGCUCUGCCAAGGUCUCUAUCGUCUGGAGCAUCCUGGCGUCGCUCGCGUCUUUAGUGGAGUUCGGGUAUCUCCGUCACAGUGGCAUGCUCGUCUUGGUCACCCGGCCACACCUAUUGCCCGGCAUGUUUUGCGUCGUCAUGAGCUUCCUAGUGUGUCUAGUAAUAAAGAUGUAGCAGUGUGUGAUGCUUGUUAGCAGGGAAAGAGUCAUCAACUUCCCUUUUCGGAGUCCAGUCGUGAGGUGAAACAUCCUUUAGAACUUGUGUUUUCAGAUGUAUGGGGUCCUGCUCAGACUUCUGUUAGUGGUCAUAAUUACUAUAUCAGUUUUGUUGAUGCUUACAGCCGCUUUACCUGGCUUUAUCUUAUCAAACGUAAAUCUGAUGUGUUUGACAUUUUUGUUCAGUUCCAAAAACAUGUUGAACGCCUUCUCAAGCACAAAAUUGUUCAUGUUCAGUCGGACUGGGGUGGCGAGUAUCGCAACCUCAACUCCUUCUUUCAGUCGCUUGGGAUCACUCACCGUUUAGCAUGUCCACAUACACAUCAGCAGAAUGGUUCAGUAGAAUGUAAGCAUCGUCACAUUGUUGAAGCUGGUCUGACUCUUUUGGCCCAUGCAUCUGUUCCGUUUCGUUUUUGGAGUGAUGCUUUCACCACUGCAUGUUUUCUCAUCAAUCGUACUCCCACUCGUGUUUUGAAUAUGAAGACUCCCAUUGAAGUUCUCCUUAAUGAACAACCAGACUACACCUUUUUCAAGGUGUUUGGGUGUGCUUGCUGGCCCCAUCUCCGUCCAUAUAACAAGCGUAAGCUCGAGUUUCGUUCCAAGAAGUGUGUUUUUCUUGGUUAUAGCUCUCUUCAUAAAGGAUACAAAUGUCUUCAUGUGCCCACUAAUCGUGUCUACAUCUCUCGGGAUGUUGUGUUUGAUGAGCAUGUUUUUCCCUUUGCCAAACUCCCUGUGUCCACUACCGAGCCACCUGUCAUGCAUUCAUCCUCUGUUGCUUCUGACCAAUUUGAUGAUGUUGCAUAUUCUCCUCUAUUGUUGCCUAACCAUGGUGCAGGCACUGGUCGUGGGGCUCGUUUGGAGAUUCUGGAAGUGCCAUCUUCCUCUUCGUCGCCAUCGCCUUCAUCCUCGGCACCUUCUGUUGUGCAUGAGGAGCACAUGGCGCCCCUGCAUGGCCUCGGUUUCUGUGCUCAUGCACGGCCGAUCGACACCCUGGCCCGGUCGCCUCUGGCUUCUGGGCUGCCUUCGCCAUCGUCGCGCCCUGCAACCCCGCCGACUGGGCCGGCCUCCUCGGUCCCCGUCUCGCCCAGGGCGUCGGGGCAGUCAUCACCAGGCCUGGCCUCGCCCGCCCCUGCCUCGCCCAGGGUGUCUGGGCCCUUCUCACCAGGGCCGGCCUCGCCUGCUCUCGCCUCGCCAAGGCCGUCUGGGCCGGUGUCACCGGAGCUGGCCUCGCCCACUCUCGGUUCGCCCAUGGCCUCUGAGCCCCUGUCGUCGGGCCAGUCUUCGCCAUGCAGCCCGGAGUCGUCUGUCCCGAGCUCGCCUGAGGUGAUUCCUGCAUCUCCGGCGACCGUCACGUCUCCGUCACCUUCGCCUCCGCCGGCUCCUGCUGCUGCUCUACGUCCACAUACGCGCAGUCGGAGUGGCAUUUUUCAGCCUAAGCAACGUCACGAUGGCACAGUUGCUUGGUUAGCGGCGUGCAUGUCUGCUGCUCUCGCAGAUCCAUCCUCUGAGCCACGCAUGUAUCAAGCUGCUAUGCGCAUUCCUCAUUGGAGAGAGGCCAUGGAGCAGGAGUAUCAAGCGCUUCUUCGCAAUCAGACAUGGACUCUUGUUCCUCCACAAUCACGGGUAAAUGCCAUUGAUUCCAAAUGGGUUUUCAAAGUGAAGAGGCAUUCUGAUGGGUCUAUUGAGCGCUAUAAGGCUCGUCUGGUUGCUCGUGGUUUUCGACAGUGUUUUGGACUUGACUAUGAAGACACCUUCAGUCCAGUGGUCAAGCCUACUACCAUCAGAAUUCUUCUCUCUCUGGCUGUUACUCGAGGUUGGUUUCUUCGUCAGCUUGAUGUUCAAAAUGCUUUUCUUCAUGGUGUCUUGGCGGAGGAGGUUUACAUGCGCCAGCCUCCGGGUUUCUCUGAUCCGGAUCGCCCUGAUCAUCUCUGUCGUCUGUCCAAGGCAAUUUAUGGUCUGAAGCAGGCUCCUCGUGCUUGGCAUGCUCGUCUUGCAAUGGCUCUUCGUGCUCAUGGUUUCGCAUCAUCAACUGCUGACUCCUCAUUGUUUCUUCUUCAAAGGCCUGAGGUUACUAUGUACUUAUUGGUCUAUGUAAAUGAUAUCAUUUUGGUCAGCUCCUCUCAGUCGGCUGCUACUGCGCUUGUUCGCUCACUUGGUGCUGAUUUUGCGGUCAAGGACCUUGGGAAGCUUCAUUACUUUCUUGGUGUGGAGGUUACUUCUCGUGAUGCUGGCCUUGUUAUGACGUAGAAGAAGUACUCUCUGGAUUUGUUGCAGCGAGCUGGGAUGCUUAAGUGCAAACCGACGACUACACCCAUGUCUACCACUGAUAAGCUCAAUGCUGUUGAUGGUGUGCUUCUUUCUUCUUCUGAUGCGACAGAGUACAGGAGUAUUGUUGGUGGGCUCCAGUACUUGACGAUCACGCGACCAGACAUUUCCUAUGCUGUUAACCGAGUCUGCCAGUAUCUGCAGUCACCCCGUGACACUCAUUGGUCUGCUGUUAAGCGGAUUUUGCGCUAUAUUCGUUUCACGGUGGCUCAUGGUUUGCAUAUUCGGCCGUCUGACUCUGGUUGUCUUUCAGCAUAUUCUAAUGCAGACUGGGCUGGCAAUCCGGAUGACAGGCGAUCCACGGGGGGUUAUGCUGUCUUCUUUGGCUCUAACCUGAUUGCCUGGAGUGCUCGGAAACAGGCUACUGUCUCGCGUAGCAGUACUGAGGCUGAGUAUAAGGCUGUGGCCAAUGCCACAUCAGAUAUCAUCUGGGUACAGUCCUUGCUUCAGGAGUUAAGUAUACCCCAAUCACAGCCUCCUGUUCUUUGGUGUGAUAAUAUCGGUGCUACAUACCUUUCUGCAAAUCCGGUAUUCCAUGCCCGAACGAAACACAUUGAAGUUGACUAUCACUUUGUGCGUGAACGUGUCUCUCAGAAGCAACUACAGAUCAAGUUUAUUUCUUCCAAGGAUCAACUUGCUGACAUCUUCACCAAGCCAUUGCCUUUGCCACAGUUUGAGACUUGCAGGCGCAAUCUUACCCUUCUAGAUUCAUUAGAAAGUGGCUAAGAUUGAGGGAGGGUGUUAGACUGUAUUUACAUGUGUAUAUUAUAACGUUGUAUACCACCUCAUUAUAUAUAUAUGUGAUAGGCCACCCCUAGAGGGUUGUGCCGGUUUCCCCAAAGCCUAUUGUCUUACAUGUCCAAGUAUUAAUCCUCCAACUUAAGUGAAGCUCCACAAAUUACUAUAAUUAUUGUAAUUAUAUUAAUGAGUAAAGAGGUAGUAUUUAAAAAAUAAAAUAUCUACGAUAUGACUAAGCUCCCUAGGGAGUGAAGGCCUCUCUCAAUUGAGGACAUUGGUUUUGGAUUGGAUUUUUAAUUUGGACUUUCUCAACAAUUGUGCUCUCUUAUCCAAGUGAGGUCUUCAAUUUUAUAUUAUGUUGACAAUUUUGACUGGUCAAUGUUUUCUCGAAUCAACCGGCAGCAACCAGCUUAAAAAUAUGUCAUCUCGCGCAUGCUCUCAUCAAAUGACAAAAAAAAGAAUGCCAACAUGUAACACUGUAGCACCAAUAUGAUUUUGUAUUGAGUUUCCAAUUUUUUAGUUUGUUAAUAAUUCCUCAAGGAACUGUCACAUUCAAGUGAGGUGUUUAAUUUUGAAUUUGAUUCGUGAUUUUGACUGGUCAAUGAUUUCUGAAAUCAAUCCACAACAACAAGCUUAUAAAAAUACUCCCUUCGUCCAGAAAUACGAAAUUAAUGUAUCUAGAUGUAUUUUAGUUCGAAAUACAUCCAUUUUUGCGGCAAGUAAUUCUGGAUGGAGGGAGUAUAUCAGUCUCGCACCCUCUCAUCACAUGACAAAACAUUAAUACCACUGUAACACGAAUAAAAUACAUGUGCUCAUGCUGCAGGAAACUUCCCCGCAUAUGCAUGGGUUAAUUGGCAGAUAUCACAUAAUUAUACCCAGAAAGAACCAUCGAAAUACCGCAUUAUAAAAAAAAGGAAAAACACGCCAUCAUCUCCCCUACACUAAACCACUUUUUUGUAAUGAAAUCCCAACAAUACCAAUCGCGCAGCAAAGCACACCCAAUCCUUCUAGAAUAUUAUAUAGCUAAACUCAUACUUGAUACAAUUAUUACAAGCAAUUGCAUGUUACAUCCUUAGCUGACCACGCGUAUUUAUUCCAGAGUGUCAUGUGGACUAUUUGUAAUGAGGUGCAUACAACACUGGGACGGUGAUGGCUAGACAUAUGAAUUUGACCAGGGUCAGAUUAAUGCAUCCAGGCCACGUAUUCUCAUGGAAAUUCUAUUUUCAAAGGUCAACACAUUACAGAAUGUGAAGAUGAAAAUUUUCAAAAUUAUGGAGAAGGCAUAAGUAUUAGCAUGCCGUAUGGUUUUUGGCCCAUAGAAGGUUUUCCUGUCGUUGUUGGCUACUUGUUACUUUGUUUGAUUGUAAUUCGACAUGGCACAUUGAGUUUAUUCCUUAUGGUACUUGUCACUUGUUUGAUGGGUAUGAGACAUGGCACUUUAAAAUUAUUUCUUCUACGGUUUUAUUGAUUUACAGUGAAAAUGUUCAUUUUUAAGCAUCAACUGUGAUAUAUAUUUUGUACUGUGUUACUGCUGUUAUGACUAUUGUUGUAAGUUUUUUUUAACACAAAAAUUAAUCUACGUUGAAAACCUUAUAAAAAAAGAAACCCCCCGCCGUUGGGCCUACACAAGCACUACUAGACAUUGAGUUUAUUCCUUAUGGUAUUUGUCACUUGUUUGAUGGGUAUGAGACAUGGCACUUUAAAAUUAUUUCUUCUACGGUUUCAUUGAUUUACAGUGAAUAUGUUCAUUUUUAAGCAUCAACUGUGAUAUAUAUAUUUUGUACUGUGUUACUGCUGUUAUGACUAUUGUUAUAAGUUUUAUUUAACACAAAAAUUAAUCUACGUUGAAAACCUUAUAAAAAAGAAACCCCCCGCCCUUGGGCCUACACAAGGAUUACUAAAACCGUCCCGAUCAAGCCUGUAGGCGAAAGAUAAGGCCUUUCGGCCACCGGAUGGUACAACGGCAGAGAACAACAGGGCAAUCACAGGCGGGAGUGAUUAUAUUCAAGUGAGCUUACGGAGGGGCGGCGGACACGGGUAUUUAAGUCGGUUGUUCCGUCCCUCCACGGACGAGGUGGGACUAAAACUCCGUAGAGUGCACCGCGCCAACCUCCCCUCCCCCACCCACGCAUGUCGUUACUGAAUCAGCCCACACGCCCGACGAGCGUCGUUACUGGGCUGACCUACGAGCCGCGCAGAACGCCCCCAUUCGCGCCAUUACGGGGCCGAUCCACGCGCUGCGCCCAGGCGGCCCACUCAGGCGUGACUCCCACCUCUGCCUGAUGAUGGUUUAGCAGUUUAGUCCCACCUCGCCAGUUGAGGGACGCAGCGACCGGGUUAAAUAGCCGCGCCGCCGUCCCCUCGUAAGCUCGCUUGGUUACCUACUGCCUUUGCUUGCCCCAUUAUUCCCGCCCCAGAGCCCUCCCAUUAACGCCGGCCCAGCACGUUUUUUUUUUAGAAAAAACAUCACCAACGGUAACGACACAAUACUUCUAAUUAUAUGUUGUGCUACACAAGCUGAUAAUAAUAACAACGGUAAUACAUACUAGUACAAAUUAACAUAGCAACAAUAAUAGUUUCACACACAUAUAACAUAGGAAUAAUAGUUCCACACACGUAUAUCAUUUCGUCUCACAAAAUAACAGCAAUAAUAGUUGCACACUUGUAUCAUUCCGUCUCACACAAAAGACAUAAUAAAACUCUGAGAAAAUUGUCUCAAAAGCCUUCAAUAAAACUUUAUCAGACAUAUAUAUUAUGUCUAGCAUGAGAAUCACAUGCGAAUUUUAACUCCCUAUUUUGUUUUGAUGAAUGUAGCUGCAUCUCUAAGCCUGUUUCCUACACAACAAAAUGUAAAGAACUUGUGAGACAAUUUUUGAGAACAAAAGACGGUAAAAACAGACAAUUAAAAUGUAAAACUUACUUUUCAUUCAACUUGCACGUCUGCUUUCUAUGACCUGGAUUGCGACAUAGGCUGCACAAAGGACCACUUGUCCUCUCAUCAAAAGAUUUUGGUCUGCCAUUUUUUGUAACAUCUAGAUCUUUUUUUGACCUCCAUGUCUUGCUUUGCUUAGGUGCAUCCUUCGUGGAAACUUUCACAGGAUCACAUAUAACAUCAGGACCUCAUUCCGGCUCACAUGCCUCGUCAUGAACAUACCUUCUAUGAUCAACAACUUCAUAAUUGGGGAACUUUUCUUUGAUAUUAUAUUCUGCAGACACUGCAUCAACUCAUCGAACACGGAUGGAUGAUUUGCUGCAACUUGGAAAGCUUCUGCACCUGUUAUACUGAGUUGACUAUACCGAGCACGCUCAUCUGUCCCAAACAUGUCACUCUUGCGCUGUGCAGGCAGCCUACCCCUCGCAUUUUUCGACACCCUCUUAAGGAUGCAACACUUAGGUAUUUCAGAUAUUUUUAGAUGAACCAGUACAUAUAGAAUGUGUUUGCAAGGCAACCCUUUCCGAGCCAUUCGUCCACAACUGGAUUCUAUCAUCUCCUCUGAGUUUCCAGGUCGAUACUUAACUCUAAACUAAAAUUUGCAGUUAUUCUUCAAUGUCACGAUAAAGGUGUGACAGUCAACUCCCACUAGCGUCUCGAAAAUAUCCAGCUCUCCCAUCUUCUUCAGAUCUUUUUGAAGAAUAUAAAAAUUGUCUUGAGUGAAUACACCAGCAGCAUGCUUCUCAAUGUCCUUAUAUUCAGUGACUGAUGGUGGUACUAACUAGUUAAAACGAUAAUCAUCAUGCACCUCGUUCUCACGUAGUCGAACUAUGUAGUUCUCAUAAUGCACUACUAAAUCAAUAUUGGUCAUAGUCGAGGUGAAGGUGAAAACAAGAGUUUAGGCUUUCACUCCUCUGAUUACCGCGCAUACCAAGAAAAAAUCCAUUUGAAAUAUAUGAUGCUGCCCAAAGACUCCUCUUCCUGUACAUCAUAUUCAGCCACUCUUCUGUUUUAUCAGUCUUGCAUUUACCAACAACGCCAUCUCACCUCAAAGUUAGCAGGAGAGGUGGAGUAGUACAACUGUGACCUGGACUCAUUCAGUGACUUAUAAUUAAGGUGCUUCUACAUAUUUUUUCACAUGCCAUGAGUAAAGAUGAUGAAACACAUAUGAAGGACAAUCUGAAUAGCUCUGGUCAUUGCGGCAUCUCCAUUUGUGAUGACUGACUUUGGUUUCUUCUAACAAUUUGCUUUCAUGAAUGUCUGGAGAAGCCACAUGUACGUACCUUCACUCUCAUCAGACACAAUGGCACAACCAAACACAAUGGUGCAAUGAUGAUUAUUUCCACCAACAAAGGGGACGAAGGCCAUACCAUAUAUGUUCAUCUUGUAUGUAUUGUCAAACACAGUCAUAUCUCCAUACAGCUGAUAGUCCCGCCGUGACUGUGCAUUGCACCAGUACAUGCUCUUUAACCACCCUUCCUUAUCGAGCACAUACACAAAGUAGUUUGGAUUCUUGUCCUUUCUACUCCUAAUAAUGGUGAUUGCUGUGUCAGCAUCUCCCUUUGCAAUUAAUUUCAUUUUCUCUCUGCAACAUAGGUUGUAGAGGUCUCGCCUCACAAGGCCAUACUUAUUGUACAAACCAUAUCUGCUGAUGAAGUUAUCGACGCUGACAUGCUUUCUGAUCCCAGCUGCUUUCAACGCUAAAAUCUCAGCUUUUUGGUGAUCUCCUACCACUCUAUGUGACCGCAGGAAUGCCACCUCGUCCGGUCUAGUCAGAACAUGGUUGUGAUCAUCCAUGAAUGUCGCGACGAACCAAACUUCAUGUGCUUUUUCCAACUUCACGACCAACUGUGUGCCACACUCGCAACGAGUCCCAGGUCCAAGCCUCCGGGUACGGCCCUCCGGGUUUAAGAAUUUACUCCUCCGUUUUCCUGCCCUGGAGGAAAGGUACCGCAUGUAUCGUAUAGUUCUUGAAAGACCUUUCCCUCGUUUCACCUUCUCUUUUCUGAAACUCAAUCCACACUCUCUAGCAUGGUUAUUAUAGAACGUGUAAGCCUCCCAUUGUGAUCCAAAGGUCAUAGCCAUAACCUUCCAAUGUGUCUAUAGUGCUUGUUGCUGGAUUUCAGCCCGCUCAAUGUUCAUAUCAGUUGCACCGUCGUGCUCAUGGCCAUCAUCACCACUACGACCAUCCAGAUCAUCCUACAAAAUUAUACAUAAGCACAUGUAAGUUGUCAUUAUUUACUUCUUAUGAUUGUGUAACGUACAAAAUAUUUUAACGAACCUAACUUAAGUUAUUGGCAAAAGAUUCCUAAACUAUAUUUUCCUCAUUAUGGACAUCAAUAUCUUCCUGUACAUAAAAGAACAACAUACACGUGUAAGUAGCCAUAUAGUUGUUUGGCAGACGAAAUCAAUGUACACGUCAUUUACGUUUUCACUGUAAGCACCAUCCUCGUUAUAUUGAAAGUCCUGCUCAGUUAAAUUAUCCUAUGACGGCCACAAUUCAUUGUCACUGCUAUAAUCAUCUUCAUUACUGCAAUCCUUAUCAGUACGACCAAUAGUAUCGCUACCAUACCACUUACUCGUGUGGAAGAGUGCAUCCGUAUAUCCUGUUUAUUCCUCCAUUGAAUAACCUCACUACCAACACUGCACAAUUUAAAAUAAAAAAUCAUAUCUCAAUUCAAAAUCAAACAAGAUGUACUGGGGUCAUGCCGAUGAACAAUUAAUAACAUCAAAAUCAUUCCAAAUUAUUAUCUGCAGCAACUAAAUCGUUGUGAUGCAAACUAGACUAUUUACGUGACAAACCUAGAGGGUGGACGAUCUCGAUGUCCAGCGGCAAGGCCGUGAGGUACGUGCACUCCGGCGUGAUUGCGGACGGCGAAGAUGUGCACGGAGGCAAAUUACGACGUGAUUGCGGGCGGCGACGUGCAUGGAGGCUAGAUUGUGGACGACGACGACUUCGACAACGUCCAUGGAGGCCAGAUAGGGGACGAACCCCGGGGAAAUGGCUGAUGCGGUCCGGGCAGGGUGAGAUGCAUCACGUGCUGGGGGAUGGUGACCGCCAUCUUCAACCGGCGGCAGCGGCCGCUGAUACGUCUCCGUCGUAUCUAUAAUUUUUGAUUGUUCCAUGCCAAUAUUCUACAACGUUCAUAUACUUUUGGCAACUUUUUAUAUUAUUUUUGGGACUAACAUAUUGAUCCAGUGCCCAGUGCCAUUUCUUGUUUGUUGCAUGUUUUAUGUUUCACAGAAAACCCAUAUCAAAUGGAGUCCAAACGGGAUAAAAACGGACGGAGAAUAUUUUUGGUAUAUUUAUGAUUUUUGGGAAGAAGAACCAAAGCGAGACGAUGCCCGAGGGGGCCACGAGGCAGGGGGGCGCGCCCCUGACUCUCGUGGGCACCCCGUAAGGCGGUUACUGCUCUUCUUUGGCCGCAAGAAAGCUAAUUGUCAGAGAAAAAUCUUGGCGAAGAUUUCAUUCCAAUCGGAGUUACGGAUCUCCGGAUAUAAAAGAAACGGUGAAAGGACAGAAUCUGGGAACGCAAAAACAAAGAGAGAGGCAGAGAGACAGAUCCAAUCUCGGAGGACCUCUCGCCCCUCCCAAGCCAUGGAGGCCAUGGACAAGAGGGGAAACCCUUCUCCCAUCAAGGGAGAAGGUCAAGGAAGAAGAAUAAGAAGGGGGGCUUUCUCCCCCUUGCUUCCGAUGGCACCGAAACGCUGCCGGGGCCAUCAUCAUCACCGCGAUCUACACCAACAACUUCACCGCCUUCAUCACCAACUCUUCCCCCCUCUAUGCAGCGGUGUAACCUCUCUUUUACCCGCUGUAAUCUCUACUUAAACAUGGUGCUCAACGCUAUAUAUUAUUUCCCAAUGAUGUAUGGCUAUCUUAUGAUGUUUGAGUAGAUCCGUUUUGUCCUAUGGGUUAAUUGAUGAUCGUGAUUGGUUUGAGUUGCAUGUUUUAUUAUUGGUGUUGUCCUAUGGUGCUCUCCGUGUCGCGCAAGCGUGAGGGAUUCCCGUUGUAGGGUGUUGCAAUAUGUUCAUGAUUCGCUUAUAGUGGGUUGCUGGAGUGAUAGAAGCAUAAACCCGAGUAAGGGGGUUGUGGCGUAUGGGAUAAAGGGGACUUGGUGCUUUAAUGCUAUGGUUGGGUUUUACCUUAAUGAUCUUUAGUAGUUGCAGAUGCUUGCUAGAGUUCCAAUAAUAAGUGCAUAUGAUCCAAGAAGAGAAAGUAUGUUAGCUUAUACCUCUCCCUCAAAUAAAAUUGCAAUAGUGAUUACCGGUUUAGUUAUCGAUUGCCUAGGGACAAAUAACUUUCUCGUGACAAAAAGCUCUCUAUUAAAACUAACUUAGUUGUGUCUUCAUCUAAACAGCCCCUACUUUUUAUUUACGUGUUCUUUAUUAUCUUGCAAACCUAUCCUAUUACACCUACAAAGUCCUUCUAUUUUCAUACUUGUUUUAGGUAAAGCGAACGUUAAGCGUGCGUAGAGUUGUAUCGGUGGUCGAUAAAACCUGAGGGAAUAUUUGUUCUACCUUUAGCUCCUCGUUGGGUUUGGCACUCUUACUUAUCGAAAGAGGCUACAAUAGAUCCCCAACUGCUGGUGUACUAAAGUAGGGGCACUCCUUUGUACCCCUUACUUGUGCACGGGCAGUCAGAGCCGCGCCCGCGGCCACACUUAAGCAGGGCAGAGACAGGAAGUCAAGGCCACAAGACGGUCAAAGCAACGCCAAGACAGGGACACAAAGAACAAGAGAGAGAGGUAGACUCCCCCGUCAAGACCCUUGCCGGGGCAGCCUCCACAGCCACGGCAAGAACCUUGCCGGGGCAGCUUACCUGAUGCCAGCGGAGCGCGCCACCCUUGAGCCCUAGUUUUUCCAACACCACCAACCACGUUGGGACCAAGGCUCGGGAGGCGCCUACAUGAUGGUAUGCAGAUCUUUGUGAAGACAAGAAACACUCCAAAUCAGAAGGGAAUUAGAAGACGGCGAACCUCGGCGAGUGCUACAUCUUGAGCUUGUGUUGGUUUUCCUUGAAGAGGAAAGGGUGAUGCAGCAAAGUAGCAUAAGUAUUUCCCUCAGGUUUUGAGAACCAAGGUAUCAAUCCAGUAGGACGCUCCUCAAAAGUCCCACACACCUACACAAACAAACAAGAACCUCGCAACCAACGCAAUAAAGGGGUUGUCAAUCCCUUCACGGCCACUUGCGAAAGUGAGAUCUGAUAGAGAUAAUAUGAUAAGAUAAAUAUUUUUGGUAUUUUUAUGAUUUAGAUUGGAAAGUAAAAGAUGCAAAUAAAAGAUAGAUGAAAGCUUAUAUGAUAAAAGAUAGACCCGGGGGCCAUAGGUUUUACUAGUGGCUUCUUUCAAGAUAGCAUAAGUAUUACGGUGGGUGAACAAAUUAAUGUCGAGCAAUUGAUAGAAAAGCGCAUAGUUAUGAGAUUAUCUAGGCAUGAUCAUGUAUAUAGGCAUCACGUCCGUGACAAGUAGAUCGAAAUGAUUCUGUAUCUACUACCAUUACUCCACACAUCGACCGGCUCCUGCCUGCAUCUAGAGUAUUAAGUUCAUGAAGAAGAGAGUAACGCAUUAAGAAAGAUGACAUGAUGUAGAGGGAUAAAGUCAUGCAAUAUGAUAUAAACCCCAUCUUUUUAUCCUCGAUGGCAACAAUACAAUUUGUGCCUUGCUGCCCCUGUUGUCACUGGGAAAGGACACCGCAAGAUUGAACCCAAAGCUAAGCACUUCUCCCAUUGCAAGAAAGAUCAAUCUAGUAGGCCAAACCAAACUGAUAAUUCGAAGAGACUUGCAAAGAUAACUUAAUAACACAUAAAAGAAUUCAAAGGAGAUUCAAAUAUUUCUCAUAGAUAAACUUGAUCAUAAACCCACAAUUCAUGGGAUCUCGACAAACACACCGCAAAAAGAGUUACAUCGAAUAGAUCUCCAAGAAGAUCGAGGAGAACUUUGUAUUGAGAAUCAAAGAGAGAGAAGAAGCCAUCUAGCUAAUAACUAUGGACCCGAAGGUUUAUGGUAAACUACUCACAACUCAUAGGAGAGGCCUUGGAUAUGAUGUAGAAGCCCUCCGUGGUCGAUUCCCCCUCCGGCGGAGUGCCGACGAAGGCUCCAAAAUGGGAUCUCGCGGAUACAGAAGGUUGCGGCGGUGGAAUUAGGUUUUCAUGAUCGCUUAUGAUGGUUUCAGGGUACGGGUGUAUAUAUAGGAGGAAGAAGUAGGUAGGUGGAUGCUCGAGGGGCCCACGAGGGUGGUGGGCGCGCCGGGCACCCUCGUGGCCGCCUCGUCUGUUGCUUGACUUCCACUCCAAAUCUCCAGGUUUGCAUUUGUUCCAAAAAAAUCGCUCCCGAAGGUUUCAUCCCGUUUGGACUCCGUUUGAUAUUCGUUUUCUUCGAAACACUGAAAUAGGCAAAAAAAUAGCAAUUCGGGCUGGGCCUGCGGUUAGUAGGUUAGUCCCAAAAAUGAUAUAAAAGUGUAAAGUAAAGCCCAUAAACAUCAAAAAUGGGUAAUAUAAUAGCAUGGAACAAUAAAAAAUUAUAGAUACGUUGGAGACGUAUCAAGCAUCCCCAAGCUUAAUUCCUGCUCGUCCUCAAGUAGGUAAAUGAUAAAAACAGAAUUUUUGAUGUGGAAUGCUACCUAGCAUAAUUCUCAAUGUAAUUUUCUUUAUUGUGGCAUGAAUGUUCAGAUCCAAACAAUUCAAAAUAAAAGUUCAUAUUGACAUAAUAAAUAGUAAUACUUUAAGCAUAUUAAUAAAGCAAUCAUGUCUUGUCAAAAUAACAUGGCUAAAGAAAGUUAUCCCUACAAAAUCAUAUAGUCUGGCUAUGCUCUAUCUUCAUCACACAAAGUAUUUAAUCAUGCACAACCCUAAUGACAAGCCAAGCAAUUGUUUCAUACUUUAGUAAUCUCAAACUUUUUCAACUUUCACGCAAUACAUGAGCGUGAGCCAUAGACAUAACACUAUAUGUGGAAUAGAAGGGUGGCUGUGGAGAAAAAAAAGGAGAAGAUAGUCUCACAUCAACUAGGCAUAUCAACGGGCUAUGGAGAUGCCCAUUAAUAGAUAUCAAUGUGAGCGAGUAGGGAUUGCCAUGCAAUAGAUGCACUAGAGCUAUAAAUGUACGAAAGCUCAACAAAAGAAACUAAGUGGGUGUGCAUCCAACUUGCUUGCUCACGAAGACCUAGGGCAUUUUGAGGAAGCCCAUCAUUGGAAUAUACAAGCCAAGUUCUAUAAUGAAAAAUUCCCACUAGUAUAUGAAAGGACAACAUAGGAGACUCUCUAUCAUGAAGAUCAUGAUGCUACUUUAAAGCACAAGUGUGGUAAAAGGAUAGUAGCAUUGUCCCUUCUCUGUUUUUCUCUCAUUUUUUUAAUUUAUUUGGCCUUUCUCUUUUUUUUAUUUGGCUUUUUUUGUAAAGUCCGAAGUCUCAUCCCGACUUGUGGGGGAAUCACAGUCUCCAUCAUCCUUUCCUCACUUGGUACAAUGCUCUAAUAAUGAAGAUCAUCACACUUUUAUUUACUUACAACUCAAGAUUACAACUCGAUACUUCGAACAAAAUAUGACUCUAUAUGAAUGCCUCCGGCAGUGUACCGGGAUAUGCAAUGAAUCAAGAGUGGCAUGUAUAAAAAAUUAUGAAGGUGGCCUUGCCACAAAUAUGAUGUCAAUUACAUGAUCAUGCAAAGAGCAAUAUGACAAUGAUGGUGCGUAUCAUAAUAAAUGGAACGGUGGAAAGUUGCAUGGCAAUAUAUCUCAGAAUGGCUAUGGAAAUGCCAUAAUAGGUAGGUAUGAUGGCUGUUUUGAGGAAGGUAUAUGGUGGGUGUAUGGUACCGGCGAGAGUCGCGCGACACAAGAGAGGCUAGCAAUGGUGGAAGGGUGAGAGUGCGUAUAAUCCAUGGACUCAACAUUAGUCAUAAAGAACUCAUAUACUUAUUGCAAAAAUCUACAAGCCAUUGAAAACAAAGUACUACGUGCAUGUUCCUAGGGGGAUAGAUUGGUAGGAAAAGACCAUCGCUCGUCCCCGACCGCCACUCAUAAGGAAGACAAUAAAUAAAUAAAUGUGUGCUCCAACUUCAUCACAAAGCGGUUCACCAUACGUGCAUGCUACGGGAAUCACAAACUUCAACACAAGUAUUCUUUAAAUUCAUUAGCACAUAUGCCCGUGCGUUGCAGCGGGAGAGAUAUUUUUGUUGCGAUAAGCAACGGGAAAGAUAAUUGAUGUGUCCACCAAAAAUGGUCUCCACAAUAGUAGGUGACAAAGCAAGGAGUUGUGGUCUUAUUGUUGGACGGUUUGGCCUGCGAAAUCUUGAUAGUGAUGGGAUUGGUUGGCGUGGCGGUGAGCAUCCAACUCGUGCCAUUUUUCCUCCUCGUCCGCCUCCACCUCAAGAUUGUGCAUGCCUCCUCAUUAGGUGGAUGCGCGACGAUGUUCGAGACACAAAUGCUUCGACCACUCUCUCCCACGAUGACAUAACCGGAUGAAUGUUCCUUCUUUAUGACAGUUUAUUCUCUUUGAUUAUUUUAGCGCUCAUAUGCUCACUUUUUUUUCUAAGUAGAGCCAAACAACAUAUUUUCUUUAUUGGCACAUGCCCACAAUUUCUUUAGUUUAUUGCUAACAAGCAUAAGACAAACGCGUGCUGGUAACCACUGGUUAGUGCAUAUUAAGAAAAUAUUCUAGAGUCAGAUUCGAAAUAUUAUUAGAUUCUUUUUGAACAUUCGCAGAAAUAUGAACUGCCGAAUAUUCAUGGAAUGUAAAAAAAAUGGAAGUCCCAACCAGUUUUGAAAUAUGCGAACAUUGUUUUUGAAAAUUCUGUUUAUUUUUGGAAGAAACAUGAACAAAAUUAGAAACGGAAAUAAUUUUUGAAAUUCACAAACAAUAUUUUGAAAACAUCAAGCUUUUAUAAAAACAAAAUCAUUUUUUAUUUUUUAAAAAGGGUCAUUUAGAUCAAUUUUAGAAAAUAAAUUAUUUGACGCAAACAUUAUUAUGUAUUUAUGAAUAUUUCCAUAAAAUAAGAAUAUUCUUUGAAUGUGGAAGAUUUAAUAAAAUUUGAUUUUCAUAAAAAAAUAUCAAACAAUUUUGAAAAACACAAUUUUCUUAAAAACAAAAGGAGCAUUUUUCUAAAAUGUUAAGAAAAUUCUGAAACGAUAUUUUUUAAAGUUUCGAAUAUUUUUGAAAACAAUUUUCUUAAUUAUGAACACCUGCUGAAUUUUCAAACACAAAUUGAAAUUCUGAGUAUUUUUGUAAAUUCGUAGGUCAGGAAAAAAUCAAAAUAAAGAAGGGAAAUAUGAAAAAUAAAUAGGAAAGAGAAAGGAACAGAAAAAUAUAAAUAUAAACAGAACAUUGAAAAAAUAAAAACGUUUAGGGCCAGUCUUGGGCGACUUGUGCGUAGCUUUAACUAUUUGUUGCCCUAUGCAACAAAUAAGGUCUUUCCAACUGCAUGGGCAGGAUAAUUACUGGGCCGGAUUUUUUGGGAAGGAGCACGCGUGGCCCAAUUUAGAAUUCUGGAAAAACCUUUUUUAUAUAGCGGAUAAAUGCACAAAAAUUUUAGUACGACCUCGGAUAGGAAAAAAACUUUUCGGCGGUGAACGGAUGAAAAAAUUGAAGAAACGCACCUCGCUUUAUUAGUAGGUAUAGAUAAUUAUCCAACUAGCAUGACUCUAAUAUCACCACCUCUAUAUCUCAAAACAAUUAUCAAGCAUCAAAUUGAUCAUAGCAUCCAAUUCACUUCCUAUGAUAGUUUUUAGUAUACCCAACUUGGAUGCCCAUCAUUCUAGGACGAAUUUUAUAACCAUAGCAAAUACCAUGCUGUUCUAAAAGACUCCUAAAACAAUAUAAGUGAAGCAUGCGAGGUCAACAAUUUCUACAAAAUUAAGCCACCGCCGUGCUCUACAAAAUAUAAGUGAAGCACAUAGAGCAAAACUAUCUAGCUCAAAAUGUUGGAAAUAUGCCCUAGAGGCAAUAAUAAAUUGAUUAUUAUUAUAUUUCCUUGUUCAUGAUAAUCGUUUAUUAUCCAUGCUAGAAUUGUAUUGAUAGGAAACUCAGAUACAUGUGUGGAUACAUAGACAACACCAUGUCCCUAGUGAGCCUCUAGUUGACUAGCUCGUUAAUCAAUAGAUGGUUACGGUUUCCUGACCAUGGACAUUGGAUGUCAUUGAUAACGGGAUCACAUCAUUAGGAGAAUGAUGUGAUGGACAAGACCCAAUCCUAAGCCUAGCACAAGAUCAUGUAGUUCGUAUGCUAAAGCUUUUCUAAUGUCAAGUAUAAUUUCCUUAGACCAUGAGAUUGUGCAACUCCCGGAUACCGUAGGAGUGCUUUGGGUGUGCCAAACGUCACAACGUAACUGGGUGGCUAUAAAGGUACACUACGGGUAUCUCUGAAAGUGUCUGUUGGGUUGGCACGAAUCGAGAUUGGGAUUUUGUCACUCCGUGUAAACGGAGAGGUAUCUCUGGGCCCACUCGGUAGGACAUCAUCAUAAUGUGCACAAUGUGACCAAGGGGUUGAUCACGGGAUGAUGUGUUACGGAACGAGUAAAGAGACUUGCCGGUAACGAGAUUGAACAAGGUAUCGGUAUACCGACGAUCGAAUCUCGGGCAAGUACCAUACCGCUAGACAAAGGGAAUUGUAUACGGGAUCGAUUGAGUCCUUGACAUCGUGGUUCAUCCGAUGAGAUCAUCGUGGAACAUGUGGGAGACAACAUGGGUAUCCAGAUCCCGCUGUUGGUUAUUGACCGGAGAACAUCUCGGUCAUGACUACAUGUCUCCCGAACCCGUAGGGUCUACACACUUAAGGUUCGAUGACGCUAGGGUUAUAAAGGAAGCUUGUAUGUGGUUACCGAAUGUUGUUCGGAGUCCCGGAUGAGAUCCCGGACGUCACGAGGAGUUCCGGAAUGGUCCGGAGGUAAAGAUUUAUAUAUAGGAAGUCCUGUUUCGGCCAUCGGGACAAGUUUCGGGGUCAUCGGUAUUGUACCGGGACCACCGGAAGGGUCCCGGGGGCCCACCGGGUGGGGCCACCUGCCCCGGGGGGACACAUGGGCUAUAGGGGGUGCGCCUUGGCCUACAUGGGCCAAGGGCACCAGCCCCUAGAGGCCCAUGCGCCAAGAUAUAGGAAAAAGGGGAGAGUCCUAAAAGGGGAAGGCACCUCCAAGGUGCCUUGGGGAGGAUGGACUCCUCCCCCCCUUCUUAGCCGCACCCCUUCCUUGGAGGAGGGGGCAAGGCUGCGCCUCCCCCUCUCCCCUGCCCCUAUAUAUAGUGGAGGGGAGGGAGGGCAUCCAUACCUGAGCCCUUGGCGCCUCCCUCCCUCCCGUGACACCUCCUCCUCUCCCGUAGGUGCUUGGCGAAGCCCUGCAGGAUUGCCACGCUCCUCCAUCACCACCACGCCGUUGUGCUGCUGCUGGAUGGAGUCUUCCUCAACCUCUCCCUCUCUCCUUGCUGGAUCAAGGCGUGGGAGACAUCGUCGAGCUGUACGUGUGUUGAACGCGGAGGUGCCGUCCGUUCGGCACUAGGAUCAUCGGUGAUCUGAAUCACGACGAGUACGACUCCAUCAACCCCGUUCACUUGAACGCUUCCGCUUAGCGAUCUACAAGGGUAUGUAGAUGCACUCUCCUUUCUACUCGUUGCUGGUCUCUCCAUAGAUAGAUCUUGGUGUUACGUAGGAAAAUUUUGAAUUUCUGCUACGUUCCCCAACAGUGGCAUCAUGAGCUAGGUCUAUUGCGUAGAUUCUUUGCACGAGUAGAACACAAAGUAGUUGUGGGCGUCGAUAUUGUUCAAUAUGCUUGCCGUUACUAGUCUUAUCUUGAUUCGGCGGCAUCGUGGGAUGAAGCGGCCCGGACCAACCUUACACGUACGCUUACGUGAGACCGGUUCCACCGACAAACAUGCACUAGUUGCAUAAGGUGGCUGGCGGGUGUCUGUCUCUCCCACUUCAGUCGGAUCGGAUUCGAUGAAAAGUGUCCUUAUGAAGGGUAAAUAGCAAUUGGCAUAUCACGUUGUGGUUCAUGCGUAGGUAAGAAACGUUCUUGCUAGAAACCCAUAGCAGCCACGUAAAACAUGCAAACAACAAUUAGAAGACGUCUAACUUGUUUUUGCAGGGUAUGCUAUGUGAUGUGAUAUGGCCAAAAAGGAUGUGAUGAAUGAUAUAUGUGAUGUAUGAGAUUGAUCAUGUUCUUGUAAUAGGAAUCACGACUUGCAUGUCGAUGAGUAUGACAACCGGCAGGAGCCAUAGGACUUGUCUUUAUUUAUUUGUGACCUGCGUGUCAACUUAAACGUCAUGUAAUUACUUUACUUUAUUGCUAACCGUUAGCCAUAGUAGUAGAAGUAAUAGUUGGCGAGGCAACUUCAUGAAGACACGAUGAUGGAGAUCAUGAUGAUGGAGAUCAUGGUGUCAUGCCGGUGACGAUGAUGAUCAUGGAGCCCCGAAGAUGGAGAUCAAAAGGAGCAAAGUGAUGAUGGCCAUAUCAUGUCACUAUUUGAUUGCAUGUGAUGUUUAUCAUGUUUAUACAUCUUAUUUGCUUAGAACGACGGUAGUAAAUAAGAUGAUCCCUUAAAACAAUUUCAAGAAGUGUUCUCCCCUAACUGUGCACCGUUGUGACAGUUCGUGUUUCGAAGCACCACGUGAUGAUCGGGUGUUAGAUUCUAACGUUCACAUCCAAUGGGUGUAAGACAGAUUUACACACGCGAAACACUUAGGGUUAACUUGACGAGCCUAGCAUGUACAGACAUGGCCUCGGAACACGGAGACCGAAAGGUCAAACAUGAGUCGUAUAGAAGAUAUGAUCAACAUGAAGAUGUUCACCGAUGAUGACUAGUCCGUCUCACGUGAUGAUCGGACACGGCCUAGUUUGACUCGGAUCAUGUAAUCACUUAGAUGACUAGAGGGAUGUCUAUCUGAGUGGGAGUUCAUAAGAUGAACUUAAUUAUCCUGAACAUAGUCAAAAGGUUUUUGCAAAUUAUGUCGUAGCUCACGCUAUAGUUCUACUGUUUAGAUAUGUUCCUAGAGAAAAAAAUUAGUUGAAAGUUGAUAGUAGCAAUUAUGCGGACUAGGUCCGUAAACUGAGGAUUGUCCUCAUUGCUUCAUAGAAGGCUUAUGUCCUUAAUGCACCGCUCAGUGUGCUGAACCUCGAACGUUGUCUGUGGUUGUUGCGAACAUCUGACAUACACAUUUUGAUAACUAUGUGAUAGUUCAGUUAAACGGUUUAGAGUUGAGGCACCAAAGACGUUUUUGAAACAUCGCGAAACAUAUGAGAUGUUUUGAGGGCUGAAAUUGGGAUUUCAGGCUCGUGCCCAUGACAAGAGGUAUAAGACCUCCGAUGACUUUCUUAACCUGCAAACUAAGGAGAAAAGCUCAAUUGUUGAGCUUGUGCUCAGAUUUUCUGAGUACAACAAUCAUUUGAAUCGAGUGGGAGUUGAUCUUCCAGAUAAGACAGUGAUGGUUCUCCAAAGUCAUUGCCACCAAGCUGUUAGAGCUUCGUGAUGAACUAUAACAUAUCAGGGAUAGAUAUGAUGAUCCUUGAGGUAUUCGCAAUGUUUGACACCGCGAAAGUAGAAAUCAAGAAGGAGCAUCAAUUGUUGAUGGUUGGUGGAACCACUAGUUUUAAGAAGGGCAAGGGCAAGAAGGGAUACUUCAUGAAACGGCAAAUCAGCUGCUGCUCUAGUGAAGAAACCCAAGGUUGAACCCAAACCCGAGACUAAGUGCUUCUGUAAUAAGGGAACGGCAACUGGAGCAGAAUUACCCUAGAUACUUGGUAGAUGAUAAGGCUGGCAAGGUCGAUAGAAGUAUAUUGGAUAUACAUUGUGUUAAUGUGUACUUUGCUAGUACUCCUAGUAGCACCAGGGUAUUAGAUACCGAUUCGGUUGCUAAGUGUUAGUAACUCGAAACAAAAGGCUACGGAAUAAACGGAGACUAGCUAAAGGUGAGCUGACGAUAUGUGUUGGAAGUUUUUCCAAGCUUGAUAUGAUCAAGCAUCGCACGCUCCCUCUACCAAAGAGAUUGAUGUUAAACCUAAAUAAUUGUUAUUUGGUGUUUGCGUUGAGCAUAGACAUGAUUGGAUUACGUCUAUCGCAAUACGGUUGUUCAUUUAAGGAGAAUAAUGGUUACUCUGUUUAUUUGAAUAAUACCUUCAAUGGUCUUACACCUAAAAUGAAUGGUUUAUUAAAUCUCGAUCGUAGUGAUACACAUGUUCAUGCCAAAAGAUAGUAAUGAUAGUACCACCUACUUGUGGCACUGCCACGUAAGUCAUAUCGGUAUAAAACGCAUGAAGAAGCUCCAUAUUGAUGGAUCUUUGGGCUCACUCGUUUUUGAAAAGUUUGAGACAUGCGAACCAUGUCUAUUGGUGUAUAUGCAUGACGAAACUCCAUGCAAAUGGACCGUUUUGACUCACUUGAUUUUGAAUCACUUGGGACAUGCAAAUCAUACCACAUGGGCAAGAUGACUGAAAAGCCUCGUUUUCAGUAAGAUGGAACAAGAUAGCAACUUGUUGGAAGUAACACAUUUUGAUGUGUGCAGUCCAAUGAGUGCUGAGGCAUGCAGUGAAUAUCGUUAUGUUCUUACUUCACAGAUGAUUCGAGUAGAUGUUGAGUAUAUUUACUUGAUGAAUCACAAGUCUGAAUUAUUGAAUGGUUCAAGUAAUUUCAGAGUGAAGUUGCAGAUCAUUGUGACAAGAGGAUAAAAUGUCUAUGAUAUGAUCAUAGAGAUGAAUAUCUGAGUCACGAGUUUUGGCACACAAUUAAGACAUUGUGGAAAUUGUUUUGCAAUUAAUACCGCCUGGAACACCAUAGGGUGAUGGUGUGUCCGAACAUCAUAGUUGCACCCUAUUGGAUAUGAUGCAUACCAUGAUGUCUCUUAUCGAACUGCCACGAUAGUUUAUGGGUUAGGCAUUAAAGACAACCACAUUCACUUUAAAUAGGGCACCACGUAAUUCCGAUGAGAUGACACCGUAUGAAUUAUGGUUUAGAGAAACCUAAGUUGUCGUUUCUUAAAGGUUUGGGGCUGCGACGCUUAUGUGAAAAAGUUUCAGGAUUAAGCUCGAACCCAAAGUGGAUAAAUGCAUCUUCAUAGGACACCCAAAAACAGUUGGGUAUACCUCCUGUCUCAGAUUCGAAAGCAAUAAGGGAUUGUUUCUAGAAUCGGGUCCUUUCUCGAGGAAAAGAUUCUCUCGAAAGAAUUGAGUGGGAGGAUGGUGGAGACUUGAUGAGGUUAUUGAACCGUCACUUCAACAAGUGUGUAGCAGGGCACAGGAAGUUGUUCCUGUGGCACGUACACCAACUGAAGUGGAAGCUUAUGAUAGUAAUCAUGAAACUUCGGAUCGAGUCACUACCAAACCUCGUGGGAUGACAAGGAUGCGCACUACUUCAGAGUGGUACGUAAUUCUGUCUUGGAAGUCAUGUUGCUAGACAACAAUGAACCUACGAGCUAUGGAGAAGCGAUGGUGGGCCCGGAUUCCGAUAAAUGGCUCAAGGCCAUAAAACCCGAGAGAGGAUCCAUGUAUGAAAACAAAGUGUAGACUUUGGAAGAACUACUUGAUGGUCGUAAGGCUGUUAGGUACAUAUGGAUUUUGAAAGGAAGACAGACAAUGAUGGUAAGUGUCACCAUUGAGAAAGCUCGACUUGUCGUUAAGAUGUUUUUCGACAAGUUCAAGGAGUUGACUACGAUGAGACUUUCUCACUCGUAGCGAUGCUAAGAGUCUGUUGGAAUUAUAUUAGCAAUUACUGCAUUAUUUAUGAAAUCUUGCAGAUAGGAUGUCAAGACAUUGUUUCCUCGACGAUUCUUGAGGAAAGGUUGUAUGUGAUACAACCGGAAGGUUUUGUCUAUCUUGAAAUAUGCUAAUAAGUAUGCAAAGCUCCAGCAAUCCUUCUGAGGACUGGAGUGAGCAUCUCGGAGUUGGAAUGUAUGCUUUGAUGAUGAUCAAAGAUUUUGGGUGUAUACAAAGUUUAUGAGAAACUUGUAUUUCCAAAGAAGUGAGUGGGAGCACUAUAGAAUUUCUGAUGAGUAUAUGUUGUUGACAUAUUAAUGAUCAGAAAUGACGUAGAAUUUCUGGAAAGCAUAUAGGGUUAUUUGGAAAGUGUUUUCAAUGGAAAACCUGGAUUAAGCUACUUGAACAUUGAGCAUCAAGAUCUAUAAGGAUAGAUUAAAACGCUUAAUGGUACUUUCAAAUGAGCACAUACCUUGACAUGAUCUUGAAGGUGUUCAAGAUGGAUCAGUCAAAGAAGGAGUUCUUGCCUGAGUUGUAAGGUGUGAAGUUAAGACUUAAAGCUCGACCAUGGCAGAAUAGAGAGAAAGGACUAAGGUCGUCCCCUAUGCAUAAGAUGUAGGCUCUACAGUAUGCUAUGCUGUGUACCGCACCUGAAGUGUGCCUUGCCAUGAGUCAGUCAAGGGGUACAAGAGUGAUCCAAGAAUGGAUCACAGGACAGCGGUCAAAGUUAUCCUUAGUAACUAGUGGACUAAGGAAUUUUCUCAAUUAUGGAGGUGGUAAAAGAGUUCGUCGUAAAGGGUUACGUCGAUGCAAGCUUAACACCUAUCCGGAUAGCUCUGAGUAGAGAUACCGGAUACGUAUAAUGGAGCAACAAUGUAGAAUAGCUCCAAGUAGAACAGUUAUUUGGAAUAGCUCCAAAUAGAACGUGGUAGCUGCAUAUAGGAGAUGACAUAGAGAUUUGUAAAGCACACACGGAUCUGAAAGGUUCAGACCCGUUGACUAUAACCUCUCUCACAAGCAUAACAUGAUCAAACCCAGAACUCAUCGAGUGUUAAUCACAUGGUAAAUGUGAACUAGAUUAUUGACUCUAGUAAACUCUUUGGGUGUUAGUCACAUGGGGAUGUGACCUUGAGUGUUAAUCACAUAUCGAUGUGAACUAGAUUAUUGACUCUAGUGCAAGUGGGAGACUGUUGGAAAUAUGCCCUAGAGGCAAUAAUAAAUUGAUUAUUAUUAUAUUUCCUUGUUCAUGAUAAUCGUUUAUUAUCCAUGCUAGAAUUGUAUUGAUAGGAAACUCAGAUACAUGUGUGGAUACAUAGAUAACACCAUGUCCCUAGUGAGCCUCUAGUUGACUAGCUCGUUAAUCAAUAGAUGGUUACGGUUUCCUGACCAUGGACAUUGGAUGUCAUUGAUAACGGGAUCACAUCAUUAGGAGAAUGAUGUGAUGGACAAGACCCAAUCCUAAGCCUAGCACAAGAUCAUGUAGUUCGUAUGCUAAAGGUUUUCUAAUGUCAAGUAUAAUUUCCUUAGACCAUGAGAUUGUGCAACUCCCGGAUACCGUAGGAGUGCUUUGGGUGUGCCAAACGUCACAACGUAACUGGGUGGCUAUAAAGGUACACUACGGGUAUCUCUGAAAGUGUCUGUUGGGUUGGCACGAAUCGAGAUUGGGAUUUUGUCACUCCGUGUAAACGGAGAGGUAUCUCUGGGCCCACUCGGUAGGACAUCAUCAUAAUGUGCACAAUGUGACCAAGGGGUUGAUCACGGGAUGAUGUGUUACGGAACGAGUAAAGAGACUUGCCGGUAACGAGAUUGAACAAGGUAUCGGUAUACCGACGAUCGAAUCUCGGGCAAGAACCAUACCGCUAGACAAAGGGAAUUGUAUACGGGAUCGAUUGAGUCCUUGACAUCGUGGUUCAUCCGAUGAGAUCAUCGUGGAACAUGUGGGAGCCAACAUGGGUAUCCAGAUCCCGCUGUUGGUUAUUGACCGGAGAACAUCUCGGUCAUGACUACAUGUCUCCCGAACCCGUAGGGUCUACACACUUAAGGUUCGAUGACGCUAGGGUUAUAAAGGAAGCUUGUAUGUGGUUACCGAAUGUUGUUCGGAGUCCCGGAUGAGAUCCCGGACGUCACGAGGAGUUCCGGAAUGGUCCGGAGGUAAAGAUUUAUAUAUAGGAAGUCCUGUUUCGGCCAUCGGGACAAGUUUCGGGGUCAUCGGUAUUGUACCGGGACCACCGGAAGGGUCCCGGGGGCCCACCGGGUGGGGCCACCUGCCCCGGGGGGCCACAUGGGCUGUAGGGGGUGCGCCUUGGCCUACAUGGGCCAAGGGCACCAGCCCCUAGAGGCCCAUGCGCCAAGAUAUAGGAAAAAGGGGAGAGUCCUAAAAGGGGAAGGCACCUCCGAGGUGCCUUGGGGAGGAUGGACUCCUCCCCCCCUUCUUAGCCGCACCCCUUCCUUGGAGGAGGGGGCAAGGCUGCGCCUCCCCCCUCUCCCCUGCCCCUAUAUAUAGUGGAGGGGAGGGAGGGCAUCCAUACCUGAGCCCUUGGCGCCUCCCUCCCUCCCGUGACACCUCCUCCUCUCCCGUAGGUGCUUGGCGAAGCCCUGCAGGAUUGCCACGCUCCUCCAUCACCACCACGCCGUUGUGCUGCUGCUGGAUGGAGUCUUCCUCAACCUCUCCCUCUCUCCUUGCUGGAUCAAGGCGUGGGAGACAUCGUCGAGCUGUACGUGUGUUGAACGCGGAGGUGCCGUCCGUUCGGCACUAGGAUCAUCGGUGAUCUGAAUCACGACGAGUACGACUCCAUCAACCCCGUUCACUUGAACGCUUCCGCUUAGCGAUCUACAAGGGUAUGUAGAUGCACUCUCCUUUCUACUCGUUGCUGGUCUCUCCAUAGAUAGAUCUUGGUGUUACGUAGGAAAAUUUUGAAUUUUUGCUACGUUCCCCAACACAAAAGAUAUAAGUGAAGCACAUAGAGUAUUCUAAUAAAUUCCAAAUCACGUGGGUUUCUCCCAAAAGGUCUGUACAACAAGGAUGAUUGUGGAAAUCUAAAAAGCAAAUACUAAUAUCAUACAAGACGCUCCAAGCAAAGCACAUAUCAUGUGGCGAAUAAAAAUAUAGCUCCAAGUAAAGUUACCGAUAGACGAAGACGAAAGAGGGGAUGCCUUCUGGGGCAUCCCCAAGCUUAGGCUUUUGGUUAUCCUUGAAUAUCUUGGGGUGCCAUGGGCAUCCCCAAGCUUAGUCUCUUUCCACUCCUUAUUCCAUAGUCCAUCAAAUCUUUACCCAAAACUUGAAAACUUCACAACACAAAACUCAACAGGAAAUCUCAUAAGCUCCGUUAGUGCAAGAAAGAAAAACCACCACAUAAGCUACUGUAAUGAACUCAUUCUUUAUUUAUAUUGGUUUUAAACCUACUGUAUUCCAACUUCUCUAUGGUUCAUACCCCUUGAUACUAGCCAUAGAUGCAUCAAAAUAAGCAAACAACACGUGAAAAAACAGAAUCUGUCAAAAACAGAAUAGUCUGUAGCAAUCUGUAACUCUCAAAUACUUCUAGAACUCUAAAAAUCCUAACAAAAUAGGAAGUCCUGGGAAAUUUGUCUAUUGAUCUACAGCAAAAAGAAGCAACGCAAAAUCACGUUUCUGUGAAUUACUCAAAUUAUUUUCAUGCGCGCAAAGUUUCUGUUGAAGGGGAGCCUUGGCGCAGUGGUAAAGCUGCUGCCUUGUGACCAUGAGGUCACGGGUUCAAGUCCUGGAAACAGUCUCUUACAGAAAUGUAGGGAAAGGCUGCGUACAAUAGACCCAAAGUGGUCGUACCCUUCCCCAGACCCUGCGCAAGCGGGAGCUACAUGCACUAGGGCUGCCCUUUUUUUCAGCGCAUAUGCCUUUCAGCGCAUAUGCCCCGCAAGUAGGCCACAAUGAGAACACCUAGAGGGAGUUCUGGGAAGGCUUGGAAGACAUGGUUAGGAGUGUACUGAUUGGUGAGAAGCUCUUCAUAGGAGGAGACCUCAAUGGCCACGUGGGUACAUCUAACACAGGUUUUGAAGGGGCGCAUGGGGGCUUUGGCUAUGGCAUCAGGAAUCAAGAAGGAGAAGAUGUCUUAAGCUUUGCUCUAGCCUACAACAUGAUUGUAGCUAACACCCUCUUUAGAAAGAGAGAAUCACAUCUGGUGACUUUUAGUAGUGGCCAACACUCUAGCCAGAUUGAUUUCAUCCUCUCGAGAAGAGAAGAUAGGCGUGCGUGCCUAGACUGUAAGGUGAUACCUGGGGAGAGUGUUGUACCCCAGCAUAAGCUGGUGGUUGCUGACUUCCGCUUUCGGAUUCGUGUCCAGCGGGAUAAGCGUGCCAAGGUCGCUAGAACGAAGUGGUGGAAGCUCAAGGGGGAGGUAGCUCAGGUGUUCAAGGAGAGGGUAUUUAAGGAGGGCCCUUGGGAGGAAGGAGGGGAUGCGGACAAUGUGUGGAUGAAGAUGGCGACUUGCAUUCGUAAGGUGGCCUCGGAGGAGUUUGGAGUGUCCAGGGGAAGGAGAAGCGAAGAUAAGGAUACCUGGUGGUGGAAUGAUGAUGUCCAGAAGGCGCUUAAAGAGAAGAAAGAUUGCUUCAGACGCCUAUACCUGGAUAGGAGUGCAGACAACAUAGAGAAGUACAAGAUGGCGAAGAAGACCGCAAAGCGAGCUGUUGGUGAAGCAAGGGGUCGGGCAUAUGAGGACCUCUACCAACGGUUAGGCACGAAGGAAGGUGAAAGGGACAUCUAUAAGAUGGCUAAGAUCCGGGAGAGGAAGACAAGGGAUAUUGGCCAAGUCAAAUGCAUCAAGGACGGAGCAGGCCAACUCUUGGUGAAGGAUGAAGAGAUUAAGCGUAGAUGGCGGGAGUACUUCGACAAGCUGUUCAAUGGGGAGAAUGAGAGUUCUACCAUUGAACUGAAUGACUCCUUUGAUGAGACCAGCAUGCGUUUUGUGCGGCGCAUCCAGGAGUCUGAGGUGAAGGAGGCUUUAAAAAGGAUGAAAGGAGGCAAGGCGAUGGGCCCUGAUUGUAUCCCCAUUGAGGUGUGGAAAGGUCUCGGGGACAUAGCGAUAGUAUGGCUAACCAAGCUUUUCAACCUCAUUUUUCGGGCAAACAAGAUGCCAGAAGAAUGGAGACGGAGUAUAUUAGUACCAAUAUUCAAGAACAAGGGGGAUGUUCAGAGUUGUACUAAUUACCGUGGAAUUAAGCUGAUGAGCCAUACAAUGAAGCUAUGGGAGAGAGUCAUUGAGCACCGCUUAAGAAGAAUGACAAGCGUGACCAAAAAUCAGUUUGGUUUCAUGCCUGGGAGGUCGACCAUGGAAGCCAUUUUCUUGGUACGACAACUUAUGGAGAGAUAUAGGGAGCAUAAGAAGGACUUGCAUAUGGUGUUCAUUGACUAGGAGAAGGCCUAUGAUAAGAUACCGCGGAAUGUCAUGUGGUGGGCCUUGGAGAAACACAAAGUCCCAGCAAAGUACAUUACCCUCAUCAAGGACAUGUACAAUAAUGUUGUGACAAGUGUUCGAACAAGUGAUGUCGACACCAAUGACUUCCCGAUUAAGAUAGGACUGCAUCAGGGGUCAGCUUUGAGCCCUUAUCUUUUUGCAUUGGUGAUGGAUGAGGUCACAAGGGGUAUACAAGGAGAUAUCCCAUGGUGUAUGCUCUUUGGGAUGAUGUGGUGCUAGUUGACGAUAGUCGGACGGGGGUAAAUAGGAAGUUAGAGUUAUGGAUACAAACCUUGGAAUUGAAAGGGUUUAGGCUUAGUAGAACUAAAACCGAGUACAUGAUGUGCGGUUUCAGUACUACUAGCUGUGAGGAGGAGGAGGUUAGCCUUGAUGGCCAGGUGGUACCUCGGAAGGACACCUUUAGGUAUUUGGGGUCAAUGUUGCAGGAGGAUGGGAGUAUUGAUGAAGAUGUGAACCAUCGAAUCAAAGUCGGAUGGAUGAAGUGGCGCCAAGCUUCUGGCAUUCUCUGUGACAAGAGAGUGCCACAAAAGCUAAAAGGCAAGUUCUACAGGACGGCGGUUCGACCCGCAAUGUUGUAUGGCGCGAAGUGUUGGCCGACUAAAAGGCGACAUGUUCAACAGUUAGGUGUGGCGGAGAUGCGUAUGUUGAGAUGGAUGUGUGGCCACACGAGGAAGGAUCGAGUCCGGAAUGAUGAUAUACGAGAUAGAGUUGGGGUAGCACCAAUUGAGGAGAAGCUUGUCCAACAUCGUUUGAGAUGGUUUGGGCAUAUUCAGCGCAGGCCUCCAGAAGCUCCAAUGCAUAGCGGACGGCUAAAGCGUGCGGAGAAUGUCAAGAGAGGGCGGGGUCGACCAAUUUUGACAUGGGAGGAGUCCGUUAAGAGAGACCAGAAGGAUUGGAGUAUCGACAAAGAGCUAGCUAUGGACAGGGGUGCGUGGAAGCUUGCUAUCCAUGUGCCAGAGCCAUGAGUUGGUUGCGAGAUCUUAUGGGUUUCACCUCUAGCCUACCCCAACUUGUUUGGGACUAAAGGCUUUGUUGUUGUUGUUGUUGUUGUUGUUGCGCAAAGUUUCUGUUUUUCAGCAGAAUCAAAUUAACUAUCACUGUAGGUUAUCCUAUAAGUUCUACUUGGCACAAACACUAAUUAAAACAUGAAACACAUCUAAAAAAAGCUACAUGAAAUAUUUAUUACUAAACAGAAGCAAAAAGCAAGAAACAAAAAUAAAAUUGGGUUGCCUCCCAACUAGCUCUAUCGUUUAACGCCCCUAGCUAGACAUAAAAGCGAGGAUAGAUCUAAGUAGUGACAUCUUUGGCAUUCAAUUCAUAAGUAGCUCGCAUGAUAGAUUCAUAAGGUAAUUUAACUUUUUUCUAGGGAAGUGUUCAAUGCCUUUCCUUAACGGAAAUUGGAUUCUAAUAUUCCCUUCCUUCACAUCAAUAAUUGCACCAAUUGUUCUAAGGAAAGGUCUACCAAGAAUAAUAGGACAUGAAAGAUUGCAAUCUAUAUCAAGAACGAUAAAAUCUACGGGCACAUAAUUCCUAUUUGCAAUAAUAAGAACAUCAUUGAUCCUUCCCAUAGGUUUCUUAAUGGUGGAAUCCGCAAGGUGCAAAUUUAAAGAGCAAUCAUCAAAAUCAUGGAAACCUAGCACAUCACAUAAAGUUUUCGGAAUCGUGGAAACACUAGUACCAAAAUCACAUAAAGCAUAGCACUCAUGAUCUUUAAUUUUAAUUUUUAUAGUAGUUUCCCAUUCAUCAUAAAUUUUUCUAGGUAUAGAAACUUCCAAAUUAAGUUUUUCCUCAUAAGAUUGCAUCAAGGCAUCAACAAUAUGUUUGGUAAAAGCUUUAUUUUGACUAUAAGCAUGGGGAGAAUUCAACACGGAUUGCAACAAGGAAAUACAAUCUAUUAAAGAACAAUUAUAAUUAAAUUCCUUGAAAUCCAUAAUGGUGGGUUCAAUGCUAUUUAAAGUCUUGACCUCUCCAAUCCCACUUUUACCAAAUUUAGCAUCAAGAUCUAAAAACUCCAAAUUAUUGGGACGCCUUUUAACUAAAGUUGACUCAUCUCCAGUCCCAUCAUUAUCAAGAUUCAUACUGCAAAACAAGGAUUUAAUAGGGGAUACAUCAAUAACUUUUAGAUCUUCAUCAUAAUUUACCCCUAACAUAAGUGCAUAUGAUCCAAGAAGAUAAAGUAUGUUAGCUUAUGCCUCACCCUCAAAUAAAAUUGCAAUAGUGAUUACCAGUUUAGUUAUCGAUUGCCUAGGGACAAAUAACUUUCUCGUGACAAAAAGCUCUCUAUUAAAACUAACUUAGUUAUGUCUUCAUCUAAACAGCCCCUACUUUUUAUUUACGUGUUCUUUAUUAUCUUGCAAACCUAUCCUAUUACACCUACAAAGUCCUUCUAGUUUCAUACUUGUUUUAGGUAAAGCGAACGUUAAGCGUGCGUAGAGUUGUAUCGGUGGUCGAUAGAACUUGAGGGAAUAUUUGUUCUACCUUUAGCUCCCCGUUGGGUUUGACACUCUUACUUAUCGGCUACAAUAGAUCCCCUACUGUCGGUGUACUAAAGUAGGGGCAUUCCUUUGUACCCCUUACUUGUGCACGGGCAGUCAGAGCCGCGCCCGCGGCCACACUUAAGCAGUGCAGAGACAGGAAGUCAAGGCCACAAGACGGUCAAAGCAACGCCAAGACAGGGACACAAAGAGCAAGAGGGAGAGGUAGACUCCCCCGGCAAGACCCUUGUCGGGGCAUCCUCCGCAGCCAUGGCAAGAACCUUGCCGGGGCAGCUUACCCGACGCCAGCGGAGCGCGCCACACUUGAGCCCUAGUUUUUCCAACACCACCAACCACGUUGGGACCAAGGCUCGGGAGGCGCCUCCAUGAUGGCAUGCAGAUCUUUGUGAAGACAAGAAACACUCCAAAUCAGAAGGGAAUUAGAAGACGAUGAACCUCGACGAGUGCUACAUCUUGAGCUUGCAUUGGUUUUUCUUGAAGAGGAAAGGGCGAUGCAGCAAAGUAGCAUAAGUAUUUCCCUCAAUUUUUGAGAACCAAGGUGUCAAUCCAGUAGGAGGCUCCUCAAAAGUCCCACGCACCUACACAAACAAACAAGAACCUCGCAACCAACGCAAUAAAGGGGUUGUCAAUACCUUCACGGCCACUUGCAAUAGUGAGAUCUUAUAGAGAUAAUACGAUAAGAUAAAUAUUUUUCGUAUUUUUAUGAUAUAGAUUGGAAAGUAAAAGAUGCAAAUUAAAGAUAGAUGAAAGCUUAUAUGAUAAAAGAUAGACCCGGGGGCCAUAGGUUUCACUAGUGGCUUCUCUCAAGAUAGCAUAAGUAUUAUGGUGGGUGAACAAAUUACUGUCGAGUAAUUGAUAGAAAAGUGCAUAGUUAUGAGAUUAUCUAGGCAUGAUCAUGUAUAUAGGCAUCACGUCCGUGACAAGUAGAUUGAAAAGAUUUUGCAUCGACUACUAUUACUCCACACAUCGAUCGACUCCUGCCUGCAUCUAGAGUAUUAAGUUCAUGAAGAACAGAGUAACGCAUUAAGAAAGAUGACAUGAUGUAGAGGGAUAAAGUCAUACAAUAUGAUAUAAACCCCAUCAUUUUAUCCUCGAUGGCAACAAUACAAUAUGUGCCUUGCUUCCCCUGCUGUCAUUGGGAAAGGACACCGCAAGAUUGAACCCAAAGCUAAGCACUUCUCCCAUUGCAAGAAAGAUCAAUCUAGUAGGCCAAACCAAACUGAUAAUUCGAAGAGACUUGCGAAGAUAACUUAAUCACACAUAAAAAAAUCAGAGGAGAUUCAAAUAUUUCUCAUAGAUAAAAUUGAUCAUAAACCCACAAUUCAUGGGAUCUCAACAAAGACACCGCAAAAAGAGUUACAUCGAAUAGAUCUCCAAGAAGAUCGAGGAGAACUUUGUAUUGAGAAUCAAAGAGAGAGAAGAAGCCAUCUAGCUAAUAACUAUGGACCUGAAGGUCUGUGGUAAACUACUCACAACUCAUAGGAGAGGCCUUGGAGAUGAUGUAGAGGCCCUCCGUGGUCAAUUCCCCCUCCGGCGGAGCGCCGGCGAAGGCUCCAAGAUGGGAUCUCACGGAUAUCGAAGGUUGCGGCGGUGGAAUUAGGUUUCUUGGUCGCUUCUGAUGGUUUUAGGUACGGGUGUAUACAUAGGAGGAAGAAGUAGGUCGGUGGAUGCUCGAGGGGCCCACGAGGGUGGGGGGCGCGCCGGGCACCCUCGUGGCCAUCUCGUCUGUUGCUUGACUUCCACUCCAAUUCUCCAUGUUUGCAUUUGUUCCAAAAAAAUCUCUCCCGAAGGUUUCAUAACGUUUGGACUCCGACUGAUAUUCCUUUUCUUCGAAACAUUGAAAUAGGCAAAAAAAAAAACAGUUCGGGCUGGGCCUCCGGUUAGUCGGUUAGUCCCAAAAAUGAUAUUAAAGUUUAAAGUAAAGCCCAUAAACAUCCAAAACAGGUAAUAUAAUAGCAUGGAACAAUCAAAAAUUAUAGAUAUGUUGGAGACAUAUCAGCGAGAUCCUUGCUGAGAAAACCCACAAGACCCCCCAGCAAUAUCCUUGUCGGGGACGACCGCGAACGUCACGAUAAGACCCUCGUCAGGGCCCCGGCAAGGCCCUUGCCGAGGACAUUCACGGGCCCACAACCAGGCCCACGCCCGCCAAGUUUCCACCGCCGCUCCCAUGCAGCUGCCAGCCCACCAGCUAGGCAGGCUCCCGCAUGUCGAUGUGAGGCUUCCAGGCCAACUCAGCACAUGCCUACGUGGUGGCAUGAAAAUCUUCGUGAAGGCCCUACCACCGCGCCACCUCAGCAGCCUGCUAGCCUACAUGGCAUUGACCGCCUCGCUGACCCAGGCGCAUGUCAAGGCAGGGCGAAGCGGCGGUAAAGUGAGGGUACACCUAAGAGGCGCAUUAAAUGCGUCUUGUCCCAUAAUGGCAAGCGAUAGGCUUAGCCACAAUACUCCAAUGCCACCUCCUGCGUGCCACUGUGGCGAUCCCCUUGCCUAUAAAUGGAGGCCCAAGGCAUCCAGGAGAAGGAUUCGGACCCUGGGACAAGUUACACCCAUCGUAGCUAGCUCAAGAACUCCAAGAACACAGAUAUACACAUCAAAGCAGGACUAGGGUAUUACGCAUCCUUGCGGCCCUAACCUGGGUAAAUGACCCGUCUGCUUGUGUUGACUGUUGAUCCCGCUCUUCUCACGACCCCGCGCCCCGCAACCGUAGUAGGGAUUCUUGUGAUCCCGUAGGUGUCGUUUUCCACCGACAUCUUUGGCGCGCCAGGUAGGGGGCGCAGUAGUGAGAAUCUGGUUUAGCAGCUAGUAGAACAGUUCUUCGUCGCAUGGCCCCCAAGAGGAAGAUGAUCAUGACGAUCGGUUCAUCCGGGACCGGACUGCCCGUACCGGUGCAGACCAGUAGCAGGCUAGUCGUGAAAAGAACCCGUGGUGCGGCCCGCGAACAUCCACAUCACCCUGGCAGUCCGGGUCUGGUGAGCGGCGUCGUUCACACGCCAGGAGACGAGCCACACACCGCGAACUCCAGAGGCAGAGUUGAGCCCCCCGCAGGCGGCACGGGGCCCUCUAGGGGUGUCAUCGUGCCGCUAGACAGCGGCGCGGCGGCCUCCAAGACACCAAAACCGGUGCCCAUGGCGCGCUCUUCCCAAGUUGUGCACGAUGAGCAGCACCGCCCCGCUGCUGACCCUGGGUGCCGCCCUAGGAAGAGUGCCGUGCGUCCUUUACGUGACGAGGAGGGCCAGCAUGCACGUCGAGGUGCUGGCAAAAAUGGCAGACAAUCGCAGGGCCGUGAUAGAGCUCCUUCUAACAUGGUUAGAAAUCGAAGCGUGUCACGAUCCAUGCAGCUUUCGCCACCGCCCACACUAGCAGAAGCUCUGGCGCGCGCGCAACUGCUCCUCGAUUUUGCUCCUGCUACAAAGAAGCUCGACGAAUGGAGAGCCACUGUCCGAAGCCUCGUCGGCAUCACCAACAAAGAUGAGCCGUGACCAGUGGGGCCCGUAGGCCAUCGCUCCAUCGAGCCACCACAUGUCAGCGGUGGACGGGACGGGGGCGAUGCAGCCAUGGUGCAUUCUCCUCCUCCACACCAGCCACUGCGGGUGUCGAUCCGUCGCGAUGACACCUCGUGAUGAUAUCUCCAUAGCAUCGUCCGAUCCGUGGACCCACCACGACCAGCGUCAAGUUCUUCGGGAGCGAGCCCUUGAAGACGCUCGAACCACCAUUGAGCGCUGACGGGAUGCGCGCCACCAGUCGGACAGGCAGGCAGGGCCCACUAUGGACCACCCAACACCGGGACGCUACGGUGGCCUACCCUAGAAGGUGGGCUGUCCAGCCUUCACCCGUGAGCUGCGGCAGUUCCAGUGGCACUCCCACCGCACGUUCAAGCCCGACGUUGGCGAGAAGUACAAUGGCAAGAAUCACCCAUCAAAGUUCCUCAGCAUCUACAUCAUCGCGAUGCAAGCUGCUGGGGCCCGUGACGAUAAGGUGCUGGCCAAUUACUUCUCGUUGGCACUCAAGCCCAAUGUUAUGUCAUGGUUGAUGCACUUGCCGGUGGAUUCCAUUUCUUCUUGGUCGGAUCUGUGUCAUGAGUUUGUUGGCGCCUUUAUUGGAGGCCAUCAAGCUCAUGGACAGGUGAGCGAUUUGCACAUCAUCCCCCAGAAGGAAGGAGAAAACCUGCGCAAGUACAUCCAAAGAUUCAGCCGAGUGCAGUACAACAUUCUAGACGUUCAUCCUGCUGCUGUGAUUAGUGCAUUCCACCAGAAUGUACGCAACCGCAAGAUGCCUAAGGAGCUGGCGAUGAACAAGGUCAAGGAUGUGGCCAGGCUUUAUGUUCUGGCCGUGUCGGGGGUUGGGUAUGACAUAUGCCAAAGGAUGGCUUAUCAUGGUGGGGGCGAGUAGAACGUCGCCGGUGCCCGGAAGCGGGAUGAGGCGAAGACAUGCACGCUGGCGGAUCUUACCCAGCUUCAGGGCUCUCCGUGGAGACAACACCCCUACUGCUGCUCUGCGGGGUCUCCGCGUGGUCACUAUGGCAAAGUGAGUACAAUGGUGCUCUUGGAGCUGUUUCUGGAGGUGGAAGAGGGCAAGGCCAGCUCUCUCCUUCCUAUAUUCUGGGGUCUAGUGCUAUCUGGGUCCGAACCCUUUGCAUGCGCUUCCUGGGGGUUUAUAUAGGCCUACUCCCCAGGGGUACAAUGGUAAUCCGGCUGGGCGCGGGUCCUAGCCGUCUGUCUCUCAGGCUGUCGUCUUCUCUGCCGACUACUGGGGCCCGCCGACUGGCGGGCCCCGCGGACAGGCCUGGUACUGUAGCGGUGCUUCUGAUGACGCCAGCUUGGUCAUGAGGUCAUGGCAACAGUGCCGCCGUCUGGCGGGUGUUCACUGCCGCCAUUCCCCAUCUUGUCUGAUUAAUGGCGCGCGGGGCCCGUGGGAGGGGCCGGCCGACUCCCGGGGGCCGACUCCCACGGGUCCGUCCUCAGGGCGUUCUUGCCGUCUUCUGCCUACCCGCUGACAGGCGGUCCCGCCAUCCUUGGGUCGUACAGGUAGGCGUCAUGGGCACAGUGCGCCGCCCACUAAGGCCGAGGUCAGGGGCGGCAUGGCAACAGUGCCACGCCACGAUGGAGAUCUCCAGCGAUACGGUGCACUAUAGCCAUGCUGGUGCUUCGCAGGCAGGGUAGAGACGGCCAUGCUGUGACCGUCCCCCGCCCUGUCCCUCGUGGCGAAGGCAAGGGGUGGUUGUAGUCGCGAGCCGCCUACCCUCAGCCGGCUUCCCUGGAAGUUGUCAGCUGAGAGUCGGCUCAUCUGGAAGUCAUCAGCUGAGAGUCGGCUCAUCUAGAAGUCGUCAGCUGAGAGUCGGCUCAUCUGGGAGUCGUCCCUGGGACUCGGCCUAUCUGGGAGUCGCCCUUGGGACUCGGCUCGUCUGGGAGUCGUCCCUGGGACUCGGCCUAUCUGGGAGUCGCCCCUGGGACUCGGCUCGUCUGGAAGUCGUCCCUGGGACUCGGCCUAUCUGGGAGUUGCCCUUGGGACUCGGCCUAUCUUGGAGUCGUCCCUGGGACUCGGCAUGGGCUGCACAGCCUGUCCCAAUGUCUUGAAAGGUUCUGGGCCCCAGGUUAGCCUACCCGUGGCCCAUUACUCCGACAGGCCGAUCGGUGCGCUCGGGCUGAAGAGGGGAGGAAGUACCCCGGCGAGGAUGCCGGUGCGGAAAUCGACUCCAUGGACAACGACGCCGCUGCCCCGACGAAGAAGGGUUGGUGCCAUAACAGGAAGCGCAAGGGCAAGAUUGUACUUGUUGUCGAGGGGUCCGACGACAUCGGCACCGCCAAGAAGGCCAAGGCGAGCGACCCCGGCAAGGAGUUUGCCGGGUGUGCCGCUUGCCGGGCCUUGACGGCUACCGACAAGCCAGGGGGCUCCGACAAGCAGUAUUGCAAGAUCCACCGCAAAAAGGCCACGACCUCCAGAAAUGCCGACAAAUUGAGCUGCUUGCUGAGAAGCAGAAAGCUGAAUAUGAAAGUCGAGACAAGGAGAAGGGCCAAGAUGGCGCCGAAGGAUCCGACAAGAAGCAUGGCAGCUAAAGAGGCCGCCGUGGCAAGGAUAACCAGCAAGAGAGUCCCGCUCGGGGCUGCGAUAAGAAGCAGGAAGACGAUGAUCAUGACGACGACGACGAGUCCGGGGACCAUGAGUUUCAGAAAGCUACAGAGGCCAUGUGCAUCGACGGUGGCGCCAAGUUGCACACAUCUCACUGGCAGCUCAAGAAGUGGGCGCGUGAAAUCACAGUAGUGGAGCCAUCACUCGACGCACGGAAGCCACUGAAGUGGUCCAGCAUGCCUAUCAUCUUUGACACCGAGGACCACCCUAAUCGCACUACUGCGGUCGGGUGCUUGCCGUUGUUGGUUUCACCAACGAUCCGCAACCUCAAGGUGACAAAGAUGCUAGUUGAUGGCAGGGCCGGUCUGAACUUGAUCUCGCCUAUUGUGAUCAAGAGGCUGCAGAUCCCUGAUGGAGACCUCAAGGAGAUGGGCACUUUCAAGGGGUCAACCCGAGGAGGAGCCAGCCGAAGGGAAAGGUCACGCUGCCCGUGACAUUUUGAGGUGAGUUGAACUACAGGACAGAGAGGAUUGUCUUCUACGUGGCCGAGAUCCCCUUGGCCUACAACGGGACCCUCGGCCGCCCGGCACUGGCCAAGUUCAUGGCGGCUUCCCAUUACGCCUACAACAUGCUGAAGAUGCCCGGGCCGAUGAACAUCAUCACCGUCCCCUCCGAUAAGAAAGAUGCGCUAAUUUGUGCUGACCAACUCUACCAGGAAGCAGUUGCAGUAGCUGCCGCCAAGGCACUUGCUCCUGCCGAUGAAGCCCCGGGAGGGAAGAAGACCGACGAGACCUAUCACACCCACUCCGGCAAGCGCACCUCUUCGGGGUGUUGCGCUCCCAUUGAGGACGUGCCAGAGAGCUCCACCGGCAAGAGCAAGAAGUCCAGAGCUGCACCACCAGAGACCAAGAAGGUGUCCGUCAAGGAGGACGGCACGGGAGGAGCUUUCACCAUAAGCUCCACCCUCGAUGGCAAAUAGGAUAGCGAGCUCGUCACUUUCCUGCGGGCGAAUGUUGAUGUGUUUGCAUCGCAAGAAUCCGACAUCCACGACGUUCCCAGGGAAGUGAUUGAGCAGCACCUUGCUUUCUGUCCUCAUGCGCGGCCCGUCAAGCAGAAGGUCAGGAAGCAAGCUCUGGAGAGGCAGGAGUUCAUCACGGAAGAGAUCAGGAAGCUAGAGGCGGCAGGCUUGGUAAGAGGGGUGCUCCAUCCGACGUGGCUGGCCAAUCCGGUGGUGGUGCGCAAGGCAAACGGGAAGUGGAGGCUGUGUAUUGAUUACAAAGAUAUCAAAAAAGCUUGUCCAAAAGAUCCUUUCCCAUUGCCGCGCAUCGACCAGAUUAUUGACUCCACGGCCGGGUGUGACCUGCUAUCAUUCCUCGAUGCCUACUCAGGCUACCACCAGAUCUUCCUGACAAGAGAAGAUGAGGAGAAGACAACAUUCAUCACCCCAUGUUGUACAUAUUGCUUUUUACGGAUGCCUUUCGGGUUGAAGAGUGCUGGCUCGACCUUUGCAAGAGCAGUUCAAAUUGGUUUUGAGCCCCAGCUACAUAGAAAUAUGGAAGCUUACAUGGAUGACAUAGUGGUCAAAACCAAGGACAAGGUGACACUUGUGCAAGAUUUGGAAGAGACGUUUGCAAAUUUGCGCAAGAUCAACCUCAAGUUGAACCCUGAGAAGUGUGUCUUCGGUGUUCCGUCCGGCAAGCUUCUCAGGUUCUUUGUGUAGCGGCAUGGGAAUGAGGCAAACCCAGACAAGAUCAAGGCCAUUGAGCAGAUUGAGGCACCUAAGCGGAUCAAGGAUGUGCGUCGGCUCACUGGUUGCGUUGCCGCCAUGAGCAGAUUCAUAUCCAAGUCCGCUGAGCAUGCCCUUCCCUUUUUCAAAAUCUUGAAGAAGGCGGGCCCAAUGGAGUGGACCCCGGAGGCCGAGGCGGCGCUGCAAGAUUUGAAGAAAUACCUCUCCUCUACCCCAGUGUUGGUUGCGCCCAAACCACAAGAAUCGUUGCUGCUAUAUCUAGCAGCAACAAAUCAAGUGGUUAGCGCCACACUGGUGGCACAGAGGGAGGUCGACAAAGAGGCAGCAACAACGACAGAGUUGACAGAUGGCGAACCAGAACCCUCCCCAGCAGGGCCUGAUCCCGGCAAGGCUGGCCCCCCGCAAGGUUUGACGCCAGUGUGACAGGGCCCACGCAACAAAGUGAGGUGGUGCAGAAGAAGAAGAUGAUGCAGCACCCGGUUUACUUUGUCAGCUCCCUCCUGCACGGGGCUAGAUCGAGGUACUCCGGUGUGCAGAAAUUGCUCUUCGACCUCCUUAUGGCCUCAAGGAAGAUGCUGUUGGGGAACGUUGCAGAAAAUUAAAAUUUUUCCUACAGUUUCACCAAGAUCCAUCUAUGAGUUCAUCUAAGCAACGAGUCAAGGGAGAGAGUUUACAUCUACAUACCACUUGUAGAUCACGAGCGGAAGCUUGCCAAGGGGAUGGUGAUGAUGGAGUCGUACUCGAACGUGAUUCGGAUCACCGAUGUCCUAGUGCUGAACGGACAGCACCUCCGCGUUCAACACACGUACGGGACGGGAGACGUCUCCUCCGUCUUGAUCCAGCAAGGAGGAAGGAGAGGUUGAGGAAGGCAGCUCCAACGGCAGCACGGCGUCGUGGUGCAGUUGAUGCGGCAGUAUUCCGACAGGGCUUCGCCAAGCACGUACGGAGGAGGAGAGGUGUUGGGGAGGGGAGGGGCUGCGCCUUGGCUUGUAUUGUAUUGCAGCCCUCCCCUCACCCCUCUAUAUAUAGGGGAAAGGGCAAGGGGGGCCGGCCCUCUAGGGAAAACCCUAGGGGGGGCGGCGGCCAAGGGGUGGGGGGCUUGCCCCCCAAGCAAGGGGGGGUGCGCCCCCUUUAGGGUUUCCCCCCCAACCCUAGGCGCAUGAGCCCAAGGGGGGGGGGCGCCAAGCCCACUAGGGGCUGGCUGCUAUCCCCACGCAGCCCAAGUGGCCCCCCCGAGAGGGGUGGCCCCUCCCGGUGGACCCCCGGAACCCUUCCGGUGGUCCCGGUACAAUACCGGUAUGACCCCGAAACUUUCCGGUGCCCGUUUAACAACUUCCCAUAUAUAAAACUUUACCUCCGGACCAUUCCGGAACUCCUCGUGACGUCCGGGAUCUCAUCUGGGACUCCGAACAACAUUCGGUAGUCACAUACUAGUCUUCCUAACAACCGUAGCGUCACCGAACCUUAAGUGUGUAGACCCUACGGGCUCGGGAGACAUGCAGACAUGACCGAGACCACUCUCGGGCAAUAACCAACAGCGGGGUCUGGAUACCCAUGUUGGCUCCCACAUGCUCCUCGAUGAUUUCAUCGGUUGAACCACGAUGUCGAGGAUUCGAUCAAACCCUGUAUACAAAUCCCUUUGUCAAUCGGUACGUUACUUGCCCGAGACUCGAUCGUCGGUAUCCCAAUACCUUGUUCAGUCUCGUAACCGGCAAGUCACUUUACUCGUACCGUAAUGCAUGAUCCCGUGGCCAACACCUUGGUCACCUUGAGCUCAUUAUGAUGAUGCAUUACCGAGUGGGCCCAGAGAUACCUCUCCGUCAUACGGAGUGACAAAUCCCAGUCUCGAUCCGCAUAAAACAAUAGAUACUUUCGGAGAUACCUGUAGUGCACCUUUAUAGUCACCCAGUUACGUUGUGACGUUUGAUACACCCAAAGCACUCCUACGGUAUCCAGGAGUUACACGCUCUCAUGGUCAAAGGAACAGAUACUUGACAUUGGCUAAGCUCUAGCAAAUGAACUACACGAUCUUUGUGCUAUGCUUAGGAUUGGGUCUUGUCCAUCACAUCAUUCUCCUAAUGAUGUGAUCCCGUUAUCAACGACAUCCAAUGUCCAUAGCCAGGAAACCAUGACUAUCUGUUGAUCACAACGAGCUAGUCAACUAGAGGCUCACUAGGGACAUGUUGUGGUCUAUGUAUUCACACGUGUAUUACGAUUUCCGGACAAUACAGUUAUAGCAUGAAUAAAAGACUAUUAUCAUGAACGAAGAAAUAUAAUAAUAACACUUUUAUUAUUGCCUCUAGGGCAUAUUUCCAACAGAUGCGUCAUUACUUCCAAGCACACGAGAUCACUGCUGUCACCCGCCUACCGUUGCAACGGUACUGCAUAACCCAGAUGCAACGGGGAGGAUUGUGGAAUGGGCCUUGGAUCUGUCAAGUUUUGGUUUCAAGUUCGAAAGCACCUCAACGAUUCAGAGCAGAGUCCUGGCGGAGUUCAUCGCUGAAUGGACCUCGACGCCCGACGAAGAGAUCCAGGAGACCACUCUCCCCGGCAAGAAAACAAGUCGCAACUGGAUUAUGUACUUUAAUAGGGCUUUUCCGCUACAAGGCACCGGUGCUGGUGUGCUGCUCGUCGCACCCACCGGAGAGCACCUCAAGUACGUGAUCCAGAUGCACUUUCCCAGGGAGAUGUCGAUGAACAACACUACCGAGUACGAGGGAUUGCUUGCUGGUCUCAGGAUCACGGCAGACCUUGUGGUCAAGAAGCUCAUCGUCAGGGGUGAUUCACACCUUGUCGUCAGGCAGGUCAACAAGGAUUAUCAGAGCCCGUUGAUGGAGGCUUACAUGGAUGAAGUGAGGAAACUGGAGGAGCGCUUUGAAGGUAUAUGAUAACCCACAAAUAUAGGGGAUCGCAACAGUUUUCGACGGUAGAGUAUUCAACCCAAAUUUAUUGAUUCGACACAAGGGGAGCCAAAGAAUAUUCUCAAGUAUUAGCAGUUGAGUUGUCAAUUCAACCACACCUGGAUAACUUAGUAUCUGCAGCAAAGUAUUUAGUAGCAAAGUAGUAUGAUAGUAAUGGUAACAGUGAUAAGAGUAACGAUAGUAGUUUUGUAGUGAUUGUAACAGCAGCAACGGAAAAGUAAAUAAGCAAAGCACAAUAUGUGAAAAGCUCAUAGGCAUUGGAUCAGUGCUGGAUAAUUAUGUCGGAUGCGAUUCAUCAUGUAAUAGUUAUAACAUAGGGUGACACAGAACUAGCUCCAGUUCAUCAAUGUAAUGUAGGCAAGUAUUCUGAAUAUAGUAAUACGUGCUUAUAGAAAAAAACUUGCAUGACAUCUUUUGUCCUACCCUCCCGUGGCAGCGGGGUCCUAAUUGAAACUAAGGGAUAUUAAGGCCUCCUUUUAAUGGAGAACAAGACCAAAGCAUUAACACAUAGUAAAUACAUGAACUCCUCAAACUAAGAUCAUCACCGAGAAGUAUCCCGAUUAUUGUCACUUAGGGGUUGUCGGAUCAUAACACAUAAUAGGUGACUAUAGACUUGCAAGAUAGGAUCAAGAACUCACAUAUAUUCAUGAAAAUAUAACAGGUUCAGAUCUGAAAUCAUGGCACUCGGCCCCUAGUGACAAGCAUUAAGCAUAGCAAAGUCAUAGCAGCAUCAAUCUCAGAACAUAGUGGAUACUAGGGAUCAAACCCUAACAAAACUAACUUGAUUACACGGUAAAUCUCAUCCAACCCAUCACCGUCCAACAAGCCUACGAUGGAAUUACUCAUGCACGGCGGUGAGCAUCAUGAAAUUGGUGAUGGAGGAUGGUUGAUGAUGACGAUGACGAUGAAUCCCCUCUUCGGAGCCCCUAACAGACUCCAGAUCUGCCCUCCCAAGAGAGAUUAGGGCUUGGCGGCGGCUCCGUGUCGUAAAAUGUGAUGAAACUUCCUCUCUGAUUUUUUUCUCCGCGAAACGGAAUAUAUGGAGUUGGAGUUGAGGUCGGUGGAGCUCCAGGGGGCCCAUGAGACAGGGGCGCGCCCAGGGGGAGGGGGCGCGCCCCCCAUCCUCGUGGACAGGGUGUGGCCCCCUGGCCUUGAUUCUUUCACCAAUAUUUUUUAUAUUUCCCAAAAGUUAUCUCCAUGGAUUUUCAGGUCAUUCCGAGAAAUUUUGUUUUCUGCACAAUAAACAACACCAUGGAAGUUCUGCUGAAAAAAGCGUUAGUCCAGGUUAGUUUCAUUCAAAUCAUGCAAGUUAGAGUCCGAAACAAGGGCAAAAGUCUUUGGAAAAGUAGAUACGUUGGAGACGUAUCAACUCCCCCAAGCUUAAACCUUUGCUUGUCCUCAAGCAAUUCAGUUGAUAAACUGAAAGUGAUAAAGAAAAACUUUUACAAACUCUAUUUGCUCUUGUUGUUUUAAAUAUGUAAAGACAACAUUCAAGUUUUCAGCAAAUAUUAUGAACUAACCAUAUUCACAAUAACACUUAGGUAUCAUAUUUACUCAUAUCAAUGGCAUAAUCAACUAGCGAGCAAUAAUAAUAAAACUCAGAUGACAACACUUUCUCAAAACAAUGAUAAUAUGAUAUAACAUGAUGGUAUCUCGCUAGCCCUUUCUGAGACUGCAAAACAUAAAUGCAGAGCACCUUUAAAGAUCAAGGACUGACUAAACAUUGUAAUUCAUGGUAAAAGAGAUCCAGUCAAGUCAUAACCAAUAUAAACUAAUAGCAAUGCAUGCAAAUGUCAGUGUGCUCUCCAGCGGGUGCUUUUUAAUAAGAGGGUGAUGACUCAACAUAAAAGUAAAUAGAUAGUCCCUUCGUAGAGGGAAGCAGGGAUUUGUAGAGGUGCGAGAGCUCAAUUUUGAAAUAGAGAUGAAUAACAUUUUGAGUGCUAUACUUUCACUGUCAAUGCAACAACUAUGAGAUCUCGACAUCUUCCAUGCUACAUACAUUAUAGGCGGUUCCCAAACAGAAUGGUAAAGUUUUUUACUCCCCCUCCACCAACAAGCAUCAAUCCAUGGCUUGCUCGAAACAACGAGUGCCUCCAACUAGCAAUGUCCCUGGGGGAGUUUUGUUUAAUUAUGUUGAUUUGCUUUGAUCUUUUUAAUCAUGGGACUAGGCAUCCUGGUUACCAGCCAUUUUCUCGUGAAUGAGGAGCGGAGUCCACUCCCCUUGAGAAUAACCCACCUAGCAUGGAAGACACACACAACCCUAGUUGAAAUAUGAGCUGCUCGAGCAUACAAAACAGAAUUUCAUUUGAGGGUUUGGAGUUUGGCACAUACAAAUUUACUUGGAACAGUAGGUAAAUACCCCAUAUAGGAAGCUACGAUGGACUCAUAUGGAAUAACUUUGGGGUUCAUGGAGUUUGGAUGCACAAGCAGUACUCCCGCUUAGUACAGGUGAAGGCUAGCAAAAGACUGGGAAGCGACCAACUGAGAGAGCGACAACAGUCAUGAACAUGCAUUAAAAUUAAUCAACACUGAGUGCAAGCAUGAGUAGGAUAUAAUCGACCAUGAACAUAAAUAUCGUGAAGGCUAUGUUGAUUUGUUUCAACUUCAUGCGUGAACAUGUGCCAAGUCGAGUCACUCAAUUCAUUUAAAGAAGGAUACCACCCUAUCAUACCACAUCACAACCAUUUUAAUAGCAUGUUGUCACACAAGGUAAACCAUUAUAACCUCCUAGCUAAUUAAGCAUGGCAUAAGUAACUAUAAUAUCUAAUUGUCAUUGCAAACAUGUUUAUUCAUAAUAGGCUGAAUCAGGAACGAUGAACUCAUCAUAUUUACAAAAAUAAGAGAGGUCGAGUUCAUACCAGCUUCUCUUAUCUCAAUCAAUCCAUCAUACAUCGUCAUUAUUGCCUUUCACUUGCACGACCGAACGGUGUGUAUAAUAAUAAUAGUGCACGUGCAUUGGACUAAGAUGGAAUCUGCAAGCAUUCAAUUCAAGGGAGAAGACAAGGUAAUAUGGCCUCUAAGUUAAAUCAACAAUCAUGCAUAUGAGAGCCACUAAACAUUUUCAUUAUGGUCUUCUACUCUUGACCCCGAAAGGAAAGAAAAGAAAUAAAACUAUUUACACGGGAAAGCUCCCAACAAGCAAAAGAAGAACAAGAAAUAUUUUUGGGUUUUCUUGAAGGUUUAUCAAACACACAAGAAGAAAGCUAGGAAAAUAAAUAAAUUAAACUAGCAUGGAUAGUACAAUGAAAGAGUAUGAGCAGGACAACUAGAAUAAGUGUGUGAACAUGAAUGUAAUGUUGGUGAGAAAUACGUACUCCCCCAAGCUUAGGAUUUUUGGCCUAAGUUGGUUUAUUGCCAAGGAUAGCAUGGCUGAUAUCCGGAGUUAUAAUUGGGGUCGUACUGAGAUGCAGCAGCCAAUGCCUCCUGAGCUGCGGCAUGUUGGCGAGCUGCCUCCGCUCUCCUCUCGUGUUCGGUUGCCUCCUCCCUGGUUACAACAUAUCUUCUUUUUGCCUGGUAAUCAAAAAGGGAAGGAGCAGGGAGAGUAACAUGGAUAGCGCGACGUCUGUCAAAGAUUAGUCGAUACUGGAGGAAUUGUUCAGUCCUCAAAAGAAAACGAUGUCUGACCAUCGCGUCAUAAUCUAAAUAAGCGGGAGGCAAAUCCAUAUCACCCUCACGUGGGGGUAUACCAAGAUAAUUAGCAACACUGGUCGCAUAAAUCCUUCCAAAUAAAUCUCCAACUAAACCAUUAUUAUGCAACCUACGUGCAAUAAUCGCUCCCAAGUUGUAAAUUUUAUUACCUAAUACAUCACUCUUAAGAACACAAAGAUCAGGGAAACACAUGUGACAUGCUUCAUCCUUACCGUUAAUGUAUCUACCAAUGAAGAGAGCAAAAUAAUGUAUAGCAGGAAAAUGAAUGCUCCCUAUGGUAGCUUGUGCUAUAUCCCUAGAUUCUCCCACAGUGAUACUAGCAAGAAAGUCUUUAUAUUCAGAUUUGCGGGGUUCGUUAACAUUGCCCCACUGAGGGAGUUUGCAAGCAGUAGUAAAAUCUUCUAGGUCCAUGGUAUAUGAUUGAUCAUAAAUAUCAAACAGGGCACUUCGAGAAUUACACGAAGAUGAAAAUUUAAACCUUCUCACAAAUGAAUCAGUCAAAUACUGGUACUGAGGACACUUAUCUUGCAUGAAGUCCUCAAGAUCGGCAUUACACACAUAUGUAUCAAAUUUGUCCUUGAUGCCUGCAUUGACCGUAAAUUCUUCUGACGGCCAUUCACAAAACCGCACCUUAGCUUCCCUUGGUGGUUCAUCGUCUUGCUCAUGCAUAGCACGCCUAAGUCCUCUCUUUGUUGAGGAACCACCUUGAUACAUUUUCCUGGAAAUAUUUCUUCCUCUGAAAAAUUUCUGAAAUUUUUAGUAACUUCAAAAUAAAAGUGAAUCAAACUAAACAAGAUUGAUAGCAACUACUCCCACAAGUGCCUAGAGCCUAUAUCAUGCAUUAAAAUUACUUGGGACCUCAUAAAUUUGACAUGCAAGCUCAAGGACAUGGUCACCUAGGCAGCAAAAAUUUGCAAUGAAUAAAGCACUAGAACAAAAACUAAUUGGGCUGAUGGAGGAGUCACAUAGCAAGCAACAAUCUCCCAAAGCAGUUUUAUGAAUGGAGCUUUGAGCAAAGAGAUCAAAAAUCACAGCAAAAUGAGCUAGAACUCGUUCUUGAGCUGGAUGGGGAUUUUUUGGGACGAAGAUGGAGUGUGUGGGUGCAGGAAUAAGUGGAGGGGGGCCACCGUGGGCCCACGAGCCAAGGGGCGCGCCCACGGGGAGUGGGCGCGCCCUGGACCCUCAUGGCUAGGUGCUUGCCCCCCCUGCUGUGUUGUUAGUGCUUAAAAUCCUCAAAUAUUCCAUAAAAAAUCAUACUAAAUUUGCAGUCCAUUUGGAGCAAUUUAUUUUCGGGAUAUUUUUUAUUGCAUUGAUAAUUUAGAAAAUAGACAGAUAAUACUAUUUUUGCUUUAUUUAUUCUAAAUAACAGAAAGUAAAAAGAGAGUACAGAAGGUUGUGCCUUCUAGUUUCAUCCAUCUCAUGAUCAUCAAAAGGAAUUCACUAACAAGGUUGAUCAAGUCUUGUUAACAAAAUCAUUCCAAAUAACAUGGAACCGGAGAAAUUUCGAAUAACACUAGGUUACCUUAACGGGGAUAUGAACAUCCCCAACAAUAUUUUUCUUGACAGUAGGAAGAGGAAAUUCAAAACCACCAAUAAUGAUAGUUGAAAUUUUUCCAAUAGAAUUGAUGCUAUGAAAUUGAGGUUGUUUCCUCGGAAAGUGUACCGUAUGCUCAUUACCAUUAACAUGAAAAGUGACGUUGCCUUUGUUGCAAUCAAUAACAGCCCUUGCAGUAUUCAAAAAGGGUCUACCAGGGAUAAUCGACAUACUAUCGUCCUUGAGAAUAUCAGGAAUAACAAAGUCCGUUAAGAUAGUGACAUUUGCAACCACAACAGGCACGCCCUCACAUAUACCGACAAGUAUAGUGGCUGAUUUAUCAGCCAUUUGCAAAGAUAUUUUAGUAGGUGUCAACUUAUUCAAUUCAAGUCUAUGAUACAAAGAGAGGGGCAUAACACUAAAAUCGGCUCCAAGAUCACGUAAAGCAGUUUUAACAUAAUUUCUUUUAAUGGAGCAUGGUCUAGUUGGUACCCCUGGAUCUCCAAGUUUCUUAGGUAUUCCACAUUUAAAAGUGUAAUUAGCAAGCACGGUGGAAAUUUCAGCUUCCAGUAUCUUUCUUUUAUUUGUAAUGAUGUCCUUCAUGUAUUUAGCAUAAGGGUUUACUUUAAGCAUAUCAGUUAAGCGCAUACGUAAGAAGAUAGGUCUAAUCAUUUCAGCAAAGCGCUCAAAAUCCUUAUCAUCCUUUGUCUUGGAUGGUUUAGGAGGAAAAGGCAUGGGUUUUCGAACCCAUGGUUCUCUUUCUUUACUGUGCUUCCUAGCAACAAAAUCUCUUUUAUCAUAACCUUGAUUCUUUGAUUGUGGGUUAUCAAGAUCAACAGCAGGUUCAACCUCUACAUCAUUAUUAUUGCUAGGUUGAGCAUCAACAUGAACAUUAUUAUUAACAUUAUCACUAGGUUCAUGUUCAACACCUGAUUCUGUUUCAGCAUCAAAAACAGAAAUAUCAUUGGGAUUCUCAGGUGUGUCUACAACAGGUUCACUAGAAGCAUGCAAAGUCCUAUCAUUUUAUUUUUCUUCUUUUUAGAAGGACUGGGUGCAUCUAAAUUUUUUCUCUAAGAAUCUUGCUCGAUUCUCUUAGGGUGGCCUUCAGGAUACAAAGGUUCCUGAGUCAUUCUACCAGUUCUAGUAGCCACUCUAAUAGCAAAAUCAUGUUUAUUAUUUAAUUCAUCGAGCAAAUCACUUUGAGCUUUAAGUACUUGUUCAGCUUGAGUGGUAACCAUAGAAGCAUAUUUGCUAAUGAGUUUAAGUUCACCUUUAACUCUAGCCAUAUAAUCACUCAAGCGUCCUAUCAUGAAAUCAUUACUCUCUAAUUCUCUACCAACAUAAGCAUUAAAACUUUCUUGCCUAGCCAUAAAGUCAUCAAAUUCAUCCAAACAUUGGCAAUGAAAUUUAGUAGACGGGAUUUCAACUUUAUCAUAUCUAUAGAGAGAAUUUACCUUUACUAGCUAUGUCGGGUUAUCAAGACAAUGUGUUUCUUCAACAGGCGGUAUAUUAAGACCAUGUAUUUCUUUAAUAGGAGGUAAAUUCUUAACAUCUUCAGCUUUAAUACCUUUUUAUUUCAUUGAUUUCUUUGCCUCUUGCAUAUCUUUGGGACUGAGAAAUAGAACACCCCUCUUCUUCGGAGUUGGUUUAGGAAUAGGCUCAGGAGUUGGCUCAAUUGGCUCAGGAAUCGGGUCAGGAAGAGUCCAAUUAUUUUCAUUACUUAACAUAUUAUCAAUAACAAUUCAGCUUGGUCGACUGUUCUUUCCCUGAAAACACAACCAGCACAACUAUCCAAGUGGUCCUUGGAAGCAUCGGUUAGUCCAUUAUAAAAGAUAUCAAAUAUUUAAUUUUUCUUAAGAGGAUGAUCAGGCAAAGCAUUAAGUAAUCGGAGAAGCCUCUCCCAAGCUUGUGGGAGACUCUCUUCUUUGAUUUGCACAAAAUUAUAUAUUUCCCGCAAGGCAGCUUGUUUCUUAUGAGCAGGGAAAUAUUUAGCAGAGAAGUAAUAAAUCAUAUCCCGGUGACUACGCACACAACCAGGAUCAAGAGAGUUAAACCAAGUUUUAGCAUCACCCUUUAAUGAGAAAGGAAAUAUCUUAAGGAUAUAAUAAUAGCGAGACUUCUCAUUAUUGGUAAACAGGGUGGCUAUAUCAUUCAACUUGGUAAGAUGUGCCACAACAGUUUCAGAUUCAUUGCCAUAAAAACAAUCAGAUUCAACCAAAGUAAUUAUCUCAGGAUCAACAGAGAAUUCAUAAUCCUUAUCAGUAACAAAGAUAGGUGAAGUAGCAAAAGCAGGGUCAUAUUUCAUUCUAGCAUUCAGAGUUUUCUGUUUCAGUUUAGCUAGUAACUUCUUAAGAUCAGAUCUAUCAUUGCAAGCAAGAAGAUCUCUAGCAGUUUCUUCAUCCAUAACAUAACUGAUGUCUACUACACAAUCUUCUUCUUGUAGACGUUGUUGGGCCUGCAAGUGCACAGGUUUGUAGGACAGUAGCAAAUUUCCCUCAAGUGGAUGACCUAAGGUUUAUCAAUCCGUAGGAGGCGUAGGAUGAAGAUGGUCUCUCUCAAACAACCCUGCAACCAAAUAAAAAAGAGUCUCUCGUAUCCCCAACACACACAAUACAAUGGUAAAUUGUAUAGGUGCACUAGUUCGGCGAAGAGAUGAAGAUACAAGUGCAAAAUAAAUGGUAGAUAAAGGUAUUUGUAAUCUGAAAUAAUAAAAACAGCAAUGUAGCGAGCGAUAAAAGUGAGCGUAAAUGGUAUUGCAAUGAUAGGAAACAAGGCCUAGGGUUCAUACUUUCACUAGUGCAAGUUCUCUCAACAAUAAUAACAUAGAUAGAUCAUAUAACAAGCCCUCAACAUGCAACAAAGAGUCACUCCAAAGCCACUAAUAGCGGAGAACAAACAUAGAGAUUAUGGUAGGGUACGAAACCACCUCAAAGUUAUUCUUUCGAAUCGAUCUAUAAAAGAGUUCGUACUAGAAUAACACCUUAAGACACAAAUCAACCAAAACCCUAAUGUCACCUAGAUACUCCAUUGUCACCUCAAGUAUCCGUGGGCAUGAUUAUACGAUAUGCAUCACACAAUCUCAGAUUCAUCCAACCAACACAAAGUACUUCAAAGAGUGCCCCAAAGUUUCUACCGGAGAGUCAAGAACGUGUGCCAAACCCUAUGCAUAGGUUGAUGGGCGGAACCCUCAAGUUGGUCACCAAAACAUACAUCAAGAGGCACAUGAUAUCCCAUUCUCACUACAGAUAAGCACGGCAAGACAUACAUCAAGUGUUCUCAUAAAAGACUCAAUCCGAUAAGAUAACUUCAAAGGGGAAACUCAAUUCAUCACAAGGGAUUAGAGGAGGAGAAACAUCAUAAGAUCCAACUACAAUAGCAAAGCUCGGGAUACAUCAAGAUCGUGCCAUAGAGGGAACACGAGGGAGAGAGAGAUCAAACACAUAGCUACUGGUACAUACCCUCAGCCCCGAGGGUGAACUACUCCCUCCUCGUCAUGGAGAGCGCCGGGAUGAUGAAGAUGGCCACCGGUGAAGGAUCCCCCUCCAGAAAGGUGGCAGGAAGGGCUCCCGAGAGGUUUUUGGUGGCUACAAAGGCUUGCGGCAGCGGAACUCCUGAUCUAUCUUCUGUUCUGGAAGUUUUAGGGUACAUAGGUAUAUAUGGGUGAAAGGAGUACGUCGGUGGACCUCCGGGGUGCUCACGAGGCAGGGGGCGCGCCCUAGGGGGGUGGGCGCGCCCCCACCCUCGUGGGCAGCCCGGGACUCCCUUGACGUGCACUCCAAGUCUAUCAGGUUGCUUUCCUUCCAAAAAUAACGUCUCCAGCUGAUUUCGUUCCGUUUUGACUCCGUCUGAUAUUCCUUUUCCUCGAAACACUGAAAUAGGCAUAAAAUAGCAAAUCUGGGCUGGGCCUCCGGUUGAUAGGUUAGUCCCAAAAAUAAUAUAAAAGUGGAUAAUAAAGCCCAAUAUUGCCCAAAAUAGUAGAUAAUAUAGCAUGGAGGAAUCAAAAAUUAUAGAUAUGUUGGAGACGUAUCAAGCAUCCCUAGGCUUAAUUCCUUCUCGUCCUUGAGUAGGUAAAUGAUAAAAAAGAAUUUUUGAUGCGGAGUGCUACUUGGCAUAAUUUCAAUGUAAUUCUUCUUAAUUGUAGUAUGAAUAUUCAGAUCCGAAAGAUUCAAGACAAAAGUUCAUAUUGACAUAAAAAUAAUAAUACUUCAAGCAUACUAAUCAAAGCAAUCAUCUCUUCUCAAAAUAGCAUGGCUAAAGAAAGUUAUCCCUACAAAAUCAUAUAGUCUGGUUGUUGCUCUAUCUUCAUCACACAAAGUAUUUAAUCAUGCACAACCCCGAUGACAAGCCAAGCAAUUGUUUCAUACUUUAAUAAUCUCAAACUCUUUCAACUUUCACGCAAUACAUGAGCGUGAGCCAUGGACAUAGCACUAUAUGUGGAAUAGAAUGGUGGUUGUGGAGAAUACAAAAGGAGGGAAGAUAGUCUCACAUCAUCCUUUCCUCACUGGGACAAUGCUCUAAUAAUGAUGAUCAUCACACUUUUAUUUUUCUUACAACUCAACAAUUGCAACUCGAUACUUAGAACAAAAUAUGACUCUAUAUGAAUGCCUCCGGCGGUGUACCGGGAUAUGCAAUGAAUCAAGAGCGACAUGUAUAAAAAUUAUGAAGGUGGCCUUGCCACAAAUACAAUGUCAACUACAUGUUCAUGCAAAAUGCAAUAUGACAAAAGUAAUGUGUGUCAUAUGAACGGAACGGUGGAAAGUUGCAUGGCAAUAUAUCUCGGAAUGGCUAUGGUAAUGCCAUAAUAGGUAGGUAUGGUGGCUGUUUUGAGGAAGGUAUAUGGUGGGUGUAUGGUAUAGGCGAAAGUUGCGCGACACAAGAGAGGCUAGCAAUAAUAUAAGGGUGAAAGGGUGCGUAUAAUCCAUGGACUCAACAUUAAUCAAAAGAACUCUUGCACUUGUUCCAAAAAUUUAGAAGUCAUCAAAAACCUAAGCACUACGCGCAUGCUCCUAGGGGGAUAGAUUGGUAGGAAAAGACCAUCGCUCGUCCCCGACCGCCACUCAUAAGGAAGACAAUCGAUAAAUAAAAUUGUGCUCCAACUUCAUCACAAAUCGGUUCACCAUACGUGCAUGCUACAGGAAUCACAAACUUCAACACAAGCAUUCUUUAAAUUCAUUAUCACCCAACUAGCAUCACUUUGAUAUUAUCACCUCCAUAUCUCAAAACAAUUAUCAAGCAUCAAACUUAUCUUAGUAUUCAACGCACUCAAAAGAAAGUUUCACAUAUCUUGAAUACCAAGUAUAUUAAUGUUAAGCAAAUUACCAUGCUAUUAAAUACUCUCAAAAUAAUAUAAGUGAAGCAUGAGAGUUCAUCUAUUUCUUCAAAAUAAAACCACCAUUGUGCUCUAAAAGAUAUAAGUGAAGUACUAGAGCAAAUGACAAACUACUCAAAAAAGAUAUAAGUGAAGAACAAUGAUUAGCUAAAUAAUUACGUAACUAUGUGAAGACUCUCUCUCAUUAAAGAAUUUCAGAUCUUGGUAUCUUAUUCAAACAUCAAGCAAACAAAAUAAAAUAGCAUUGCAAGGAUAGCACAACUCAUGUGAAGAAGCAAAAACUUAGGCUCAACCGAUACUAACCGAUGAUUGUCGAAGAAGAAAGGUGGGAUGCCUACCGGGGCAUCCCCAAGCUUAGAUGCUUGAGACUUCUUGAAAUAUUAUCUUGGGGUGCCUUGGGAAUCCCCAAGCUUGAACUUUUUUGUCUCCUUAAUUCCUCUCAUAUCAAGGUUUCUCUUCUUUUCAAAAGCUUCAUUCACAACUAACUCAACAAGAACUCGUGAGAUAGGUUAGUAUAAACCAAUGCAAAACCAUAUCAUCCUCUACUGUAACAAAUCACUAAAAUUAUUAUUCAACAUUGAAUACUAAAUGUCUCUGCAUAUUUAAUACUCUUAUCCUCAAAUAGAAUCAUUAAACAAGCAAACAUAUGCAAACAAUGCAAACAUAACAGCAAUCUGCCAAAACAGUACAGUUUGUAAAGAAUGCAAGAGUAUCCAUACUUCCAUGACUCCAAAAAUUAUGAACUAAAAUUCCCACUGUAAAAAAUUUAUCAUAUCUUAAUAUUCAAAAAGAUUCAACGUUAUACCAUUCUCUGACUUUUCUAGGGAAUUUUUGCAACAGAGGUAAACUUUCUGUUUUCAAACAGCAACAUGUAUACAAGCAAAAUCAGCAUGGCAAAGGCUAUCCUUGACUUUUUUAUUGAAACUAAAGAUGCAAAACAUUGUUCUAACUAACAGAAAGCAAAAACUAACAAAAUAAAAUGACGCUCCAAGCAAAACACAUAUCAUGUGGCGAAUAAAAAUAUAGCUCCAAGUAAAGUUACCGAAGAACGAAGACGGAAGAGGGGAUGCCUUCCGGGGCAUCCCCAAGCUUAGGCUCUUUGUUGUCCUUGGAUAUUACCUUGGGGUGCCUUGGGCAUCCCCAAGCUUAGGCUCUUGCCACUUCUUAUUCUAUAGUCCAUCGAAUCUUUACCCAAAACUUGAAAACUUCAACCACACAAAACUCAAAACAAAACUCGUAAGCUCCGUUAGUAUAAGAAAAUAAAACCACCACUUAGGUACUGUAAUGAACUCAUUCUAAAUUCAUAUUGGUGUAAUAUGUACUGUAUUCUAACUUCUCUAUGGUUCUUACCACUUAAUACUAGCCAUAGAUGCAUCAAAAUAAGCAAACAACACAUAGAAAACAGAAUCUGUCAAAAACAGAACAGUCUGUAGUAAUCUGUAUAAAACGUAUACUUCUGGAACCCCAAAAAUUAUGAAAUAAAUUGAUGGACCAGAGAAAUUUUUCUAUUAAUCAUCUUCAACAAGAAUCAACCUAAAAUCACUCUCCAGUAAAACAUGGCAGCUAAUCUCGUGAGCGCUAAAGUUUCUGUUUUCACAGCAAGAUCACAUAAACUUCACCCAAGUCUUCCCAAAGGUUCUACUUGGCACUUUAUUGAAACAAAAGCUAUAAAACAUGAUUAAUAAAGUAGCAUAAUCAUGUGGACACACAAAAACAGUAAGGAUAAAUAUUGGGUUGUCUCCCAACAAGCGCUUUUCUUUAAUGUCUUUCUAGCUAGGCAUGAUGAUAGCAAUGAUGCUCACAUAGAAGAUAAGAAUUGAAACAAAAAGAGAGCAUCAUGAAGCAUGUGACUAGAACAUUUAAGCCUAACCCACUUCAUAUGCAUAAGGAUUUCGUGAGCAAACAACUUAUGGGAACAAAAAUCAACUAGUAUAGGAUGGCACAACAAACCUAACUUCAAGAAUUUCAACACAUAGAGAGGAAACUUGACAUUAUUGCAAUUCCUACAAGCAUAUGUUCCUCCCUCAUAAUAAUUUUCAGUAGCACCAUGAAUGAAUUCAACAAUAUAACCAGUACCUAAGUCAUUCUUUGCAUGAUCUACAAGCAUAGAAAAUUUACUACUCUCCACAUAAGCAAAUUUCUUCUCAUGAAUAGUAGGAGUAUCAUAAGAGACUUGAACACUAAAAAUUGUUUCCACAUUAAAAGAGUAAUGUUCAGAAAAAGGGUAAUCAUAAUCAUGAAUUUUUUUUAAUAUAAUCAUCACUACUUUUUAUAGCAUAAGUUUCAUCACAAUAAUCAUCAUAAGUAGCAACUUCGUUCUCAUCAUAAUCGAUUGAAACCUCUCCCAAGAUAGUGGAAUCACUAAAUAAAGUUGACACUCUUCCAAAUCCACUUUCAUAUUUAUCACAAUAAAAUUCAACAUCCUCCAAAAUAGUGGGAUCACUACUUCCUAAAGUUGACACUCUUCCAAACCCACUUUCAUCAAUAUAAUCAUCAUAGGUACAAGGCAUGCUAUCAUCAUAACAACUUUGCAUAUUAAAACUUGGGAGGCUAAAAAUAUCAUCUUCAUUAAACAUAGCAUACCCAAGCUUGGGACAAACAUUAAUUUCAGCAAAUAUAUUCUCAAAUAUUUCAUACUCAUCAAACAUAGCUUCCCCAAGCUUGGGCCUUUUCAUAUCAUAAGCAUAAUCACUCUCAUCGUUAAAAAUAUGGAUAGCACCAAUAGUAAAGCAAUUAUCAUCAUCACAAUGAGUAGUAGGAGCAACAUCAUUUGGGAGGGAUACCUUUCUACCUUUGUUGCUCCUUCUUUUCUUUUUCUUCUUCACAUUAUGUGUGGGUUCAACCUUCCUCUUUGAGCUCCUUAUUGAUGAGAUUGGUUGAAUAGAAAGCUCGUCCUCGUUACCUGACUCAUCAUAAGAAAUAAUAAGAGGAUAUUGGGAAGUCUCUUCCCUUUCAUUAGUAUUCUCAUCAACUUCUAUUUGCUUUCUUUUCUUUAGGUAAUUGGCAAUAUAUGGAUUUUCAAUGCAAUUCACCGCACAAAACAAAUAAAUCUUCUCUAGAUCAAUAUCAAGGAAAUGCUCAAGAUUAAAUUCUGGAAUAGGCUUAGUUAAACGUUUGAACUCUUCAUAACCCAAAAGCAAACUAAGUUCAUUAUAAUGUGCAAGGGAAAUCAAAUCAUCACAAUUUUUGGACAUGAUUCGGUCAUGAAACAAUUUGCAUUGGAGAUGUAAAUGACCACAUUCAUAGCAAAGUUCACAAGUAUGGCAAAGGAAUUUUAAAUUUUCAGCACUCACAUCUAGCCUUUCUUGCAACCAUUUAGUUUCUAAAUGCUUAUGCCUCUUGCAAUAAAUAUCUUCUCUAUUUGGUGUGUUCAUGCAAACAUGCACUCCACAAAAGUUGACAUGCUCAUAAGAGAUAUUUUCAUCAUGACUAGAGCAAUCAUCAUUAAUACUAUGGAUAUUCAAGGAGUUUAUACUAACAACAUUGCAAUCAUGCUCAUCAUUCAAAGAUUUAGUAUCAAGCAUUUUAAUGCACUCUUCCUCUAGCACUUGAGCACAAUUUUCCUUUCCAUCAAACUCACGAAAGAUAUUAAAAAGACGAAGCAUAUGAGACAAACUUAACUCCAUUUUUUUGUAAUUUUCUUUUAUAAACUAAACUAGUGAUUAAACAAGAAAUAAAAAGAUUCGAUUGCAAGAUCUAAAGAUAUACCUUCAAGCACUCACCUCCCCGGCAACGGCGCCAGAAAAGAGCUUGAUGUCUACUACACAACCUUCUUAUUGUAGACGUUGUUGGGCCUGCAAGUGCACAUGUUUGUAGGACAGUAGCAAAUUUCCGUCAACUGGAUGACCUAAGGUUUAUCAAUCCGUAGGAGGCGUAGGAUGAAGAUGGUCUCUCUCAAACAACCCUGCAACCAAAUAACAAAGAGUCUCUUGUGUCCCCAACACACCCAAUACAAUGGUAAAUUGUAUAGGUGCACUAGUUCGGCGAAGAGAUGAAGAUACAAGUGCAAAAUAGAUGGUAGAUAAAGGUAUUUGUAAUCUGAAAUAAUAAAAACAGCAAGGUAGCGAGCGAUAAAAGUGAGUGUAAAUGGUAUUGCAAUGAUAGGAAACAAGGCCUAGGGUUCACACUUUCACUAGUGCAAGUUCUCUCAACAAUAAUAACAUAGAUAGAUCAUAUAAAAAGCCCUCAACAUGCAACAAAGAGUCACUCCAAAGCCACUAAUAGCGGAGAACAAACGUAGAGAUUAUGGUAGGGUACAAAACCACCUCAAAGUUAUUCUUUCGGAUCGAUCUAUAAAAGAGUUCAUACUAGAAUAACACCUUAAGACACAAAUCAACCGAAACCCUAAUGUCACCUAGAUACUCCAUUGUCACCUCAAGUAUCAGUGGGCAUGAUUAUACAAUAUGCAUCACACAAUCUCAGAUUCAUCCAACCAACACAAAGUACUUCAAAGAGUGCCCCAAAGUUUCGACCGGAGAGUCAAGAACGUGUGCCAACCCCUAUGCAUAGGUUCAUGGGUGGAACCCACAAGUUGGUCACCAAAACAUACAUCAAGAGGCACAUGAUAUCCCAUUGUCACCACAGAUAAGCACGGCAAGACAUACAUCAAGUGUUCUCAUAAAAGACUCAAUCCGAUAAGAUAACUUCAAAGGGGAAACUCAAUUCAUCACAAGAGAGUAGAGGAGGAGAAACAUCAUAACAUCCAACUACAGUAGCAAAGCUCAGGAUACAUCAAGAUCGUGCCAUAGAGGGAACACGAGAGAGAACACGAGGGAGAGAGAGAUCAAACACAUGGCUACUGGUACAUACCCUCAGCCCCGAGGGUGAACUACUCCCUCCUCGUCAUGGAGAGCGUCAGGAUGAUGAAGAUGGCCACCGGUGAAGGAUCCCCCCUCCGUCAGGGUGUCGGGAAGGGCUCCCGAGAGGUUUUUGGUGGCUACAGAGGCUUGCGGCGGCGGAACUCCCGAUCUAUCUUCUGUUCUGGAAGUUUUAGGGUACGUAGGUAUAUAUGGGUGAAAGGAGUACGUCGGUGGACCUCCAGGGUGCUCACGAGGCAGGGGGGCGCGCCCUAGGGGGGUGGGCGCGCCCCCACCCUUGUGGGCAGCCCGGGACUCCCCUGACAUGCACUCGAAGUCUAUUAGGUUGCUUUCCUUCCAAAAAUAACUUCUCCAGUUGAUUUCGUUCCGUUUUGACUCCGUCUGAUAUUCCUUUUCCUCGAAACACUAAUAGGCAUAAAACAACAAAUCUGGGUUGGGCCUCCGGUUUAUAGGUUAGUCCCAAAAAUAAUAUAAAAGUGGAUAAUAAAGCCCAAUAUUUCCCAAAACAGUACAUAAUAUAGCAUGGAGCAAUCAAAAAUUAUAGAUACAUUGGAGACGUAUCAAUAACCCUCAGGAACAACAUGCAAUUCAUAUUUAGGGGGAGAACCUUCAUCAUCGCUAUCAUCAAUAAUUUGAUCUUCAAUAAUUUCAUUCUCUCUAACCCUAGCAAGUUGUUCAUAAAGAUAUUCACCUAAUGGCACAGUAGUAUCAAGCAUAGAAGUAGUUUCAUCAUAAGUAUGAUGCAUAGCAGAAGUGGCAUCAUCAAUAACAUGCAAUAUCAGAACUCAUAGCAGUAGCAGGUUUAGGUGUCGCAAGCUUACUGAAAACGGAAGGAGAAUCUAGUGCAGAGCUAGAUGGCAGUUCCUUACCUCCCCUCGUAGUUGAGGGAAAAAUCUUAGUUCUUUCGUCUUUCAGGUUCCUCAUAGUGACCAGCAGAUAUAAAUCCCAAGUGACUCAAAGAAUAGAGCUAUGCUCCCCGGCAACGACGCAAGAAAAUAGUCUUGAUAACCCACAAGUAUAGGGGAUGGCAACAGUUUUCGAGGGUAGAGUAUUCAAUCCAAAUUUAUUGAUUCGACACAGGGGGAGCCAAAGAAUAUUCUCAAGUAUUAGCAGUUGAGUUGUAAAUUCAACCACACCUGGAUAAGUUAUUAUCUGCAGCAAAGUAUUUAGUAGCAAAGUAGUAUGAUAGUAAUGGUAACAGUGAUAAAAGUAACGAUGGCAGUUUUGUAGUGAUUGUAACAGCAGCAACGGAAAAGUAAAUAAGCAAAGCACAAUAUGUGGAAAGCCCGUAGGCAUUAGAUCAGUGAUGGAUAAUUAAGUCGGAUGCGGUUCAUCAGGUAAUAGUUAUAACAUAGGAUGACACAGAACUAGCUCCAGUUCAUCAAUGUAAUGUAGGCAUGUAUUCUGAAUAUAGUCAUACAUGCUUAUGGAAAAGAACUUGCAUGGCAUCUUUUGUCCUACCCUCCCGUGGCAGCGGGGUCCUAAUGGAAACUAAGGGAUAUUAAGGCCUCCUUUUAAUAUGGAACCAGACCAAAGCAUUAACACAUAGUGAAUACAUGAACUCCUCAAACUACGAUCAUCACCGAGAAGUAUCCCGAUUAUUGUCACUUCGGGGUUGUCGGAUCAUAACACAUACCAGGUGACUAUAGACCUGCAAGAUAGGAUCAAGAACUCACAUAUAUUCAUGAAAAUAUAAUAGGUUCAGAUCUGAAAUCAUGGCACUCAGGACCAAGUGACAAGCAUUAAGCAUAGCAAAGUCAUAGCAACAUCAAUCUCAGAACAUACUGGAUACUAGGGAUCAAACCCUAACAAAACUAACUUGAUUACAUGGUAAAUCUCAUCCAACCCAUCACCGUCCAGCAAGCCUACGAUGGAAUUACUCACGCACAGCGGUGAGCAUCAUGAAAUUGGUGAUGGAGGAUGGUUGAUGAUGACGACAGCGACGAAUCCCCCUCUCCAGAGCCCCGAACGGACUCCAGAUCAGCCCUCCCGAGAGAGAUUAGGGCUUGGCGGCAGCUCCGUGUCUUAAAACGCAAUGAAACUUCCUCUCUGAUUUUUUUCUCUGCGAAACGGAAUAUAUAAAGUUGGAGUUGAGGUCGGUGGAGCUCCAGGGGGUCCAUGAGACAGGGGGCGCGCCUAGGGGGAGGGGGCGUGCCCCCACCCUCGUGGACAGGGUGUGGGCCCCCUGGCCUUGAUUCUUUCGCCAGUAUUUUUUAUAUUUUCCAAAAGUUUUCUCCGUGGAUUUUCAGGUCAUUCUGAGAACUUUUGUUUUCUGCAUAAUAAACAACACCAUGGCAGUUCUGCUGGAAAUAGCAUCAGUCCGUGUUAGUUUCAUUCAAAUCAUGCAAGUUAGAGUCCAAAACAAGGGAAAAUUGUUUGGAAAAGUAGAUACGUUGGAGAUGUAUCAGUAUACAGGCAGAGCAUGUCCCUCGAGUGGAGAAUGACAUCGCCGACUACCAGUCGAAGCGCGCUGCCCUCAAGCUACCUGUGGAACCGGGUACUUUUGUGCUUCGGUUAACCCAAACAUCCAUUGAACCAUCAAGAGAGCAAAAGAAGUGAAGGAUGUCCGACCCCGGCAAGUACUUCCCCACCGAGCUCCCUGGAGCCGCCGGUGAAGAUGUUGCCAUGAACGCCGAGCGUUCCAUGGGGCAACUGACUCCGGCGAGGCGCCAAGCCCUUUCCGUGGAGGCAACCGUUCUCACGGCGGAGGAAAUGCCUUUGGUCCUUGCCGUCGAGCCACAGGCUCCAACAUGGGCGCAGCACACCGUCCGACUCCUCCGAAUAGGGGAGCUUCCUAAGGAGCAGGAAGAAGCAGAGGAAGUAGCCCGCCGGUCUGCUCUGUACUAUUUCGUUGACAACAUUCUGUACAGAAAAAGACCGAAUGGAAUGAAAUUGAAGUGCAUCUCCUGGGAGGAAGGACUGGAGCUGUUGGCAGAGAUACACGGAGGCAUAUGUGGCUCCCACAUAGGGUCUAGGGCCCUUGCCGGCAAGGCUUUCCGGCAAGGUUUCUUCUGGCCCACUUCCCUCCAGGAUGCGACGGCACUAAUAACCAAGUGUGAAGCAUGCCAGUUCCAUUCGAAGAAGCUUCACCAGCCCGCUCAAGCCUUGCAGACAAUCCCCCUCUCCUAGCCAUUCUCGGUCUGGGGGCUCGACAUACUGGGCCCUUUUCCCCACACCGUCGGGGGCUUUGAGUACUUGUACGUCGCAAUCAACAAGGUUACGAAGUGGCCAGAGGUGGAAGCAGUGAGGAAGGUGACCACACAGUCAGCCAUCAAAUUCAUUAAGGGGCUAGUCUGCCGCUUUGGCGUGUUGAACAAAGUCAUCACCGACAACGACACGCAGUUCACAAGCCACACCUUCAUGCAGUAUAUUGAAGACCUCAGCAACAAGGUCUGUUUUUCUUCCAUGGCACACCCAUGGAGCAACGACCAAGCGUAGAGGGCAAAUGCUGAAGUGUUGCAUGGCCUGAGGACGAAGACUUUUGACAGGCUGCACAAGAGCGGAAGGCGCUGGAUUGAUGAGUUGCCGGUGGUUCUUUGGUCGAUCAGAACGACGCCAAAUCGAGCCACUGGCCAGACACCUUUUGCCCUGGUAUACGGGGCGGAAGCAAUUCUCCCCAUGGAACUCAUAUACGGGUCACCUCGAGUGAUCGCUUAUGAUGAGCUUGAGCAAGAGCGAUUGCGGCAAGAUGACGCGAUGCUCCUCGAGGAAGAUCGUCUUCAGGCGGCUGUGAGAGCAGCACGCUAUCAGCAAGCCUUGCGCCGCUACCAUAGCCGCAAGGUUCAUGCCCGAAGCUUUGAGGCAGGUGGCCUUGUUCUUCGGCGCGUUCAGUCGGCCAAGAAUUCCAACAAGUUGACGCCAAAGUGGAAAGGCCCUUAUCGGGUAACACGAGUCACUAGGCCUGGCGCAGUCCGCCUGGAGACCGAAGAUGUCGUUCCAGUGAGCAACUCCCAGAACAUCGAGCAUCUUUGCAAGUUUUACACAUAAGGCGUGGCUGCCGGGCCCCCCGACAAGCCACCUUUUGUACAAGCCUUGCCGGCAAGUCACAUAACCCUUUGUACAAAGCCAGGCGCAGACCCUGAGCAUAAAUAAAUGAAGCGCUGGCGCCCUAAGUUAAAGCAUGCAUGCUAGGUUGAGUCUCUCCUUCGGUUAGGGUUGAUAGUGCUUAGCGGCGACUAACCCCUGGAAUAGAGGUCGAGUUUGCAUCUCUUUGUUCCUGCCCAUCCUCUUUGGUUCACAGGAUACAUAAAUGUUUCCGCCAAGCUAAGUGGAAAGAAGAGGACAAGCCGGCGGUCCAACCCCGGCAAGCCAAGCUUGCCGAGGGCUGAAGACACAAAGGUCCACCCACGGCAAGCUAGGGUUGCUAGGGGCUGCAGAUCCAGAUAAGAUUUCUUAUCCCCUGUUAUGCAUUUCCGUAUAAAGAUUGAAACGUAUGAAACCUUGUUUUAUUCCGAGACUGUCGUGCUCCCUUCAUUCCUACCACCCGAGAACUUCUUCCUGGUUCAGAAUCUGGUUGUAGCCACGACGACAAGGAAGCAAGCGUAAGGCCCACCCCUACUUCACCCAUGCCUCCGCCAAAGGCGUGAGUAUGGUCAAACGGAGUAGGGGAGUGGCAAUGCUUGCUGCCGGGUAAUACAUCUCCAACGUAUCUACUUUUCCAAACACGUCUGCCCUUGUUUUGGACUCUAACUUGCAUGAUUUGAAUGAAACUAACCCGGACUGACGUUGUUUUCAGCAGAACUGCCAUGAUGUUGUUUUAUGUGUAGAAAACAAAAGUUCUCGGAAUGUCCUGAAAAUCCACGGAGGCAAGUUUUGGAAAAUAUAAAAAAUACUGGCGAAAGAAUCAAGACCAGGGGGCCCACACCCUGUCCACGAGGGUGGGGGCGUGCCUACCCCCUGGGCGUGCCCCCUGACUCAUGGGCCCCCUGAGGCUCCGCCGACCUCAACUCCAACUCCAUAUAUUCCGUCUCAUGGAGAAAAAAAAUCAAAGAGUAAGUUUCAUCGUGUUUUACGAUACAGAGCCGCCGCCAAGCCCUAAUCUCUCUCGGGAGGGCUGAUCUGGAGUCCGUUCGGGGCUCCAGAGAGGGGGAUUCAUCGCCGUCAUCAUCAUCAACCAUCCUCCAUCACCAAUUUCAUGAUGCUCACCGCCGUGCGUGAGUAAUUUCAUUGUAGGCUUGCUGGACGGUGAUGGGUUGGAUGAGAUUUACCAUGUAAUCAAGUUAGUUUUGUUAGGGUUUUGUCCCUAGUAUCCACUAUGUUCUGAGACUGAUGUUGCUAUGACUUUGCUAUGCUUAAUGCUUGUCACUGGGGCCCGAGUGCCAUGAUUUCAGAUCUGAACCUAUUAUGUUUUCAUGAAUAUAUGUGUGUUCUUGAUCCUAUCUUGCAAGUCUAUAGUCACCUAUUAUGUGUUAUGAUCCGACAACCCCGAAGUGACAAUAAUCGGGAUACUUCUCGGUGAUGACCGUAGUUUGAGGAGUUCAUGUAUUCACUAUGUGUUAAUGCUUUGGUCUAGUUCUCUAUUAAAAGGAGCCCUUAAUAUCCCUUAGUUUCCACUAUGACCCCGCUGCCACAGGAGGGUAGGACAAAAGAUGUCAUGCAAGUUCUUUUCCAUAAGCACAUAUGACUAUAUACGGAAUACAUGCCUACAUUACAUUGAUGAAUUGGAGCUAGUUCUGUGUCACCCUAUGUUAUAGCUAUUACAUGAGGAAUCGCAUCCGACAUAAUUAUCCAUCACUGAUCCAAUGCCUACGAGCUUUUCACAUCUUGUGCUUCGCUUAUUUACUUUUCCGUUGCUACUUUACAAUUACUACAAAACUAUUAUCUUUACUUUUGCCACUGUAACCAUUACUAUCAUACUACUUUUCUACUAAAUACUUUGCGGCAGAUACUAAGUUAUCCAGGUGUGGUUGAAUUGACAACUCAACUGCUAAUACUCAAUAAUAUUCUUUGGCUCCCCUUGUGUCGAAUCAAUAAAUUUGGGUUGAAUACUCUACCCUCGAAAGCUGUUGCGAUCCCCUACACUUGUGGGUUAUCACCGAGCAAUGGUGUUUAUUGAAAAUAACAAGGAUUUGUUCCUUGGUAUAGGCUUUGCUUGCACACACAAGACCCGGCAAGCACCUUUUUUUCAUUAAUGUGUUCCAUACAGUUACAAUUCGUACGGAAUGUAAACAUGAACAGGGAGGUUACAAGUUUUAAAUCUAACUAAUGCUCGUAGGCUUACAAGCUAAAAAGAUAAGGUGCGCGUAAUCCCUUUCUUGUCCCUCUCCUCAGGAAAUGGAACAAGAAGGCAAAAGGGCAGAAGGAGCGCCUAAGUGAGGUACAAGCAGCAGAAGGCACCAAGAGAACAUAUCGGCGGCCGCCUAGGAGAGGGUUGGUGGUGGUGGUGCCGGAGGAAGGGCUGGAAGAUGAGGCAGCGGUCCGUCAAUAUGCUACGAAGGCAUCGGUGCCAUCGUACUCCGACUUGACGGACUGGCACCCGCCUUCUUCGCCUUCUCCGGCCUUCCCACGCCAGCCGCCCAAGGAGGAGACCCCGAGAAGUUCAAGGAGCCGGCUCCACCAGGAGAAGGAGCCCGGUGCAGAUGCUGGUGCUGCCGACACCGCCCCAGAGCAGUGGGUCCGACACCUAGUCAGACCCGUCAUCCUCUUGCCUGCUACCCUCGUCGUCGCUGCCGAUGUCCUCCUCGUCGCUCUUGCCUGAGGACGAGUCUUCGUCAUCCGAAGAGCUCUCCACGUAGCACUUCAGGCGAGUUCCGAAAUCGGCGAAGACCUUGAUGGAGAGGAGGCCAUUCUCCAUUAGCUUGAAGUAGAGAAUGAGCCCCGCCGUCAGGCUAUGGAUGCGAGCGAAGGUCUUCCAUCUGCUGUGAAGGUACAUGACGUGAGGGGCUGAGAAAUCAACAUUGGCCCAUGUGCCGCUGUUCCCGCAGCCCCGGAUGUGCAGCAUCAGCGCCUGCAGCGGGUCGAGCUCCAUCUCCCCAGCGAAUGGCGUCGGGAGACGAAGAAGACGGUGCGCUGGCUUGCGCAGCCUGAUGAAGAACUCACAGGGGUUGCCCCCGACAUGGCCCCCCAUUGGGGGAAGGACCACUGGCAGAGGCGAGGCCGAUGCGCCGCCCUGUCCUCCUCUUCCCUGAGCACCACGGCGGCCUCGGCCUCGCCCCCUUCCCCUUCCCCUCGCGGUUGGCUCCGCCGCCAUGGGCUCUUGGGAAGGAGCGACGCGUUGUCGAGCAGAGAACCUCGCCGCCACUGUCGAAGAGUCAGCAUGCCCUCUCACCAUGACAGAAUAGAGGAAGGAGCGAGGAUGGGAAGAGGAGGAUGGCGAAAGGCUGGGGGGUGCCGUCCCUCCCGCUCCCCUCCUUAUAAAGGGGCGCGGUCAGGGCUCGGCCGCCCUUCUCAGCCAAUCCAGCCCAUUAAGGUGACAGCAGGCAAGGUUUUCGACUGCCCUCCCCGCCCAAUUGAAGGCGCGUGGGUAUCGACCCACACGCGCAUGUCCUCCCAUAUUCUGCACAACUGUCACCUGCCUUGCACCAUGCAUGCGACGUACGUGGUGCAAGGGGCGGGCGCGUGGAGUGACGGUUCCCAGGCAUUGAGAGUAAAUGAGCAGUGGUUCCGCGGUCUCGAAGAGACGCGCAAGCCACCUCUUUACUAUUCACCACAAGAUGACGCAAGCAUGCUUGGAUCACCCCCGCGCGAUCCCCACGUCACGCGCUCGUCACGGGUCGUGGAAAAGCGCAGGAGGCGGAAAAAUCACCUUCAAUAAAAUCAAUCCCGUCUGCCCGCGCACCGUUUUGGGCCUGGCCCAACAACGUGUUGCGCUUAUGUGUGGCCCAGGCCCGGGGGCUCCUGUCGGUGUACUAAAGUAGGGGCACUCCUUUGUACCCCUUACUUGUGCACGGGCAGUCAGAGCCGUGCCCGCGGCCACACUUAAGCAGGGCAGAGACUGGAAGUCAAGGCCACAAGACGGUCAAAGCAAUGCCAAGACAGGGACACAAAGAGCAAGAGGGCGAGGUAGACUCCCCCGGCAAGACCCUUGCCGGGGAAGCCUCCACAGCCACGGCAAGAACCUUGCCGGGACAACUUACCCGAUGCUAGCGGAGCGCGCCACCCUAGAGCCCCAGUUUUUCCAACACCACCAACCACGUUGGUACCAAGGCUCGGGAGGCGCCUCCAUGAUGGCGUGCAGAUCUUUGUGAAGACAAGAAACACUCCAAAUCAUAAGAGAAUUAGAAGACGACAAACCUCGGUGAGAUCCUUGCCGAGGAAAUCCACAAGACCCCCUGGCAAGAUCCUUGCCGGGGACGACCGCGAACGUCACGACAAGACCCUUGCCGGCGCCCCCUUGCUGAGGACAUCCGCGGGGCCACAGCCAGGCCCACGCCCGCCAAGUUUCCACAGCCGCUCCUAUGCAGCUGCCAGCCCACCAGCUAGGCAGGAGCCUGCGUGUCGACGUGAGGCUUCCAGGCCAACUCAGCACAUGCCUACGUGGUGGCAUGCAAAUCUUCGUGAAGGCCCUACCACCGCGCCACCUCAGCAGCCUGCCAGCCUACAUGCCGCUGACCGCCUCGCUGGCCCAGGCGCGUCUCAAGGCAGGGCGAAGCGGCGGUAAAGUGAGGGGGACACCUAAGAGGCGCAUUAAAUGUGUCUUGUCCCGUAAUGGCAAGCGAUAUGUUUAGCCAUAGUACCCCGAUGCCACCUCCUGUGUGCCACUGUGGCGAUCCCCUUGAUUCGGACCCUGGGACAAGUUACACCCCUUGUAGCUAGCUCAAGAACUCCAAGAACACAGAUAUACACAUCAAAGCAGGACUAGGGUAUUACGCAUCCUUGCGGCGAACCUGGAUAAACGACCUGUGUGCUUGUGCUGACUGCUGAUCCCACUCUUCUCACGACCCCGCGCCCCGCAACCGUAUUAGGGAUUCUUGUGAUCCCAUAGGUGUCGUUUUCCACUGACACCUAUACUUGUGGGUUAUCAAGACGUUUUUCUGGCGCCGUUGCCGGGGAGUCAUAGCGUAGGGUGAAUAUCUCAUGUGUGCUUGUUUGCUUUAUCACUAAGUAAUUUUUAUAUGAUGUUCUUAGUUGCUCUAUCUUUAGUUAUGGAUAUGGAACAUGAAAUACCAAAAAAAUUAGGUGUACUUGCUACUCAUGGAGAUGGGGAACCUCCUAAAACCCUCGAUGCUGGUUAUGUGAAAAAUAUUAUGUACUACUUUGAUAAUCCUAAGAAAACCCCAUUCAAUUAUGUUAUGGGAGACACGUUGGAUCAAUGUGAAUACUUUAGGGAUUAUCGCUUGACACAAAAAGGGAAACUAUUAUGGGAUCAAAUUCAUAUGUUUCAUUGGUAUGCUCGCGAACUAUGCUUGAGAUAUGAUUAUACUUGUUGCUCUAGGAUGAAGGCUCCACACCUUCCCUUUUCAUGCAAAUUCAAUGAAAUAAAACCUUAGCUUCUUAUGCUAAUGGUAUAUAUGAUUACUAUGAUGUGGAACAAAUAGAAGAAUUUGUUGCUUUUAUGGGUGCUUAUGAGAUUGAAUCUUUGUUUAAAGAGUGUGAAAAUGUUGAUGAUGCUGUUUACAGACCUGAAAAUUUUGCUAUACUUAAAUAUUUCUAUGAUAAUUAUGAAUUCAAUUCCGAUAUUGAUGCAUUUAUUGAGGAAGUCUCCUCUGUCCAAGAAGAGACUAAUAUUUUGCAGGAGUCUAUGGAAGAAGGAAUUGAUGAAACUGUGAGCUCAUUGGAUGAAAAAGAUGAUGAGGAGAGCGAAGAACAAAAGGAGGAAGAGCGGAUUGGCUACCUGUGCCCACCUUCUAAUGAGAGUAACUCUUCAACUCAUACAUUGUUUAAUUCCCCUUCGUUCUUACCGAAGGAUGAUUGCUAUGAUAAUUGCUAUGAUCCCGUUGAUUCUCUUGAAAUAUCCUUUUUUGAUGAUGCUUGCUAUGCUUGUGGCCAAGAUGCCAAUAUGAAUUAUGCUUAUGGAGAUGAACUUGAUAUAGUUCCUUAUGUUAAACAUGAAAUUGUUGCUAUUGCACCCACGCAUGAUAGUCCUAUUAUCGUUUUGAAUUCUCCUAACUACACUAUAUCGGAGAAGUUUGUGCUUAUUAAGGAUUAUAUUGAUGGGUUGCGUUUUACUACUACACAUGAUGAUUUUGAUAGAUAUAAUAUGCAUGUGCUUGCUGCUCCUACUUGCAAUUAUUAUGAGAGAGGAACUAUAUCUCCACCUCUCUAUGUUUCCAAUAUGAUAAAAUUGCAAGAAACUGCUUAUACUAUGCAUUGGCCUUUACUAUCUGUGCAUGAAUUGUUCUUUUAUGACAUGCCGAUGCAUAGGAAGAGAGUUAGACUUCAUCAUUGCUCGAUAUAUGUUAAUUUGUGCUCACUACUAAAUUACAAAUCAUUGUUAAUUAAAAUUGGCUUUGAUAUACCUUUGGAUCCGGGUGGAUCCAUUACUUGAGCACUAUAUGCCUAGCUUAAUGGCUUUAAAGAAAGCGCUGCCAGGGAGACAACCCGGAAGUUUUAGAGAGACAAUUAUUUCUGUUGAGUUCUUUUAUAUAGUUAAAAACAAAAAAAUAAAGAGGGGAACCCAAAACUUUUCAAAAAGAAAAGCGAAAGUGAAAGAGACAAGCAUUGUUGAAGUGGGGGAGCUCUUUGAACUUUGUUCAUGCUCACGGAAACUUCGUGAAUCUUAAUUACAGAAACUUUUUAUAAAAAAUAAUUAUCGCCUUGUACAAUUCCAUUUUAUUAUAAAAAUAAUGUGCCAAGGUUUGCCUUUAGGAUGUUUACAAUGCUUGUUGUUUUGAACGGUGCAUGACAUAAACUUUGGCUGUAGUGCGCAAUUUUACAUUUUUUACUGGAACGUCAAAAGGUUCUGAAAUUUUUUUGCACCGUCUUUCUAUAAAAAUUGUUUAUUUUUCCUAAUUUUGGUAGAAUUUUUGGGGUACCAGAAGUAUGGUGAAUGUUCAGAUUGCUACAGAGUGUUCUGUUUUUUACAGAUUCUGUUUUUGAUGCAUAGUUUACUUGUUUUGAUGAAACUCUCAAUUCCUAUCAGUGGAUUAAGCCAUGGAGAAGUUAUAUUACAGUAGACACAAUGCAAAAAAAUAAUAUGAAUUGGUUUGCAACAGUACUUAGAGUAGUGAUUUGCUUUAUUAUACUAAUGGAUCUUACCGAGUUUUCUGUUGAAGUUUUGUGUGGAUGAAGUGUUUGAUCGAGGAGGUCUCGAUAUGAGGAAAAGGAAGAGAAGAAAGAACUCAAACUUGGGGAUGCCCAAGGCACCCCAAGUAAAUAUUCAAGGAGACUCAAGCGUCUAAGCUUGGGUAUUCCCCGGAAGGCAUCCCCUCUUUCUUCAACAAGUAUCGGUAUGUUUUAGGAUUCAUUUCGUUCAUGCGAUAUGUGCAAAUCUUGGAGCGCCUUUUGCAUUUAGUUUUCACUUUUAUUUUAUGUGUUGGAGAAUGUUGCAGAAAAUAAAAAAUUUCUACGCUUCACCAAGAUCAAUCUAUGGAGUCAUCUAGCAACGAGAGAGAGGAGUACAUCUACAUACCCUUGUAGAUCGCGAGCGGAAGCGUUCAAGAGACCGGGGUUGAGGGAGUCAUACUCGUCGUGAUCCAAAUCACCGGAGAUCCUAGCGCCGGACGGACGGCACCUCCGCGUUCAACACAUGUACGGUUGGGAAUACGUCUCCUCCUUCUUGAUCCAGCAAGGGGGAGGGAGAGGUUGAUGGAGAUCCAGCAGCACAAUGGCGUGGUGGUAGAAGUAGCGGUGAUCUCGGCAGGGCUUCGCCAAGCUCAGCGAGAGGGAGAGGUGGUGCGGAGGGAGAGGGAGGCACCAGGAGCAAGAGUGUGCAGCCCUCCCUCCCCCCUCUUUAUAUAGGGUCCCUGGGGGGGUGCCGCCCCCCUACAGAUUGGAUCUCAAGGGGGGGGCGAAGGGGUGGCUUGCCCCCCAAGCCAAGUGGGGCGCCCCCCACCACUAGGGUUUCCAACCCUAGGCGCAGGGGGAGGCCCAAGGGGGGCGCACCAGCCCACCAGGGGCUGGUUCCCUUCCCCACUUCAGACCAUGGGGCCCUCCAGGAUAGGUGGCCCCACCCGGUGGACCCCGGGACCCUUCCGGUGGUCCCGGUACAAUACCAGUGACCCCCGAAACUUUCCCGAUGGCCAAAACUGGACUUUCUAUAUACAAUUCUUUACCUCUGGACCAUUCCGGAACUCCUCAUGACGUCCGAGAUCUCAUCCGGGACUCCGAACAACUUUCGGGUUACCGCAUACUAAUAUCUCUACAACCCUAGCGUCACCGAACCUUAAGUGUGUGGAUCCUAUGGGUUCGGGAGACAUGCAGACAUGACUGAGAUGACUCUCCGGUAAAUAACCAAAAGCGGGAUCUGGAUACCCAUGUUGGCUCCCACAUGCUCCUCGAUGAUCUCAUCAGAUGAACCAUGAUGUCGAGGAUUCAAGUAAUCCUGUAUACAAUUCCCUUUGUCAAUCGGUACGUUACUUGCCCGAGAUUCGAUCGUCAGUAUCCCAAUACCUCGUUCAAUUUCGUUACCGGCAAGUCAAUUUACACGUACCGUAAUGCAUGAUCCCGUGACCAAACACUUGGUCACAUUGAGCUCAUUAUGAUGAUGCAUUACCGAGUGGGCCCAGAGAUACCUCUCCGUCAUACGGAGUGACAAAUCCCAGUCUUGAUCCGUGUCAACCCAACAGAUACUUUCGGGGAUACCUGUAGUAUACCUUUAUAGUCACCCAGUUACGUUAUGACGUUUCGUACACCCAAAGAACUCCUACGGUAUCCGGGAUUUACACGAUCUCAUGGUCUAAGGAAAUGAUACUUGACAUUGGAAAAGCUCUAGCAAACGAACUACACGAUCUUGUGCUAUGCUUAGGAUUGGGUCUUGUCCAUCACAUCAUUCUCCUAAUGAUGUGAUCCCUUUAUCAACGACAUCCAACGUCCAUAGUCAGGAAACCAUGACUAUCUUUUGAUCAACGAGCUAGUCAACUAGAGGCUUACUAGGGACAUGUUGUGCACUAUUUAUUCACACAUGUAUUACAAUUUCCGGAUAACACAAUUAUAGCAUGAAAAAUAGACAAUUAUCAUGAACAAGGAAAUAUAAUAAUAAUCAUUUUAUUAUUGCCUCUAGGGCAUAUUUCCAACAGUCUCCCACUUGCACUAGAGUAAAUAAUCUAGUUACAUUGUGAUGAAUCGAACACCCAUAGAGUUCUGGCGUUGAUCAUGUUUUGCUCGCGGAAGAGGUUUAGUCAACGGAUCUGCGACAUUCAGAUCCGUAUGCACUUUGCAAAUAUCUAUGUCUCCAUCUUGAAAUUUUUCAUGAAUGGAGUUGAAGCGACGCUUGAUGUGCCUGGUCUUCUUGUGAAACCUGCGCUCCUUGGCAAGGGCAAUAGCUCCAGUGUUGUCACAGAAGAAGGGGAUUGGCCCCGAUGCAUUGGGUAUGACUCCUAGGUCGGUAAUGAACUCCGUCAUCCAGAUUGCUUCAUGCGCUGCCUCCGAGGCUGCCAUGUACUCUGCUUCACAUGUAGAUCCCGCCAUGACGCUCUGCUUGCAACUGCACCAGCUUACUGCCCCUCCAUUCAAAAUAUACAUGUAUCCGGUUUGUGACUUAGAGUCAUCCAGAUCUGUGUUGAAGCUAGCGUCGAUGUAACCCUUUACGACGAGCCCUUCGUCACCUCCAUAAACGAGAAACAUAUCCUUAGUCCUUUUCAGGUACUUCAAGAUAUUCUUGACCGCUGUCCAGUGUUCCAUGCCGGGAUUACUUUGGUACCUUCCUACCAAACUUACGGCAAGGUUUACAUCAGGUCUGGUACACAGCAUGGCAUACAUGAUAGACCCUAUGGCUGAGGCAUAGGGGACGAUACUCAUCUUUUCUCUAUCUUCUGUCGUGGUCGGACAUUGAGCCGAGCUCAAUUUCACAACUUGCAACACAGCCAAGAACCCCUUCUUGGACUGAUCCAUAUUGAACUUCUUCAAUAUCUUAUCAAGGUAUGUGCUUUGUGAAAGACCUAUGAGGCGUCUCGAUCUAUCUCUAUAGAUCUUGAUGCCUAAUAUGUAAGCAGCUUCUCCAAGGUCCUUCAUUGAAAAACACUUAUUCAAGUAGGCCUUAAUGUUGUCCAAAAGUUCUACAUCAUUUCCCAUCAAAAGUAUGUCAUCCACAUAUAAUAUGAGAAAUGCUACAGAGCUCCCACUCACUUUCCUAUAAACGCAGGCUUCUCCAUAAGUCUGCAUAAACCCAAACACUUUGAUCAUCUCAUCAAAGUGAAUGUUCCAACUCCGAGAUGCUUGCACCAGCCCAUAAAUGGAUCGUUGGAGCUUGCAUACCUUGUUAGCAUUCUCAGGAUCGACAAAACCUUCCGGCUGCAUCAUAUACAGUUCUUCCUUAAGAUAGCCGUUAAGGAAUGCCGUUUUGACGUCCAUUUGCCAUAUCUCAUAAUCAUAGUAUGCGGCAAUUGCUAACAUGAUUCGGGAGGACUUCAGCUUCGCUACGGGAGAGAAAGUCUCAUCGUAGUCAACCCCUUGAAAUUGCCGAUAACCCUUAGUGACAAGUCGAGCUUUAUAGAUGGUAACAUUACCAUCUGCGUCCGUCUUCUUCUUAAAGAUCCAUUUAUUUUCUAUCGCUCGCCGAUCAUCGGGCAAGUCUAUCAAAGUCCAUACUUUGUUUUCAUACAUGGAUCCUAUCUCGGAUUGCAUGGCUUCAAGCCAUUUGUUGGAAUUUGGGCCCGCCAUCACUUCUUCAUAGUUCGAAGGUUCACCGUUGUCUAACAACAUGAUUUCCAGGACAGGGUUGCCAUACCACUCUGGUGUGGAACGUGUCCUUGUGGACCUACGAAGUUCAGUAGCAACUUGAUCCAAAGUACCUUGAUCAUCAUCAUUAAUUUCCUCUCCAGUCGGUGUAGGCACCACAGGAACAUUUUCCUGAGCUGCACUACUUUUCGGUUCAAGAGGUAGUACUUCAUCGAGUUCUACUUUCCUCCCACUUACUUCUUUCGAGAGAAACUCUUUCUCCAGAAAGGACCCAUUCUUGGCAACAAAGAUCUUGCCUUCGGAUCUAAGGUAGAAGGUAUACCCAAUGGUUUCCUUAGGGUGUCCUAUGAAGACGCAUUUUUCCGACUUGGGUUCGAGCUUUUCAGGUUAAAGUUUCUUGACAUAAGCAUCGCAUCCCCAAACUUUUAGAAACGACAGCUUAGGUUUCUUCCCAAACCAUAAUUCAUACGGUGUCGUCUCAACGGAUUUAGACGGUGCCCUAUUUAAAGUGAAUGUAGCUGUCUCUAGAGCGUAUCCCCAAAAUGAUAGCGGUAAAUCGGUGAGUGACAUCAUAGAUCGCACCAUAUCCAAUAGAGUGCGAUUACGACGUUCGGACACACUGUUACGCUGAGGUGUUCCAGGCGGCGUGAGUUGUGAAACAAUUCCACAUUUCCUUAAGUGCGUACCAAAUUCGUGACUUAAAUAUUCUCCUCCACGAUUUGAUUGUAAGAACUUUAUUUUUCGGUCACGUUGAUUCUCUACCUCAUUCUGAAAUUCCUUGAACUUUUCAAAAGUCUCAGACUUGUGUUUCAUCAAGUAGACAUACCCAUAUCUACUUAAGUCAUCAGUGAGAGUGAGAACAUAACGAUAGCCACCGCGAGCCUCAACGCUCAUUGGACCGCACACAUCAGUAUGUAUAAGUUCCAAUAAGUUGGUUGCUCGCUCCAUUGUUUCGGAGAACGGAGUCUUGGUCAUUUUACCCAUGAGGCAUGGUUCGCACGUGUCAAAUGAUUCGAAAUCAAGAGACUCCAAAAGUCCAUCUGUAUGGAGCUUCUUCAUGUGUUUGACGCCAAUGUGACCAAGGCGCAGUGCCACAUAUAUGUGGGAUUAUCAUUAUCAAUCUUACAUCUUUUGGUAUUCACACUAUGAAUAUGUGUAACAUCACGUUUGAGAUUCAUUAAGAAUAAACCAUUGACCAGCGGGGCAUGACCAUAAAACAUAUCUCUCAUAUAAAUAGAACAACCAUUAUUCUCGGAUUUAAAUGAGUAGCCAUCUCGUAUUAAACGAGAUCCAGUUACAAUGUUCAUUCUCAGAUCUGGCACUAAAUAACAAUUAUUGAGGUUUAAAACUAAUCCCGUAGGUAAAUGUAGAGGUAGCGUGCCGACGGCGAUCAUAUCGAGCUUGGAACCAUUCCCGACGCGCAUCAUCACCUCGUCCUUCGCCAGUCUCCGCUUAUUCCGUAACUCCUGCUUUGAGUUACAAAUAUGAGCAACUGCACCGGUAUCAAAUACCUAGGAGCUACUACGAGUACUGGUAAGGUACACAUCAAUUACAUGUAUAUCACAUAUACCUUUAGUGUUGCCGGCCUUCUUGUCCGCUAAUUAUUUGGGGCAGUUCCACUUCCAGUGUCCCUUUCCCUUGCAAUAAAAGCACUCAGUCUCAGGUUUGGGUCCAUUCUUUGGCUUCUUCCCGGCAACUGGUUUACCGGGCGCGGCAACUCCCUUGUCGUCCUUCUUGAAGUUCUUCUUACCCUUGCCUUUCUUGAAACUAGUGGUUUUAUUGACCAUCAAAACUUGAUGCUCCUUUUUGAUUUCUACCUCCGCUGAUUUCAGCAUUGAAAAUACUUCAGGAAUAGUUUUCACCAUCCCCUGCAUAUUGUAGUUCAUCACAAAGCUCUUGUAGCUAGGUGGGAGCGACUGAAGGAUUCUGUCAAUGACCGCCUCGUCCGGGAGGUUAAUGUCCAGCUGGGACAAGCGGUUGUGCAACCCAGACAUUUUGAGUAUGUGCUCACUCAUAGAACUAUUUUCCUCCAUCUUACAACUAUAGAACUUGUCGGAGACUUCAUAUCUCUCGACCUGGGCAUGAGCUUGGAAAACCAUUUUCAGCUCUUCGAACAUCUCAUAUGCUCCGUGUUGCUCAAAACGCUUUUGGAGCCCCGGUUCUAAGUUGUAAAGCAUGCCGCACUGAAUGAGGGAGUAAUCAUCAGCAUGUGACUGCCAAGCGUUCAUAACGUCUUGGUUCUCUAGGAUGGGUGCUUCACCUAGCGGUCCUUCUAGGACAUAUGCUUUCUUGGCAGCUAUGAGGAUGAUCCUCAGGUUCCGGACCCAGUCCGAAUAGUUGCUGCCAUCAUCUUUCAGCUUGGUUUUCUCUAGGAGCGCGUUGAAGUUGAGGUUGACAUGAGCGUUGGCCAUUUGACCUACAAGACAUUUUUGCAAAGGUUUUUAGACUAAGUUCAUGAUAAUUAAGUUUAUCUAAUCAAAUUAUUUAAUGAACUCCCACUCAGAUUAGACAUCCCUCUAGUCAUCUAAGUGAUAGAUGAUCCGAGUCAACUAGGCUGUGUUGGAUCAUCACCUGACGGACUAGUCAUCAUCGCUGAACAUCUUCAUGUUGAUCGUAUCUUCCAUAUGACUCAUGUUCGACCUUUCGGUAUCUUGUGUUCCGAGGCCAUGUCUGUACAUGCUAGGCUCGUCAAGUUAACCUAAGUGUUUUGCAUGUGUAAAUCUGUCUUACACCCGUUGUAUGUGGACGUUGGAAUCUAUCACACCCGAUCAUCACGUGGUGCUUCGAAACAACGAACUUUCGCAACGGUGCACAGUUAGGGGGAACACUUUCUUGAAAUUAUUAUGAGGGAUCAUCUUAUUUACUACCGUCGUUCUAAGCAAAUAAGAUGGAAAAACAUGAUAAACAUCACAUGCAAUCAAAUAGUGACAUGAUAUGGCCAAUAUCAUAUAGCUCCUUUGAUCUCCAUCUUCGGGGCGCCAUGAUCAUCUUCGUCACCGGCAUGACACCAUGAUCUCCAUCAUCAUGAUCUCCAUCAUCGUGUCUCCAUGAAGUUGCUCGCCAACUAUUACUUCUACUACUAUGGCUAACUGUUUAGCAAUAAAGUAAAGUAAUUACAUGGCGUUUAAUCAUUGACACGCAGGUCAUACAAUUAUUAAGACAACUCCUAUGGCUCCUGCGGGUUGUCAUACUCAUCGACAUGCAAGUCAUGAUUCCUAUUACAAGAACAUGAUCUCAUACAUCACAUAUAUAUCAUUCAUCACAACUUUUGGCCAUAUCACAUCACAAGGCAUAUGCUGCAAAAACAAGUUAGACGUCCUCUAAUUGUUGUUGCAUGUUUUUACGUGGCUGCAAUAGGGUUCUAGCAAGAACAUUUCUUACCAACGUGAAAGCCACAACGUGAUAUGACAACUUCUAUUUACCCUUCAUAAGGACCCUUUUCAUCGAAUCCGAUCCGACUAAAGUGGGAGAAAAAGACACCCGCUAGCCACCUUAUGCAACUAGUGCAUGUCAGUCGGUGGAACCUGUCUCACGUAAGCGUACGUGUAAGGUCGGUCCGGGCCACUUCAUCCCACGAUGCCGUCGAAACAAGAUAAGACUAGUAGUGGCAAGAAAAUUGAAAACAUCUACGCCCACAACAAAUUUGUGUUCUACUCGUGCAAAGAAACUACGCAUAGACCUAGCUCAUGAUGCCACUGUUGGGGAACGUUGCAGAAAAUAAAAAAAUUCUAGGCUUCACCAAGAUAAAUCUAUGGAGUCAUCUAGCAACGAGAGAGAGGAGUACAUCUACAUACCCUUGUAGAUUGCGAGCGGAAGCGUUUAGGAGAACGGGGUUGAGGGAGUCGUACUCGUCGUGAUCCAAAUCACCGGAGAUCCUAGCGCCGAACGGACGACACCUCCGCGUUCAACACACGUACGGUUGGGAAGACGUCUCCUCCUUCUUGAUCUAGCAAUGGGGAGGGAGAGGUUGAUGGAGAUCCAGCAGCACAAUGGCGUGGUGGUGGAAGUAGCGGUGAACUCGGCAGGGCUUCACCAAGCUUAGCGAGAGGGAGAGGUGGUGCGGAGGGAGAGGGAGGAUCCAGGAGCAGGGGCGCGUAGCCCUCCCUCCCCCCUCUUUAUAUAGGGGCCCUGGAGGGGCGCCGGCCCCCUAGAGAUUGGAUCUCAAGGGGGGCGGCGGCCAAGGGGUGGCUUGCCCCCCAAGCCAGGUGGGGCACCCCCCACCCCUAGGGUUUCCAACCCUAGGCGCAGGGGGAGGCCCAAGGGGGGCACACCAGCCCACCAGGGGCUGGUUCCCUUCCCCACUUCAGCCCAUGGGGCCCUCCGGGAUAGGUGGCCCCACCCAGUAGACCCCCGGGACCCUUCCGGUGGUCCCGGUACAAUACCGGUGACCCCCAAAACUUUCCCGAUGGCCGAAACUGGACUUCCUAUAUACAAUUCUUUACCUCCGGACCAUUCCGGAACUCCUCGUGAUGUCCGGGAUCUCAUUCGGGACUCCGAACAACUGUCGGGUUACCGCAUACUAAUAUCUCUACAACCCUAGCGUCACUGAACAUUAAGUGUGUAGACCCUACGGGUUCGGGAGAGAUGCAGACAUGACCGAGACGACUCUCUGGUCAAUAACCAACAGCGGGAUCUGGAUACCCAUGUUGGCUCCCACAUGCUCCUCGAUGAUCUCAUCGGAUGAACCACGAUGUCGAGGAUUCAAGUAAUCCCGUAUACAAUUCGCUUUGUCAAUCGCUACAUUACUUGCCCGAGAUUCGAUCGUCGGUAUCCCAAUACCUCGUUCAAUCUCGUUACCGUAAAGUCACUUUACUCGUACCGUAAUGCAUGAUCCCGUGACCAAACACUUGGUCACAUUGAGAUCAUUAUGAUGAUGCAUUACCGAGUGGGCCCAGAGAUACCUCUCCGUCAUAUGGAGUGACAAAUCCCAGUCUCGAUCCGUGUCAACCCAACAGAUACUUUCGGGGAUACCUGUAGUAUACCUUUAUAGUCACCCAGUUACGUUGUGAUGUUUGGUACACCCAAAGCACUCCUAUUCGGGAGUUACACGAUCUCAUGGUCUAAGGAAAUGAUACUUGACAUUGGAAAAGCUCUAGCAAACGAACUACACGAUCUUGUGCUAUGCUUAGGAUUGGGUCUUGUCCAUCACAUCAUUCUCCUAAUGAUGUGAUCCCGUUAUCAACGACAUCCAAUGACCAUAGUCAGGAAACCAUGACUAUCUGUUGAUCAACGAGCUAGUCAACUAGAGGCUUACUAGGGACAUGUUGUGGUCUAUUUAUUCACACAUGUAUUACGAUUUCCGGAUAACACAAUUAUAGCAUGAAUAAUAGACAAUUAUCAUGAACAAGGAAAUAUAAUAAUAAUCAUUUUAUUAUUGCCUCUAGGGCAUAUUUCCAACAUUAUGCACCAUGCUGGUAUGAGAUAGUACUUGGUUGAUUUAUAGAAUGCUCAUUGCACUUCACUUAUAUCUUUUGACUGUGGCUUUAUAGAAUGCUUCACGUGCUUCACUUAUAUCAUUUGAAGUCUGGAUUGCCUGCUUCUCUUCACAUAGAAAACCGCCAUUUGUAGAAUGCUCUUUUGCUUCACUUAUACUUGUUAGAGCGUGAGCAUAUCUUUUGUAGAAAGAAUUAAACUCUCUUGCUUCACUUAUAUCCAUUUAGAGAGAUGACAGGAAUUGGUCAUUCACAUGGUUAGUCAUAAAAUCCUACAUAAAACUUGUAGAUCACUGAAUAUGAUAGGUCUGAUUCCUUGCAAUAGUUUUGCGAUAUAAAGGUGGUGAUAUUAGAGUCAUGCUAGUGAGUAGUUGUGGAUUAGCAGAAAUACUUGUGUUGAGGUUUGUGAUUCCCGAAGCAUGCACGUAUGGUGAACCAUUAUGUGAUGAAGUCAGAGCAUGAUUUAUUUAUUGAUUGUCUUCCUUAUGAGUGGCGGUCGGGGACAAGCGAUGGACUUUUCCUACCAAUCUAUCCCCCUAGGAGCAUGCACGUAGUACUUUGUUUCGAUGACUAAUAGAUUUUUGCAAUAAGUAUGUGAGUUCUUUAUGACUAAUGUUGAGUCCAUGGAUUAUACGCACUCUCACCCUUCCAUCAUUGCUAGCCUCUUCGGUACCGUGCAUUGCCCUUUCUCACCUCGAGAGUUGGUGCAAAAUUCGCCGGUGCAUACAAACCCCGUGAUAUAUACGCUCUAUCACACAUAAGCAUCCUUGUAUCUUCCUCAAAACAGCCACCAUACCUACCUAUCAUGGCAUUUCCAUAGCCAUUCCGAGAUAUAUUGCCAUGCAACUUCCAUCAUCAUCAUAUACAUGACUUGAGCAUUCAUUGUCAUAUUGCUUUGCAUGAUCGUAAGUUAGGUAGCAUGAUGUUUUCAUGGCUUGUCCGUUUUUUGAUGUUAUUGCUAUGCUAGAUCAUUGCACAUCCCGGUACACCGCCGGAGGCAUUCAUAUAGAGUCAUAUCUUUGUUCUAGUAUCGAGUUGUAAUAUUGAGUUCUAAGUAAAUAAAAGUGUGAUGAUCAUCAUUAUUAGAGCAUUGCUCCAGUGAGGAAAGGAUGAUGGAGGCUAUGAUUCCCCCACAAGUCGGGAUGAGACUCCGGACUUAGUGAAAAAAAGAAAGGCCAAAGAAGCCAAAUAAAAAGGGGGGCCAAAGAAGCCCACAAAAAAUAAAAAAAAUAAAAAAAUGAGAGAAAAAGAGAGAAGGGGCAAUGUUACUAUCCUUUGACCACACUUGUGCUUCAAAGUAGCACCAUGUUCGUCAUAUAGAGAGUCUCUUGACUUAUCACUUUUAUAUACUAGUGGGAAUUUUCAUUAUAGAACUUGGCUUGUAUAUUCCGAUGAUGGACUUCCUCAAAUGCCCGAGGUCUUCAUGAGUAAGCAAGUUGGAUGCACACCCACUUAUGUCGGUGUACUAGAGUAGGGGUACCCUAUUACCCCGAACUCGUGCACGGACAGUUGCAGCGCCCCGCGGCAAGGCUUGCCGGGUGACCGCCAGGACCUUCCGUGGUUCCCUUGAAGACCAUUCAAGAACAAAGUAAUCAAACCAAGGCCCCGGCAAGAGGAGCUUGCCGGGAAGGCCAACUAGGGCGCCGGCAAGAGGAGUUUGCCGGGAAGGCCAACCAAGGCCCCGGCAAGAGGAGCUUGCCGGGAAGAGACAAGACCCCGACAAGAGGAGCUUGCCGGGAAGGCCAUUCAAGGCAAGCCAAGAAAGCUUGCCGCGACGCGCCCUGCGUCCCGGCAAGAUCCGGCGAGCGACAAGCUUUCGGACGCGACAAGACGACGGCCGCGGCAAGGAGCUCGCCGCGGGAAACCCCCACUUCAUGCCCGCGCUCCAGCACACCUGCUAACGUGUCGCUCUGGGACUCUCCCAAGCACACGUGGCAGGAGGCCGUGCAGCUAGGGGUACGUGGUGGCAAGCAGAGAUGAAGAGAAGCCCAUCGUGGCGAACGGUGGCGCUCCUAACAGUCACCUUUUGCACUAUUUAGGAGACUCAGACAGGCAUUUAAUGCCCUUGUCCCCUGCCGUCAGAGUUAGAUAGGGCGCACUGUAUCCACAGUAGGCGGUAGCUGCACCUACCGCAUCCUUUUCCAUUUUUACCCUUCUUGUCUACGUUGCCCCCUGUCGGUGACCCCUUGAGAGUAUAAAAGGAGGCCCAAGCGCAACGUAGAAAGGGUCCCGGAGGUUCGGCCAGUUCGGCUCAUUCAACACCAGGAACGCUCUCACGCUCAGUCUGGCAGCGUCCAUCGCUCCUGAGCAAGAAUCCAAUAUACACAAACAAGCAGCAGUAGGGUUUUACGCAUCCGUGCGGCCCGAAGCUGGGUAAAAUCGCCCGCGUGCACUGCCUCGAUCCGCUCUUUGUGCGCUCUCCGCCCCCCACCGAACCGAAAGGGGCCCUGUCCCCAUAGGUGUUGGUGGAAUCAGCAUCGCCCCCGACAUCUCUGGCGCGCCAGGUAGGGGGCGUCGAGAUCGUGCGAACCCGGUCCGGCAUGCACGCAAGCUAAAUCUUCAUCGUCUUCAUAGACAUGCCCCCGAAGAAGAAGAAUUCGGAGGCAGCUGUUCCGUCCGCGUCGCUUCCAGCGCCUCCGGAGCAAACGGGUGGUGGAGUGGACGCCGGCGGAGGAAUGGGCGUCGACGAGGGUGCCCACAGCGCUGCCAAGUCCAAGGACAAGGCGGCACAGACCUCGGCGUCCAUGCGCGCACCGCGUCCCUCUCAAGAGGCGCGGGACCAGCAGCGUCAUAGCGUUCGCAGCACCAUACGUCCGCUGACCCAAGAUCAAGCUGGUGGUUCGCGUGGCGUUCAAGACCAGCAUGCACGCCAGCAUGCUGGCCCCAGCGAGGUACGGUCGCCGGGACGGGACGCUGCUCCUUCUAACUUGGUUAGGAGUCUGAGCACGCCCCUCUCCUCGCACCGUUCACCUCUGCCGCCCACCACCCCAGCAGAAGCCUCAGCGCAGGCCCAGCUGCUCCUGGACUAUCCUCCGACGGCGGACAAGACCGACGAAUGGAGGGCCACUAUCCAGAGUCUCAUCGGCUUCGCCAACGGCGACACCGCGCAGCGACAAAGUACCUCGCUGUCGCGGCAGGACAGCCGGACGCGAGCCGAUGGCAACAAGACUGAGGGAGGUGCGACUUCCAUGCACUCUCCACUACGAAGGCCAAAAUCGCCGACUCGCCGGGUCCACCCCAACAGCGGCUCCACCGUGUCGUCGGACCCACGAGCUCGUCGCGACCAGCGCCAAGUUCUCCAUGAACGACAAAAAGAAGACGCUUGAACCCGCAUUGAGCGCCGAAGAGAAGCGCGACGUCAAUCCGACAAGCGCGCUGGGCUCUCUAUUGACAUGCAUGCGCCAGGGGAACCAGGCGAUCUGCCGUACGCGGUAGGUUGUCCUGCGUUCACACGUGAGCUGCGGCAAGUCCAGUGGCCCAGCACAAAGAAUUUCAAGCCAGACGUGCCGGAGAAGUACGACGGCAAGACGCAUCCGUCGGAGUUCCUCAGCAUCUACACCAUUGCAGUGCAGUCUGCCGGGGGACGAGAUGACAAGAUCCUUGCCAACUACUUCCCGCUGGUGCUCAAGCCCAAUGUCAGAUCCUGGCUCAUGCACUUGCCGGACAACUCCAUAUCUUCCUGGGUUGAUCUGUGCCAUCAGUUUGUCGGCGCCUUUACAGGCGGCCACAAGCCACAUGGCCAAGAGACCGAUCUUCAUCUGCUCGCCCAGAAGGAAGGAGAGCCACUGCGCAAGUACAUUCAGAGAUUCAGCCGCGUACAGCACAACAUCCCAGACGUCCACCCCGCCGCGAUCAUCAGCGCGUUCCAUCAGAACGUGCGAAACCGAAGGAUGAGGGAGGAGAUGGCGAUGUGUAAGAUCAGAGACGUCAGCGAGCUUUACGCCCUGGCUGACAAGUGUGCACGCGCUGAAGAGGGGAGGAGGCUCCCCGGAGAGAGUACAGGAGCAGGAGGAUCUGACAGUGAGGAUGCCGCCCCGGCAAGGAAAGGUCGGCGGCGGAACAACAGAGGGAAUAAGGGUAAGGAAGUGCUAGCUGUCGAGCAGACCGGCAACAGAGGUGGCGCCAAGGAAGCUAAGGCUGGUGGCUCCAACAAGGAGGCCCAUCCUGUGGCGGCCGCCGACAAGCAGGACAGCUCCGGCAGGCAGUAUUGCAAGAUUCACCGCACCAAGGGUCACGAUCUCCAGAACUGCAAAAAGGUCGAACAGCUUGCUGAGCAGCAGAAGGAUGAAUACGAGCGACGCGACAAAGAGAAGGCCCAGGAAAGAACUGGUGAAUCCGGCAAGAAACGCCCCGGCCGGGGAGGACGCCGCGGCAAGGCCAAGCAGCGGCAAGGAGAUAGACCUCCCCGCGGCCGCGACAAGGAUGAAGAUGACGACGAUGACGAAGACGUGGAUGAUGAUGAGGCCGAUGAGCAGGAAUUUCAGAAAGCCACAGAGGUCCUGUGCAUUGACGGUGGCGCCUCUCUGCAUACUUCGCACCGCUAGCUCAAACAGUGGAUGCGGGAAGUGAAUGCAGCAGAGCCAUCCAUAGAGUCACGCAAGCCCCUGAAAUGGUCCAGCACGCCUAUCAUCUUCGACAUUGGGGAUCACCCUGAUCACGUAACUACGGUCGGGUGCUUGCCGAUGUUGGUCUCACCAACUAUCCGCAACCUCAAGGUCACAAAGAUGCUAGUUGACGGCGGGGCCGGCUUGAAUCUCAUCUCCUCCGCGGUCCUUCACAAACUUCAGAUCCCUGACAGCGAGCUCGAAGAGACCGGCACAUUCCAAGGAAUCAACCCGGGAAGGAGCAAGCCGAAAGGGAAGAUCACGCUGCCGGUCACAUUUGGCAGCAAGCUGAAUUUCAGAACUGAGAGGGUCACAUUUGACGUUGCCGAUUUUCCAUUGCCCUACAAUGGGAUCCUUGGCCGUCCAGCGCUCGCCAAGUUUAUGGCAACCUCUCACUAUGCAUACAACGUGCUCAAAAUGCCAGGCCCGAUAAGUGUCAUCUCUGUCCCCGGCGACAAGAAGGAUGCCCUUAUCUGCGCCGACAAGAUCUACCGGGAAGCAGCAGCCGCAGCCGAUCACCACACGCUUGCCACUGAAGCUCCCGAGGGGAAGAAGAAGGCCAAGUCCGGCAAGAGCUCUGAUGCCCACUCCGGCAAGCGCACCUCUUCGGAGUGCUGCGCUACCGUCGAGGACGCACCAUCGAGCUCCACCGGCAAGUGCAAGAAGACGAUGGCAGCUCCAACCGAGACCAAGAAGGUGUCCGCCAAGGAGGACGGCACUGGUGGUACCUUCACCAUCGGUGCCACGCUCGACCCCAAAUAGGAAAGCGUGCUCGUUGCUUUCCUGCGGGCGAAUGUCGACGUGUUUGCAUGGCAACCGUCUGAUAUCCCCGGUGUUCCCAGGAAAGUAAUCGAGCACCACCUUGCUGUCUGUCCUCAUGCGCGGCCCGUCAAGCAGAGAGUCAGGAAGCAAGCGGUGGAGCGCCAAGAGUUCAUUGCAGAAGAAAUCAGGAAAUUGGAAGCAGCAGGCCUUGUUAGAGGAGUGCUCCAUCCCACGUGGUUGGCCAAUCCUGUAGUCGUGCGCAAGGCGAACGAGAAAUGGAGGCUUUGUAUAGAAUUCACUGAUGUCAAUAAAGCUUGUCCCAAAGAUCCAUUUCCCUUGCCGCGCAUUGACCAGAUUGUUGACUCCACAGCUGGAUGUGAUUUGCUUUCAUUUCUUGAUGCAUAUUCAGGAUACCAUCAAAUCUUCAUGGCAGAAGAGGAUGAGGAGAAAACCGCAUUUAUCACCCCUUGUGGCACAUACUGUUUUGUACGGAUGCCCUUUGGGUUGAAGAAUGCUGGUUCAACAUUUGCAAGAGUAGUCCAUGUCGCUUUUGAGCCACAUAUACACAGAAAUGUGGAAGCCUACAUGGAUGAUAUAGUGGUCAAGAGCAAGGACAAGGCUACCCUGAUCCAAGAUUUAGAAGAAACUUUUGCAAAUCUGCGCAAGAUCAACCUUAAGCUCAACCCCGAGAAGUGCGUGUUUGAAGUCCCUUCCGGCAAGCUUCUCGGGUUCUUUGUGUCUCAGCGGGGAAUUGAAGCCAACCCCGACAAGAUUAAGGCCAUCGAGCAGAUUGAAGCACCGAAGCGCGUCAAGGAUGUGCGAAGACUUGCCGGUUGCGUGGCUGCUCUCAGCAGGUUUAUCUCUAAGUCUACUGAGCGCGCCCUGCCGUUUUUCAAAAUAUUGAAAAAGGCAGGUCCAAUGAAAUGGACUCCGGAAGCGGAGGCUGCGCUGCAGGACUUGAAGAGGUACCUGUCCUCCACUCCAAUACUUGUCGCACCUAGGCCACAAGAGAAGUUGCUGCUGUACCUAGCAGCAACCAAUCAAGUGGUUAGUGCUGCGUUAGUAGCGGAGAGGGAGGCGGACGAUGAGCCAGCAACCGCGGCAAGUGAAUCCAGCGACAAGCAGGGGGCUUCUCCGACAAGCUCUGGUCCGGCAAGCUCUGGUCCCAACAAAGAUGGAUCUGCGCAGAUAUGCAAGGACGUGUAGAAGAAGAUGGUGCAGCGCCCAGUUUACUUUGUCAGCUCCCUUCUCCAGGGGGCUAGGUCGAGGUACUCUGGUGUACAAAAGUUGCUUUUCGGCCUUCUCAUGGCCUUGAGAAAGCUGCGCCAUUACUUCCAGGCACACGAGAUCACAGUUGUCACUCGCUUUCCGCUGAAGAGGAUACUGCAGAAUCCAGAAGCAACAGGCAGGAUUGUCGAGUGGGCAUUGGAACUGUCAAGUUUUGGCCUCAAGUUUGAGAGCACUUCAACUAUCCAAAGCAGGGCAUUGGCAGAGUUCAUAGCAGAGUGGACGCCAACUCCAGAUGAAGAAAUUCCGGAGACGAGCACCCCCGUCAAGGAGACAAGCAAAGAGUGGCAGAUGUACUUUGAUGGUGCCUUCUCGCUACAAGGCGCCGGUGCUGGCGUGCUGCUUAUCACACCCACCGGAGAGCACCUCAAGUACGUAGUCCAGAUGCACUUUCCCAAAGAGCAAGCAACCAACAAUACUGCAGAGUAUGAAGGGUUGCUUGCCAGUCUCAGAAUAGUAGCCGACCUUGGGAUCAAGAAGCUCAUUAUCAGGGGUGACUCGCAGCUUGUCGUCUGCCAAGUGAACAAGAACUACCAGAGCCCGUUGAUGGAAGCAUAUGUUGAUGAAGUGAGGAAGCUAGAAGAGCGCUUUGACGGCCUACAAAUGGAGCAUAUCCCAAGAACUCAGAAUGACAUUGCUGAUGGCCUGUCAAAAUGCGCUGCACUAAAGUUACCUGUGGAACCAGGGAUCUUUGUGCUCAAGCUGACUCAACCUUCCGUGACACCAUCAACUGGACAGAAUAAGAAGAGGAAGUUGGUUUCUGGUGGCUACUUUCCGGCAGAGCUCCCCGAAGCCGCCGCCAAGAAAGUCCCCAAGAUCAACACCAAGGAUGCUGAGGGGCAGUCUGCUCUGGCAAACCUUAUGGUUUGUUCCGUCGAAGCAAACGCUCCCGACAAGUUCUGCUCCGGCAAGCUUGCCGGGGAAUAUCACGCUCCGGCAGAGCCGCAGGAUCUUGCCGUAGAAGCGGAUGUUCCCGCAGCAACAGAUAUGCCUUUAGUCCUUGUUGUCGAGCCGCAAGCUCCAGCAUGGGCGCAGCAGAUCGUCCGUUUCCUUCAGACAGGAGAGCUUCCCAAAGAGCAAGAAGAAGAUGAAAAAGUAGCCCGGCAGUCAAGUAUGUACAAGUUUGUCGACAGCACACUGUACAGAAUAAGACUCAACGGUGUGAAAUUGAAGUGCAUUCGCCGGGAAGAUGGACAACAGCUGUUGGCAGAGAUACAUGGAGGCAUAUGUGGUCACCACAUUGGCGCAAGAGCACUUGUCGGCAAAGCAUUCCGACAAGGCUUCUUCUGGCCGACAGCCCUCCAGGAUGCAACUGCACAAGUAACCAAGUGUGAAGUGUGCCAGUUCCAUUCCAAACAGAUACACCAGCCAGCUCAAGCUCUCCAGACGAUCCCUUUAUCCUGGCCAUUUUCGGUCUGGGGGCUCGACAUCCUCGGCCCCUUCCCCCGAGCUGUCGGGGGCUUUGAGUUCUUGUAUGUUGCAAUCGACAAGUUCACAAAGUGGUCGGAAGUGGAACCAGUGAGGAAGGUGACAGCACAGUCAGCAGUCAAGUUCUUCAGGUCGAUUGUUUGCCGUUUCAGGAUCCCUAACAGGAUCAUCACCGACAACGGCACACAGUUUACGAGCCGCACCUUCAUGCAGUACGUCCAAGAUCUUGGCGCCAAGGUCUGCUUCGCUUCUGUUGCUCAUCCGAGAAGCAACGGUCAAGCAGAGAGGGCAAACGCUGAAGUGCUGCGAGGCCUCAAGACCAGAACUUUCGACAGGCUGCACAAGUGCGGAAGAAACUGGAUCGAGGAGCUGCCGGUGGUUCUUUGGUCGAUCAGGACGACGCCAAAUCGAGCCACUGGCCAGACACCCUUCGCUCUAGUCUAUGGAGCGGAGGCAGUUCUCCCCACGGAACUCGUAUACGGGUCACCUCGAGUGCUCGCUUAUGAUGAGCUCGACAAGAGCAGCUGCGGCAAGAUGACGCGCUGCUCCUUGAGGAAGACCGUCUCCAGGCCGCUGUGCGAGCCGCUCGCUACCAGCAAGCUCUGCGCCGCUACCAUAGCCGCAGAGUCAACGCCAGGAGUCUCGAGGAAGGCGACCUUGCUCUUCGGCGCGUUCAGUCGGCCAAGAAUUCCAACAAGUUGACGCCAAAGUGGGAAGGCCCUUAUCGGGUGAAACGAGUCACUAGGCCUGGCGCUGUCCGCCUUGAGAUCGAAGAUGGCAUUCCGGUGAGCAACUCCUGGAACAUCGAGCAUCUUCGUAAGUUUUACCCGUAAGGCGCGGUUGUCGGACCCUGUCCGGCAACCACCUUUCUGUACAAGUCUUGCCGAUGUUGCAUGUAAUCAUUUGUACAGAGCCGGGCGCAGACCCCGUGCACUAGUAAAGUUCAUGUGCCCCGCACACCUUGUCAGUUUCCUUAUGCUAUGAUCCUUUUUCACAUAUAUUAUCUAACACUUUGUGCAGCACCAGACCCCGGUAAGCGAUAACGAGCCCAAGGCUCCAUAUCAUUGCUUUAUUUCUCUGUCUCUUUCUCAAAAGAAGGAAGGUUCCCUCGCCCACAAGGUUUACAGGGGAGGGGAAGGAGAAGAUAAUGGUGUGGACCAGGCCGUUCAAAAAAAAAGUUUCUCCUUGCCGGGAAGCAGACGACAGAAAAGCUAAGUUGCUAAAGCUUGGGCAAUCAGUUUUUUAAGUUUUCGAGUUAUUUUCCUUGAACGACCGUGCUUUGUAUGGAAAACCUGUGCGCGGAGGAACCAAUCCGCAGCGAGCUGCGCCCUUACUUUGUUUCGAGUCCGCUCAACAACUUAAGUGAGCUGCUAGCGCCCUUACUUUGCUUCGAGUCCGCUCAGCAACUUAAGUGAGCCGCCAGCGCCCUUACUUUGUUUUGAGUCCGCUCAACAACUUAAGUGAGCUGCAACUAGUUGCGGCAAGGUUGCUUGUCGGUAGCGACCCCGCCAGCAGGCUGCUGAAGUUCCGCACUCGGCGCUCGCGGCAAGGGUGCCUGCACCGGCAAGUUUCCCUAGAAAGCGUAGGGCAGGACCAUACAAAGCCAAGAGUCGAGUAAAUGAAGUAACACAGCUAUUUAUUGCCUAAGAUAGAGUUAUAUUACAAAAAUAACUUGUCGCGCCUCUAAUAAAGUGUCCCCAUGGCAUGACUGGCAGCGACAAGAAAAGAAGAAAAUGGACGGCCUAAUCUACGCGACCGCCGUCAACCCUUUUGACCUCGUUCACCCUGUCCACAAUGGGUGCGACGAGGGCCUUAAGUGCGUCAAGAUCAACAUCCGCCGGCAGCUUCUUGAGGACGUUGGUGAGGUUGAGGCCCGGAUUGCGGAAGGCCACCUUUACCAGCACCUCCUCCAGAACUCCGGCACAAAUCGAGCGUGACUCGUCGGCCAACUGCUUUGGGAUCCGUUCCCGGAGUUGCUGGAGCGCUGCCGCCACGCCUUUGAAGAACAGAGUGAGCUUGGCGCUGGGUUGGAGGUUCUCGUCGGAGGAGUACCCGAAGCCUUCCACCCUCAAUUGCACCAGCUCCUCUUCGAUGGCUGCAGCAAUGUCCACGAGGCCCUCCGUCCAGAGCUCCACAGUAUCUCUGAGAAGAUUCUGGGUUUCGGCGGCCCUCGCCAGCAGCGCCUCGUUGGCCUCGAUGUCCUUCUUCAGGUCUGCCUCCCGUUUCCUGGCGCUGUCCAACGUCUCCGUCAAGGUGGCCAGCUUCAGCGUCAGAUCGGCGUUGGAAUCCUUGGCGGCGCUCAAUUCCUUGCCCCUCUCGGCGAGUCGGCCCUGCAGCUCACCGUGGGCAAGGGCGUCCUUCUCGUGCUCUAGCUUGAGGGUGGCAAGCUCUUCGCCACCAACCUUCAGAUCAGUUUCUAGCUGUGCCACCUUUGCCUCCAAUUCUUUCUUGGCGGCCCCGGCAGCUGCAGCCGUAUCCUUUGCCUCUUGGAGCGUCCCGCCAAGUGCCCGUUCGCGCGCGGCAAGCUCCUCUUCGUGGCUGUCAAGGUUCACUUUCCGCUGAGUCAGCUCGCCUUCUCGCGCGUACAGCCUCUCGCUAGUGAGCCGCUGCUGCUCUUCAGCUUCGGCCUUCUCGAGGAGGAAGGCCUUCCGUUCCUCGGCAAGCUGCUCCCGCUCCUCCGCCAAGGCGCGGAGAGUUUCUUGGCGAAGACCCCGGAGCUCCUCCGCACGCUUCUCUAUGUCCACACUCUCCCUCGCGGCAAGCGCUUCCCGGGACUCCAACUUGACUUGACGGGCGCGGUAGAGCGCCAGCAGCCUCUGCAGCAGCCGCUCCUCCUCGGGCUCUUCACUGCUGCUUCCCGGCGCGUCGACGAUCGACAAUCCGGCGGAGGCAAGCACCUCCCCAUCCAGAGCUUCUCCUUCCAUCGGCGCCCUGGAGCUCGAUGCCCAGGGGAGCUUGAUGAAGAUGCCCUCGCCAGCCUUCAGAUAGGCGCCGGGCUGGGGCUCCUCGGAGCCUGACGCUGCGGCAGCGGCGGAGGGAUCGGCGGUUGGUGCAGCGCCUGGCGCUCCUGCGGCCUCAGGGUCGUCAGUGCGAUCGCCAGAUCCCCCGCCAGCUUCCUCGGCGGCAGCCUUGGCGGCCUCUUCACCGGCGGGCACGUCAGCGCCGGCUCCUUCUUCGGUGGCCGCGGCAUCAUCAGUAUUGCCGCGCGCGCCCUCCUCGCCACCCGCCUUGGUCUCCAUCGGAUCUAUGGAGGGUGGGUCUGACGAUCAAAGAAGAAGGAGAAAUCAAACAAGUAUCCGAGAAGAAAAAUCAGCAGAAGACUACAAGGAAAGUUUCAGGCAAGAAGGACUACCUGUGCGGGGAUCUGCUGUCAUGACCUCCACCACCGGGGGAUUGUUGGCGCUGUCCCUUGCCAGAGACUCCCCCCUUGCCGGAGACUCCUCCCUUGCCGGAGAACGCUCCCUUGCCGGGGAGUCCGCCCUUGGCGGCGUAGUCGAAGCAGACGACGAGUCAGAAGAGAUCACCAUGCCCUCCUGAUGAAGUUGUUCUGCUCCUGCACAAACAAAACAGAGAUCGGAUGUCAACAAGGGAAAAGAGCAACCACGCGCACCCAGAAGCAGAAAGUAAACCAUAUGCUUACGUUGGGGGCUGCGCUGGGGGCUGCUCUGCGAAGUGAUGGCCGGGUCCGGCAAGGUAGUCUCGGGCGCGCCUCCUGUCGUCGCAGUGGGCUCGUCCUCGAUGACCACCACCUGAGCCUUGGCCCUCUUCGCCGCCCUCUGGGCCAGAGUCCCGAAAAGGAGAGCCUAGGGUGAAUCAGAUUCGAUGCAAGACAAGAUCAACAAGUUGAAGAACUACAAGAACAAGCAAGGGAAUCUUACUCUUCUUCCUCUUCCUCGUCGGAGCUGAGCGCGGAGAGGUCGAAGUUCGGCCCACUUCCGGCACGACGAGGUGGAGGGGUGGGAUCCCUUGGCCGCUUGGUGGGGGCUGCGGCGCCAACCCGAGAUGACCCCGCCCCAGUUACCACUGCGGCGGGAGGCGCACCCGCGGCAACCGUACUUGCCGCGACGGAGCGCGUCACGCGGCGCUGCGGCUGUUGACCAUCUUGCCGCCCUGUUACGUCGUCGCCCCUGCGGACGCGCCUUCUUGGUUGCGCUGGGGGCUGCGUUCCGGGCCCUGUUCCCGGCAAGCUCCCUGGAGAUGGCGGGCCGCUCGUACCCUCGGCGAACUCACUCAACUCGGCGUCGGGCGCGGCAGGCUCUUCUUCCUCUUCGGGCUGCUCCCGUUCGGCAAUACUCAUCGCCAACGCCGUGUCCGCUUCCUCCAUGGUGAAUCCGAAUUCACCCGCGGCCGCGGCUGCUGCCGCCUCUUUCGCCCUGGUGGCGAUGCGCUCCAUCUCUUGAUCGGUGGUGUCGCAGAUGAGGAGUUUCUUCUCGUCAGCAUUGACCGCCACCUCCACUAGGCUGUCGAAGAACUGCUGCACGACGUCGCCGGCGGGCUCCUGCCAAGUUGGAGCGAUCCCGUGCGAGUCGCACAACGGCAUCAUUGCGCAGAUGCGGUCGCGCGAGGAGUUGUUGCACAGAGGAACGACGCCUGCCGGCAACCUGAACCACUCAGGAUGCUGUGGGCCAUGUUUGAAUAUCUCCUUGAGCAUCCCGUCCAACUCUGUGACAGUGAAAUUGAAAUUGAGGCCUGGGCGCAACCUCAUGAUAUCUGCCGGGCCUCCAAAUUCCCAGGCAGGUCUCCCCCUCGCCUGCAGAGGGGCGAUGCGCCGGCGAAGAAAGGAUAUCCGCCAACUGGAGCUGCUUGCGAGGCGACGGCGGAGAGUACCUUUGUGCGCAGAUGCGCCCGCGUCUCCGUCGACCAGAAGAGAUAGUACCACUCCCUCAGCUCCUCCACGGAGAGCUCGGGGGGGGGGAGUGGCCCGCUCCUUCCGCAGCGCCUCAAGCCGCUACGCUUCGGUCGACUUCACAGCUUUCGCGGUCGCGGCCUUCGUGGCCUUCCCCUUCCCGGGCUUCGGAGGCAUGGCGGAGGCGGUGGGGGAGAUCGAUGGCGCUGGUGGUGGCGGCGGCGACGGGAGCGGAGCGCUGCUCUCUUUCGACUUUGAAAGCGGAAGAGGGCGGCGGAGGUUUCUGAGAUUGCAACAGCAGUUGACGAAGAUGGAGGAAAUGCCCCUGUUUCCCCUGCUUAUAAAGAGGGACGGGGCGGACGUUUCGGCUUAGCCCCACACACGCCACCCACGAUCUCACCCACGACGCCGCGUUUGACGCGUGCCGUUCUGGGCGUGCGCGGUGGGAGCGGAGUUAGAUCCGGCGUGACCUAGGCCGCGCGUGCCCGUGCACUGUUUUGGGCCUGGCCCAACAGCGCUCGGCACCGUGUAUGGCCCAGGCCCGGGGGCUCCUGUCGGUGUACUAGAGUAGGGGUACCCUAUUACCCCGAACUCGUGCACGGACAGUUGCAGCGCCCCGCGGCAAGGCUUGCCGGGUGACCGCCAGGACCUUCCAUGGUUCCCUUGAAGCCCAUUCAAGAACAAAGUAAUCAAACCAAGGCCCCGGCAAGAGGAGCUUGCCGGGAAGGCCAACUAGGGCCCCGGCAAGAGGAGCUUGCCGGGAAGGCCAACCAAGGCCCCAGAAAGAGGAGCUUGCCGGGAAGAGACAAGACCCCGGCAAGAGGAGCUUGCCGGGAAGGCCAUUCAAGGCAAGCCAAGAAAGCUUGCCGCGACGCGCCCUGCGUCCCGGCAAGAUCCGGCGAGCGACAAGAUUCCGGACACGACAAGACGACGGCCGCGGCAAGGAGCUCGCCGCGGGAAACCCCCACUUCGUGCCCGCGCUCCAGCACACCUGCUAACGUGUCGCUCUGGGACUCUCCCAAGCACACGUGGCAGGAGGCCGUGCAGCUAGGGGUACGUGGUGGCAAGCAGAGAUGAAGAGAAGCCCAUCGUGGCGAACGGUGGCGCUCCUAACAGUCACCUUUUGCACUGUUUAGGAGACUCAGACAGGCAUUUAAUGCCCUUGUCCCCUGCCGUCAGAGUUAGGUAGGGCGCACUGUAUCCACAGUAGGCGGUAGCUGCACCUACCACAUCCUUUUCCAUUUUUACCCUUCUUGUCUAUGUUGCCCCCUGUCGGUGACCCCUUGAGAGUAUAAAAGGAGGCCCAAGCGCAACGUAGAAAGGGUCCCGGAGGUUCGGCCAGUUCGGCUCAUUCAACACCAGGAACGCUCUCACGCUCAGUCUGGCAGCGUCCAUCGCUCCUGAGCAAGAAUCCAAUAUACACAAACAAGCAGCAGUAGGAUUUUACGCAUCCGUGCGGCCCGAAGCUGGGUAAAAUCGCCCGCGUGCACUGCCUCGAUCCGCUCUUUGUGCGCUCUCCGCCCCCCACCGAACCGAAAGGGGCCCUGUCCCCAUAGGUGUUGGUGGAAUCAGCAUCGCCCCCGACAACUUAGUUUCAGUUUGAGCUUUCAUACACUUAUAGCUCUAGUGCAUCCGUUGCAUGGCAAUCCCUACUCCUCGCAUUGACAUCAAUUAAUGGGCAUCUCCAUAGCCCGUUGAUUAGCCGCGUUGAUGUGAUACUUUCUCCCUUUUUGUCUUCUCCACACAACCUCCACCAUCAUAUUCUAUUACACCUAUCGUGCUAUGUCCAUGGCUCACGCUCAUGUAUUGCGUGAAAGUUGAAAAAGUUUGAGAACGUCAAAAGUAUGAAACAAUUGCUUGGCUUGUCAUCGGGGUUGUGCAUGAUUUGAAUAUUUUGUGUGGUGAAGAUGGAGCAUAGCCAGACUAUAUAAUUUUGUAGGGAUAACUUUCUUUGGCCAUGUUGUUUUGAAAAGACAUGAUUGCUUUAUUAGUACGCUUGAAGUAUUAUCGUUUUAUGUCAAAUGUUAGACUAUUGCUUUGAAUCGCUCGUAUCUUAAUAUUCAUGCCAUGAUUAGAUAUAUGAUCAAGAUUAUGCUAGGUAGCAUUCCACAUCAAAAAAUUUCUUUUCUAUCAUUUACCUACUCGAGGACGAGCAUGAAUUAAGCUUGGGGAUGCUGAUAUGUCUCCAUCGUAUCUAUAAUUUUUGAUUGUUCCAUGUCAAUAUUCUACAACUUUCAUAUACUUUUGGCAACUUUUUAUAUUAUUUUUGGGACUAACAUAUUGAUCCAGUGCCCAGUGUCAGUUCCUGUUUGUUGCAUGUUUUAUGUUUCGCAGAAAACCCAUAUCAAACGGAGUCCAAACUGGAUAAAAACGGACAGAGAAUAUUUUUUGGAAUAUUUAUGAUUUUUGGGAAGAAGAACCAACGCGAGACAAUGCCCGAGGGGGCCACGAGGCAGGGGGCGCGCCCCUGACCCUCGUGGGCACCCCAUAUGGCGGUUACUGCUCUUCUUUGGCCGCAAGAAAGCUAAUUUUCGAAGAAAAAUCUUGGCGAAGGUUUCAAUCCAAUCGGAGUUACGGAUGUCCGGAUAUAAAAAAACAGUUAAAGGGCAGAGUCUGGGAAGGCAAAAACAAAGAGAGAGGCAGAGAGACAGAUCCAAUCUCGGAGGGGAUUUCGCCCCUCCCAAGCCAUGGAGGCCAUUGACCAGAGGGAAACUCUUCUCCCAUCUAGGGAGAAGGUCAAGGAAGAAGAAGAAGAAGGGGGGCUCUCUCCCCUUGCUUCUGGUGGCGCCGGAACGCCGCCGGAGCCAUCAUCAUCACCGUGAUCUACACCAACAACUUCACCGCCUUCAUCACCAACUCUUCCCCCCUCUAUGCAGCGGUGUAACCUCUCUUUUACGCGUUGUAAUCUCUACUUAAACAUGGUGUUCAACGCUAUAUAUUAUUUCCCAAUGAUGUAUGUCUAUCUUAUGAUGUUUGAGUAGAUCCGUUUUGUCCUAUGGAUUUAUUGAUGAUUGUGAUUGGUUUGAGUUGCAUGUUUUAUUAUUGGUGUUGUCCUAUGGUGCUCUCCGUGUCACGCAAGCGUGAGGGAUUCCCGUUGUAGGGUGUUGCAAUAUGUUCAGGAUUCGCUUAUAGUGGGUUGCUUGAGUGAAAGAAGCAUAAACCCGAGUAAGGGGGUUGUGGCGUAUGGAAUAAAGGAGACUUGAUGCUUUAAUGCUAUGGUUGGGUUUUACCUUAAUGAUCUUUAGUAGUUGCGGAUGCUUGCUAGAGUUCCAAUCAUAAGUGCAUAUGAUCCAAGAAGAGAAAGUAUGUUAGCUUAUGCCUCUCCCUCAAAUAAAAUUGCAAUAGUGAUUACCGGUUUAGUUAUCGAUUGCCUAGGGACAAAUAACUUUCUCUUCACAAAAAACUCUCUAUUAAAACUAACUUAGUUGUGUCUUCAUCUAAACAGCCCCUACUUUUUAUUUACGUGUUCUUUAUUAUCUUGCAACCUAUCCUAUUACACCUACAAAGUCCUUCUAGUUUCAUACUUGUUUUAGGUAAAGCGAACGUUAAGCGUGCGUAGAGUUGUAUAGGUGGUCGAUAGAACUUGAGGGAAUAUUUAUUCUACCUUUAGCUCCUCGUUGGGUUCGACACUCUUACUUAUCGAAAGAGGCUACAAUAGAUCCCCUACACUUGUGGGUUAUUAGCCGCCUUAAUGUCGGGCGGGCAAGGGCAUUGAUCGGUUGGCCGGGGCAGUGUUGGAUCAGGCUACGUGAUUGCUAGACAAGCUGCUAGCUCAUGGGUUUGCAUCUGUGUUUUUUUUUCAUGCGUCAGGCGGGCAUGUACAAUGGUGCUAUCUUAGGAGUGCCACAUAGGAUAAAUGAUGAGGUAGAUGAGAGAGAACUCAUAAGAAAAAACUUGUCCUCUCUUAUUUAAGAGAAGACAAGAGAUGAUCUCUUAGCACAAUAUGUCUCACCAUAUUUUUAGGAAGGAUUAGUUAUUGAAGAUAAGGCUAAGAGAUGACUCAUUGUAGACAUUUUUUUUGUCAUUUCUAAAUUACAUGCAAGAUUUAAGAUAAAACUAUCUUAUCAACCGUUGUGCAUGCCCUUAGGCAAGAGGCGGCCGCAUCGGCUUGGUCCGUCGGCUCGGCUGUACGUGUCUGGCGACGUUGCCUAUGGGCGUGUGUAUACGUUUCAUUCGUAGAUCAUGUUUCGGGAGGAGGAAAAAGAGACGUACACCUUAGGACUGGUUGGACCAUCUUGUUACGGUGGCGCAUACGAACAGUUUUCCUCCUGUCCCUGGCGGCUGGAACCCUGGCCGCCGCCAGGAGAGCCUACUCUUCCAGCGCCGUCCUCCGGCGGCUCCCCUCCGCCGGCGACCUCGGUCGUUGAUGGUGAGGGGGGUCACCGGAUCCACGCGUGUGGAUCAUUUUUUCUCCCUCGUAGUCUAGAUUUUUAGGCUGUUCAUCGUCUUCGUUUCGGCGACGACGAUGAUAGCGCUGAAUAAAUAUUCUUCGGAUCCUUCCUUGACAAGGUCAUCGGUCCUAUGGUUGGGGAUGAUUUGGAAACCAGUCUGUUCAUGCAAGGAUGGCGUGGUGGCGGCGGCAUCCUCGUGGUGGACCUGUGUCCUCGGGCUCCGCUAUUGCGACGGCGUUUGCUCCAGCGUCGGCGCGGAGCUUGGGAGGUAGUCCACGAGCGGAUGCAGAUUGUGGUCUGCAUCGACGACAUCUGAAAGACGGAACAUGUGCUGGGUUCGUGGUUCGUGGAUGGCAAGUAUGGUUUCCUUCUGCGACGUCUUAAUCACGAUGGGAUGCUAGAUCUGGAGCUCGAUGGCGUGUCCGGGGUGUUGCCCCGGUCUGAUUCGCUCAAAGGUAAGGGCUUCACUUUUGGUGAGCCACCUUGGAGGUCCGCAAAGGUGCAUAUCAGCGAUGGAGCCGCGUCGAGCUCGGGUGAGGAGGUGAUCCAUCAUUCUUUUCUUCGGUGGCUGCUGUCGUGGUGUCGGAGGCAGGUGAUGAGCAUUGGUUUCAAGCUCAUAGAUGUUCUACUAUCUUUUCAGUUUUGUCAUGUCGGUCCUUACGCGACUUGUACUUUAGUUUUUAUGAUAUGAAUAAGACACGUAUUACCAUGAAAAAAAACUUAAGACCGGCCGAUUAUAUGCUUCUUUAUUGGACAAUUAUGGAUGGAUUUCUAGCUAAUCAAGAAGCAUUAUGGGAAGAUUCGAGGAAGCUGUACGUGGGGACUGGGGUUAUGUUUAGGUCACGUGGGAUGGAUCUCAACCAAUCCUCAUAAUUAGAGAGAUCUGAAUCGUAAUAUUUCUGACCUUAAAAACCAGGGUCUACUUCUUUUAUCUGAUUAUAAGAUUGAAUCAAAACUUUCUCUGAUUAGAUCUCAAGCAUAAUUAGAGAUAUCUGAAUCGUAAUAUUUCUAACCUUAAAAAUCAGGGUCUACUUCUUUUAUCUGAUUAUAAGAUUGACUCCGAUUAGAUCUCAACCAUUAUAAUUCUAGGUUAGAUCUAAAUCAUUAAAAUCAGACCCACCAAAUCAAUGGCCUUUAUUUUCUAAUAUUCUCUCAUUAACAUGAGAAUUUCAACGUUAGAUUUUUAUAAUUCGGACCCACCAAAUCAAUGGCCUCUAUUUUCAGAUUUUCUGUAAUUAACGUGAGAUUUUUUAGGAAGUGCCUAAUUAAGGCAGAAGAUCAUGGCGUGGAUUGCGGGCGGCGAUGACGUGAACGGAGGCCAGAUCAUGGCGUGAUUGCGGACGGCGACGACGUGCAUGGAUGCCAGAUUGCGGACGGCGAUAAGUCUUAACUUCCUUUUAUAAUUUUAGGCACACAUUUGGAACUUUCUUAACAUUGAAGAUGAUGACAAGUCUAUAUAAAGCUACGUACUGCAAUAGCUGAUGGCACUCACUUGUGUUGCACCCAUCAUAUCAUCUGAUGACGAUUAUCUCGUCAUUUGCUGAUCUUUUCACACUCCUCGCCAUCCUCAUCUGCCUCCUCCAUCGUUGUGGCGCCAACUACGAAGUCGAGUCGGUCGCCGGGUCAGGGAAUGUGCUGUCAGCCAAGCUGAAACUUGUAGGCGGGACGGCGGAGUUCGGGCCUGAUGUCAAGCGGCUCAAUCUGACUGCAAGGUAAGCGUGUUUGAUCUUGAGUUGGGUUUUUUCUUUCAAAAGAGGUACAAAUUCCUCACUGUUUUAGUUUUGACGGUAGCCUAGAGACGGACAACCGGCUCCACGUGCACAUUACCGAUGCCGACCAUUCGCGAUGGGAGGUCCCCCAGGACGUUAUCCCGCGCCCAGCGCUGGCGCCGGAGGAUGUAUUGCUACAUUCCUCGGGCUUGAGCAAUGCUUCCUUACCCGGCAACAGCACCAUGUCCAGCGCGUCUUCAGACCUGACCUUCACCAUCCACACCGCCCCGUUCCGCUUCACCAUCUCCCGCCGCUCCACCGGCGACGUCCUCUUCGACACCUCCGCCACACUCGUCUUCAAGAACCGGUAUGUAAUACAUGAUAGUACAAGACACCCGGCGUAGCUAGUUGAUCCGUAAGUAGCCAAGUACUGAUGGGCAUGUUGAACUAACUAUAAUGCAGGUACUUGGAGGUGACGUCGGCGCUGCCAGCCAGGGGGGCAUCUUUGUACGGACUGGGCGAGCGGACAAAACGGAGAUUCCGGCUCCAACAGAACGACACGUUCACGAUCUGGAACGAGGACGUCGGGAGGGCCGACAUACUGGACAUCAACCUCUACAGCUCACACCCAUUCUACAUGGAUGUGCGACCCGGCGGCGCUGCGCACGGCGUUGUGCUCCUCAACACCAACGGGAUGGACAUAAAGUAUGGCGGGUCCUACAUCACCUACAAGGUGAUCGGCGGUGUGCUCGACUUCUACUUCUUCGCCGGGCCCUCCCCGCUCGCCGUCGUCGACCAGUACACCCAGCUCAUCGGCCGCCCUGCCCCCAUGCCAUACUGGUCAUUUGGUACGUGUACUCAACCGUCUUGCUAGUUCCGUGCAUGCUUAUAUAAUUUUGUUGUACUCACCUGUGGUUUGAAUUUCGGCCGAAAGGAACGGAUUUCGGCCAUCUCGGCCUGAGGAGAAAAAUAUCUUCCAACGAAAAAAUAGAUUUUGGUCAAAUUUCGGCCAAAUUUUUUAAAAAUGGCCGAAAUUCGGCCACCUCGGCCUCGGGCGAAAAUUUUCACGAAUGAAAAUCAAAACCUUGGUACUCACCUGAUCCGCUAUUUCUUGCAAUGCAGGGUUCCACCAGUGCAGGUAUGGCUACAAGAAUGUGGCUGACCUGGAGGGCGUAGUCGCGGGCUAUGCCAAGGCCAAGAUUCCAUUAGAGUCGAUUUGGUCGGACAUCGACUACAUGGACGGCGGCCAGGAUUUCACGCUGGAUCCGAUCAACUUCCCAGCCAAUUUGCUCCGGCCGUUUGUGGACCGGCUGCACAAUAACAGCCAGAAAUACGUGGUCAUCAUAGACCCGGCGAUCAAAAAAGAAGCAGCACCUCCGCAAAAUGAGUCCGUGGGUCUGUUCCUCCAGCGAAAUGGCACCAACUAUGUCGGCCGGGUGUGGCCAGGCGAGGUCUAUUACCCGGACUUCAUGAGCCCAAACGCUGCUGAGUACUGGGCCCGGAAGAUCUCGGACUUCCGUCGAACCAUUCCCGCCGACGGGCUGUGGUGCGACAUGAACGAGCCCUCCAACUUCAAGGACUGGGAGCCGCUCAACGAGUACGACGACUCGCCCUACCGCAUCAACAACACCGGCAUUCACCGUAACCUUAAUAACAAGACCGUGCCGGUCUCCACGGUGCACUUCAACGGUGUGUCGGAGUAUGAUGCGCACAACCUCUACGGCCUCCUCGAGUCGCGGGCCACGCAUGAUGCUCUUCUCAAGGACACAGCGCGCCGCCCCUUCGUGCUCAGUCGCGCCACGUUCGUCAGCUCGGGUCGCUACACCGCUCACUGGACUGGCGACAAUGAUGGGCGGUGGGAGCAGCUUGCGCAGUCCAUCAACACCAUUCUCAACUUUGGACUCUUCGGCAUCCCCAUGAUGGGCGCCGACAUCUGCGGCUUCACCGGCAACACGACCCAGGAGCUUUGCAGCCGCUGGAUACAGCUUGGUGCAUUCUACCCGUUUGCCAGGGCGCAUGCAGAGAAGACAACCGCCCGGCGAGAGCUCUACGUGUGGGAGUCGACGGCACAGUCGGCGAGGAAGGCGUUGGGGAUGCGGUACCGGCUGCUCCCCUACAUCUACACGCUCAUGUAUGAGGCCCACACAACGGGGUCACCCAUAGCGCGCCCGCUCUUCUUCUCCUAUCCUCAGGAUGCCAACACCUACGGCGUGGAUAGGCAGUUCCUGCUUGGCCGUGGCGUGCUUGUCUCUCCGGUGUUAGAUCCAGGCACCACCACCGUGGACGCCUAUUUCCCGGCGGGCCGGUGGUUUAGUCUUCACGGACGCUCCCCCGCCAUCACCUUGCAGACCGGCAAGCGAGUGACGCUCCCAGCGCCAGCGGACUCGGCAAACGUGCACCUGGCCGGUGGCAACAUACUACCACUGCAGCAGCCGGGCCUUACCACGUCCGCCGCACGACAAAG
rnacentral:lncRNA from 1 species